rnacentral:lncRNA from 1 species
UUGUAGGAACAGACCAAACAUGUUCAUAUGUGGCAUUGCUCAAGUCAUCAUCAUUCGGGACAGAGAAUAAGCCUUCAAAUGUCUGCUGAGUCAAUGAACCUUUCUAGAUAUCUCAAGUGUAAUGGAAAUUGAUGAGUUACAAAGGAUUUGUAAACAUUUUCUACUGGAGGCUAGAAAUGCUUCAAAUAAAUGACUGUGUUGCAAUUAUUUUGUAGGAUCAAAGACUCUGCAAAGAGGUAAGAAAGUCAUCAUCAAAUAACUUUGCUCUUCAAACUUUUUAUUUUUAUUUUUAAAUAUCAGUAAUAACUGGGAAAGCUUGCAUCUCCUUAAAUUGCUCAUUCUUACAUCUUUUAUAGUUUGUUGAUCUUGGGCAAGUGGAGAGAGAGGCGUCAAGUGAUACACAACAACCAUUUUCUGUGAGCUGAUUUGAUAAAGAGAAAUGGUAUGCUUUCUUGUCUUAAGCGGUGUGUUCUGCAAUUAUUUGAAACAAAGGAUGCCGCACUUCAAGUUCGAGAAAAUCAGGUAUUUUAGUAUUUUAUUCUUGAGAAAUUUGAUUUAUGUAGAAACUUGAACAUGUAAAUGAGAGAAAUAUAUAUAUAUAUAUAUUAUAUAUUGUAUAUGCUGUUAAUGAGUUAAUAUGGUGCUUGCUCCUAGUUGGAAAUUUAUGUAGUCAUCUACCUAUGAUCAAAUAAAGAUGAAAAAUAAAAUAAAAUUGAGAGCAUCUUCCUCUCCCCUGCUUUGCUCAUCCCUUGUUCUUCCACUUCAGCCCCACUAUUACACCAUUUUUUCAGCCACAAUUAUAAUAGCUCCAUGAGCAUAUUAACAUCAGUGGCCACAGUUCCAUGAUUUGAGUGCACAGAAAGGUUUCAAAAAUUGUCCCAAAAGUACAGUCGUUCAAAGUGAAAGAGAGUUUUCAAAGCUUAAUUACAAGUUCAUGUUAUUUACAAUAGCAAAAAGCUUUCAUUCUUGCUUACAAACUUGUAUUUCCAAGUUCUGUAAACCUUGGAAUUUCACUUCAUCCAAAUCCCCUUCCAAAGCAGGAAAAAAUGGCAGCAGCUUUGAUUGGAGAGGCUCUCAUCUCUGCUUCUAUCGAGGUGUUGUGUGACAGAGUUACUUCAGCCGAGUUCAUAGACUUAUUUCAGCAGAAGAACUUGAUGAAACACUCCUCAUGAACCUGAAGACAACACUGUUGAUUUUGUUUGCGGUGCUCAAUGAUGCAGAGGAGAAGCAAAUUGUGAACCCUGCUGUGAGAGAGUGGCUUAACAGCUCAAGCAUGCUGUCUUUGAUGCAGAGGACUUAUUUGAUGAGAUUGACACUGAAGCUUUGCGAUGCAAGCUGGAAGGUGAGGAUCAAACCCACAAUAGUUAACCAACAAGGAUCUUUUUGAUUGUUUGAAAGAAGAGUCUUUGAUGAUUUGAAAGGAGAGGGUUGCUUUAUUUCUGUUGGAUGCGUAAUUAAAUCUUAUUUGGAGUUGAACAAGGAUUAGAUUAGCUGUAUAAUUAGUGGUAAACGCCUUUUUCUAAGGGUCAUUUAGACUCCUAUUACGAUUAAUUUGUUGUUUCUAAUUUGGACUUAUAGGAACAGACCAAAUAUGUUCACACGUGGCAUCGCUCAAGUCAUCAUCAUUUCAGACUGAAAAUCAGCCUUCAAGUGUCUGUUGAGCCAAUAAACCUUUCUAGAUAUAUCAAGUGCAAUGGAAAUUCAUGAGUUACAUAGAGAUUUGUAAACAUUUUGAAGAUUGCAACACCUGCAAGUGAGAUAGGCGGUGACGAAAUCAGAGCUGAUUUUGAAGCCUCUGAUGCCCCUGUUGUUGCAAGUUGCACCUGAGAACAUGUUUUUUUUUUCUUUGGGGUAAAAAAACUGGCAACAUGUUCGGAGCUGACAAUUCAAUCCCUGAUGAACUAGAGAAGCGAAGCUCCGGUAAGGAAUUGGUCAAGGUUGUGACAGGGAUGAUUGAUGGUGAAAUGGAUGCUAUUUCUUAUUGCAGCCUGUUCUCAAAGUUCUUGUUGGCAAAUGCAAGAGAUGGAGUAUUUUGAUUGGGAGGAGAUAUAAUGACAUGGCUUGACAAUUCUAGAACAGCCCAUCAUUAAUCCCAGAAAAAAUCCAGUUUCUGCUAAACAAUCACUUAUGGCAAGGCCAACUCUGUAAAUGGAAUUUGUGAUCCCUUGAAAUUGUACACAUUUUUUCUUUUUGAGGAAUUUAAUCAAACAGUAUUCUAAUGUAUUAUGAUAGCACUACACGCUUUUGUUGUAACAAAUUACAAGGAGGAAUUUGGAUUGAGUUUCUUGUAUAAGCACACCUUACACAAAUUUGGUAUAUUUUCUUCCAGCAAGUCUGUUUAUUAACCCCCUUAUCUGAAAUUAAUUGUUAAAAGUUUUGAUUCAUCUUUAAUCAGUGUCUAACCCUUGUUGAAUAACACUCCUCUUUCUAAUUUAUAUUUGAAGUUUGAGGUUUCAAUUUCAAUUGUGGGCUUUGAUUUUACAGAUUUUGUUUGUCAAUUUCAGUUUGGACAAAGCAUAUGCAAACAAAAUAAGCAUUUUAUGUUAUACUUUUGAAAUAGGUGUUGAUUUGAUUUAAUCAUAAGUUUUGCUGGUGCAUUUACUAGGCUAUCAUUCAAUACUUUUGAUCAUAGAACUUCUUUGGUCGAUAUUAUCUUUGUUAAGUUUAACCAUAAAUUUAGAGAGGGGACUUCAACAGAUUUAUAAUCUCAUCAUUAUAGUAUUAAAAAUUAGAGAUUAAGGCAUUGUCUAUUAUCUGAAUUCUGCUUACUUUUAGUUCAUAUGUUUACAUCUUAGCAUAUUCAUGCGAUUAGUGCGGCUCAUACCACAAAGGCAACUUUAGGCUCAUCAAGUGCUAAGCAAUGUCAAGCUUCCAAGUGACAAGUUCUCUACAUAGUUUGAGACCUACACUUACUAGAUAUUAGAUCAUUUCGAUCAUUUCCAUAUGUUUAUAUGUAAUUGACAUGUUAUAACAAUUUUUGUAGCGUUAUAUAAUUAUUUAGCAAUUUAAUUAUUUCUUUGCAUCAAGAAAUAGUUCUUAAGUUAUUAAAAAAAAAAAAAAAGAUUUAAAAAAAAAGAUUUGUUGAUGCUUAAAAAGCAUCAAGAACAGGUAGUUUCUUGACGGUUUAGUGACGUUUCAUAACUGUAGGAGGCUUUUUCUUCCGACAGCUGUAAAUGGGCUGGGUUGCCGUAAAGGGCAGACUGAUGAAAUUGUCCCCUUUUGUCUGAGCUAGAAAAUUAAGCCCCAAAAUACUUCGAAAGGGCAGCAGAGCCUUAGGAAGUAUUUUGGUUACCCUCACCAACUAAAACAACAACAACUUACAGGUAAUUUCUUAAUGCUUACAGAUGAACUCUUGAGCUUGGCAUGAGAGACAUGUGGCAUGGAAGCAAAAUCAACAUGAGUUUAGCACUGAGGGGAAAUUUAGGCUCUCUUGGGGGAAAAAGGGAAGUGUUAAGGUGAGAGAGGAGAAGUUUGUAGGAGAUUUAGCUAAGAAAGGAGAAAUAUAGAACAAUGCUCUUCUGGCAGCUUGACAGAUGCUCUGUCUGCCAGAAAAGGAAGAUGGAGAAGAAAUGUGAAUAGUGCACGAGUUUGCUAGAUUUUUGCAGGUAAGAGAGGAAGCUUGCUCUCUGGGUCUGAGUUGAGUUUUGUUAGGUGGAAGAGACCUCAUUUUAUAGCUCCUGGAAACCAUCACUUCCCAAGAAACCCUAAUGGCUUCUACCCAUUUUGGCCAAGCUUUUCCAUUCCUUUCUCAUUUCCUUCCUUGACUUUACCCCUCUUGAUGAAAUCCUCUCUACCUAUUUGCACCAGAUCAGAGUUUUUUGAAGCUUAAGGCCCCCUUUUCCCGCAGUUGUCUCAAUGGGAGACUUUCAUUCCUAGUCAUUUCCUUUAUUGCUUUCCUUUCUUUUUUUCAUGGCCAAGUCUGGUGGGGAAAGGAGUUGGGAUAAAUAUGCUAGUUUGAAGGGUGCUUCUCUUCUUGGCAUCUUACACACUAAUACCCCUUGGUUCCUUGAAUGUUUUGGCUUUGAAACUUGCUCCCCUCCAUGUAUUGGAACCUCCCAGCAGCCCUGGUCAAUGAAUCUUCAGACCUUCUCUUCGUGGCUUUUAUUUUUUUAUCAACUGGCUAGGGCUUUUGUGGCUCAUUGGGGCAAUUGUAUGGGCUAAGGUGGUUCAUUAAGUAAGUGGGCUAUUUUUAUUAAACAUUGAGCUUUUUGGUUGAGUCACUAGGCUAUUUUGAUUGGGCUAUUGGGCUAUUGUUUCCUCUCUUGUGCUCACCCACAUGUUUGGACCAAAGAAAUGAGCUUGAGUCCUGAGGCUCCCAAGCGACCCGAGACUUUCCAUUUAUCGGUCCAUCAAUGGGCCUCAUGUUGAUUUAUUACCAUCCAUACCACACCCCACUCAAGCAAGCCCCGGGCAUUUGAGUGGCUUGGGCCCACUUAGGCUUGUAGUGUGGUUGGGUGCAAAAUAACGAUUUCGUGCUUGGCAUGUUUUAAUUUUAUCAUCCAUGGGAAAGGCUGCGAUGUUUGAUUUCGGCAUGGGCUUGUAGAGCUGGUAUGCUUUAUUUCAACUCCUAGCAUGACGAAUUAUUUAUUUAGCAUGGCACGUGAAUUACAACUCGCAUGUGGUGGGUUUUUGUGUACUACACCUUACGCCUCUUCUUAAUAGAACAUCGUUUCUGAUAAUUUAUUUGGGCCCAACCGUGAAUUUUUUGGAUCUCAAUAAUAACCAUCAUGAAACAUUACAUUUUGACUGACAUCAAGAAAUGGGGUAUCCCUUUCUUGAUAGUGGCAUCCAUGAUGCCUUCCAAGCCGUCAAUUAAGGGCUAUCGCGAUGCAUUUUAGUUGUCAGCAAAAGGUGUUUUUCUUGUACUAUAUUCACUCAAAAUCGUGUUUCAUUUAAGAUUAGUAGUAUGGUUGAAUACCAUUUGUUUUGUUAAAGAAUAUUAUACAUUAGGGAUUUUUGUAGAAAUGUCAUUUGAACUUAUACCUUAGUUUCAAUUUGUCACCUUGAAGAAAAAUUUAAGAGAAAUAUCACCUUAAUUUUUUAAAAUCCAUGAUUUGUCAUAUGACUUUAAGAUCAUCCAAUUUUCCAUCCAUUUUAAGGGUAUUUUAGACUUUUCAUUUUCAAGGAAAAAAAAGAGAUGAAAAAAGAGACCUCUCUCUUACUUUGUCCCCCAACCCAACCCCACCCGCCCCCAAAAACACAUCACAUAGGAUUGCCUCCCCCUUCCCCACUUUUCUUUUUUCUUUUUGUCAUACUUUUCCACUGUGUUUAUGUUGAAGGAUCUAAAGUUUGCUUGGUCACCAUCUUUUACGUAGGCUUCCUAAUUGUUGGUUUGGGUGGGUUGUGGGAAUUUGUGUGUGGAGGGCAAGGCUCUAUCUGACAGGACCCACCUCGAAUUCCUCGAAACCCGAGACGAAUCUUGUAGAAUUUCCGACAUCACACCGAUGCCGGGUCCACUUCUGAACUAAAUCCUCUUUUCCAAAAUUAAGGAAAAAUAGUACGAGGCUUUCUGCCAAAAUUUCGGCAGUCUUCCCUAUAAAUUUAACGUUUCAGCUUUGGAGGCCGUUCUUUCAUUUCUGCUUUGGUGGCCGGAUGAGAGAACGGCCGGCUAAAACGUGGCCAGCUGGCACUGCCGUCACGAGAGAGAGAGAGAGAGAGAGAGAGAGAGAGAGAGAGAGAGAGAGAGAGAGAGAGAGAGAGAGAGAGAGAGAGAUGUUUAUCAAACCAUUUUUGCCAAAAUUACGAUUAUGCAACUGAGGGUAUUUUGAUCGUAUCUUUUUCGUUAUAACUCCGAUUCAAGCCCACUACAUAUCUACGGACUCAUCUCGCCGUGCUCUAUGCAAUUGUAUAGUUGAAAUUCCCAAAUUCCAUCCCAGUCAAAAAGUCAACUUUAAACCUUAUAAAAUAUUCUAAGGGCAAAAUGGUCUUUUAUCUAAUUAAAUUAAUAAUUGAAAAUUUAUUUAGGACCGGGUCGUUACACUGUCGUUGAUGGACUGUGCGAUGGCACUCACACAAAGUCCUUAAGAAUAAAACACACACACACCAUGAAGAGAGUAAAACAAAUGCACAAAGAUUUAUAAAGGUUUGGCCUCCUGCCUACAUCCUCUUGGUGAUCCACCCGAGAAAUUCACUUGUACGUAAGAACAACUUUGGUUACAACUAAACCCCCUUAGCUUUCAUAAGAACCCUAGAUCUCUUUUCUCCCACCCUUGCUCCAACCCUUUGAUGCCCUUGUAAACACUCAAGAAUUCAUCCUUGAAUUCUAUCAUGUGUUACAUCUUCUCUUCUCCCCUUUGCCAACCUAACCCUACAAGUUAUAUUUAAAAUUCAUUGGACUUUAAGUACAAGUUAACUAGGAAUAGGAAACAUAAAAGACCCCAAAAAUUGGAGAAAAUAUGUCUAGAUCUCAUUAGGAAAUUGCACAACACGUGCGAUCCUCUCGAGCGCCUGCAAAAUCAUCCCUUUGCCGCUCGAGCUGCCGAUAGCUCAUGGGAUGGGGGAAUUAGAAAUUUUUUUUUUUCAAUUUUAAUUGUUUAAAAGAUAUACAAUUUAUUAAUAAUAAUUUUUCCAUUUUUAAAAUACCCUUGAAAAUAGAAAGAUUAAAAUGCCCUUAAAAAUGGAUGGAAAAUUGGAUGGUGUUAAGGUCAGAUGACAAAUCAUGGAUUUUGAAAAAUUAAGGUAACGUUUCUCUUAAAUUUUUCUUUACAGUGACAAAUUGAAAUUGAGGUAUAAGUUCAAGUUACAUUUCUGCAAAAAUUCUUAUACAUUAUGAUAUUCUAACAAUAAUUGGCUAAAAUUGAUAUGUUCCCUCUUUUAUUUUCUUUUUCUCUUUUCCUUUUCAUUUUAUGAUCCAAUCCUUUUCAUAUAUUUUUGUUCAAGACUUUGUUUUAUAAUGCUCUAUUACUAAUUUGGUACAGGUCCCUAAAAUCUCGGAGCCGCCUUAGUACAUUCAUAACGUACAUGUUCAGAGUUCAAGAAUAAUGUAUAGAAUGUGAAAUUGACGAUGCCGGCCUUUAUGAGGCAACAUCUUUAUUUCUUUGGUUAUUCCAGUUUAGAAUAUUUGCACAAAUGAGAUGACUCCAAGCAUAAAGUCACAUUCGACCAAAAAGCAUAAAGUCACACACAAAAAGAACACGGACAAUUGCUAAGUUUAUCCUUGUACCCUUAUUUUAUUGAUCCGACCCAAUUGAAAAAUAAAAAAAGAUGAUAAAAAAUAUUGUUCACUGCUUUAAAAUCUAUGAGUAGAGUCCUCCAUUUGAAAUUUGGUCAUUAUACAAAAUUGGAAUGAAAAAAGAAAAUCCUAAAGCUAUAUUUGAUAUAUUUCAUUUUCAUUUUUUGCUGGGUGUUAGGGCUCGUCAAUGGGCCGGGCCUGGCUAGCCCGGCCCGAAUUUAAUGGGCUUGGGCCAGGCCGGCCCAGGCUUUAAAGAGGAGAGAGAAAAUAUCAGGUCGAGUUUUUUAAGAAAAUUCAAAGCCCAAGCCUGACCCAUGAGCCGGGCUUGAGAAAGCCCAUCGGGCCGGGCCGGGCCUAAACGGGCCCUACUUCAUUCAAAAAAAAUCAUUAACUUAAUCAUAAGGUCAUUUUAGUCCAAAUUUGAGAUUAAACUCACUUAAUUCUAAUAUUUUUACUUCAAACCAAAUUCAUAAAACACCCAAUAAAGUCACACAACUUGUAAGAUUUUCCACAAAAAUAAUAAAACCAAGUAUUAUUUUUGAGGUUAUUACAUAAUUAGAUCGUAAUACGUUUUAAAAAAUAAUUUUUAAAAAUAAUAUUAAUAAGUAUCAAAAAAAUAUUUUUUUAAAGGAUGGUAUGAAUAAAUAUGCAAAUAUUUGGUGAUGUGUUCAAGAAAAGGAUGAUUAUAUUUGGUGGUACGAUUAUGUUUCGUGAUACGAUUAUAUUUAGUGAUGUGAUAUGUUGUUCAUCUUAUAUAUAUAUAUAUAUAUAAUUGUUGAACUAAUAAUUGACACAAAUUAAUGUGUUAAUCAUCCAAUUAUAAACUAGGAGUGAAUAAAGAAAAGUAAAUGAAAUGAAACAAAUUAUAUGUGUGAUUUAAGUGAUAUAAUCCUAAACCUAAACUCUUAUUUAUACAUAAUUAUAUAUGUAUGCGGGCCUAACGGGCCGGACUUUUGUGGGCGUGUCGGGCCGGGCUUUCUUGGGCUUAAUCAGGCUGGACCUAUGGGUCAGGCCGGGCUUCAAACACCCCAACACGAGCCUAGCCUAGCCCGCCUUGGGCCGGGCCAUCUCAAAGCCCAUAACGAGCCGGAUCGGGCUUUUUUCGAUUGGCCGGGCGGGCCCCCUCGACCCAUGAGCCCGCGGGCCAAAUGAUGAGGCCUACUGGGUGUUCAAUUUUUCUUGUUUCUUGUUGAAAAGAAAAAUGAUAAUUAAUAAAAUCUGAUUUGGUGGUUGUGCUCGUCACAAAUCAAUGAAAUGACAGCAGUGAUUUUGCAAGACAGCAUACCUUCUCUUGGGGUGCUUUUCAUUUUGCAACAUUUCUUUACGUGUAAUUUCCAGAGGAGGGUUUAUCAUUGUAUAUAGCUCUUCGGGUGGUUUUUUCUGCAAAACAAAUGUCACAAGGAAGGAGGAGAAACGGAAAAGAUUUACUUGGAAUGUCUCAAGUCUCCUUUGAGAUAAAGGCAUCGAAUGCACAACAUUGUUUUUGUGCUAUUUCAUAAUUAAAGUGUGCUUCCCAAGUCUCCUUUGCGUUUUGUAACUUGUAAUGUUUGUUUUUUUGUUUCCCCUGUUUUGUCUUUUAUAAAAGAAAGAGGAAUGCUAGCAACCUUCUCUCUAAUCUUCUCUUUUGGACCUUCUCCCUUUUCUUUUUGACAAGUGUCAUUUUCCAUACACUUAAAACAAUGACAUUAAUGCAUCACACAAUUUAGUUUUUGUUUUCCAAGUUUACCAUUUUAAAAUGUAUUGGCUUUUAUAUUUCCUUCAAUUAUUCACAUUUUGUUAUAACUUGUUUAGCACAUUAUUUUUUUUAAUUUAAAAAAAGUCAUAUUUUUUAAAAAUAAAAAUAAAGUUUGUUUCAUGACAUUGUUAUCAUUUUUAUUUUGUUUUUAACAAAACACGCAUUCUCUUUGGAAAAAUUAAAAAUUAAAAAACAAUUCAGUUUUUAUUUUCUUAUUUAAUUUUUAACAAGCUAGUAAGAAAGUUAUAAAAAAAAAUUAGCUUGUUAUUAAAAAAAAAUUAAUACAUUUAAUAAGGGUAAAUUUGGAAAACAAAAACUAGUUUGUGUGAUGCAUUAAUGACAUUGUUUUUAGUUUAAGGAAAGUGACACUUGUCAUGAGAAGAAGGGAGAAGGUCCAAAAGAGAAGGUUAGAGAGAAGGUUGUUAGCACUCCCCAUAAAAGAAAUACAGGUCUGAACCACACGGAUCUACUUGCAUAAUAAUGGACCAAAUUUAUGAUUUUUAGAAAGAACCUUCUACUGGUGGAAUCUUGGGCUACUGUUGUGGCUCUCCUCUGUGUGCCUCCUUUUUAGAAUGGUAAAAUAUUCAAAAUACCAGAAAAUGUUCAUGAUUAAUGCAAAUAUUAAGAAUUGAAAUUAUUAAUUAAAUGAAGAUAAUAUGGUAAAUUCACACUUUUUCAUAUUAAAAAAAUUAAAAUUAAAAGAAAUAUCAGAUAAUUACUCUUAUUUUUAUGGAACACAGCUACCCAUUAUCUUUUUUAAUUAUAAAAUAAAUUUAAAUUAUAAAAAAAAAAUCCUCUCACAUGCACGGAAGCGCGUGCUCAGAGGCUAGUUAAAAAUAAUGAACUUUGCUUCUGAUGUCUAUACCAGACCCACUCAACCUGCUUUAUGAUUAUACAAAGAACAAACUCGUCCUUAGACUCAUUUGGUUAAACUUAGAAAAUAAUGAAACAAAAAUAUACACACCCACAAGUAACACAGCCAGGAUUGAAAACAACUGGACAAAGAAAGGCAUGUUAAAACAGAAUUUUCAACAACUCAUCACCAUUAGACAAGAAAAAGAAAAAUCAAUACAGAAACAGAAAGAACAGAGAAUAAAUGUGGUGGAAGAAAAACGUUGAAGCCAUUUGUGAAUCCAACAACACUACCACUCUGUUUCUCUCCUUUUGUUCAGGCGGAUCUGCAUAUAUCCUAAGGCGUAUUACGGAAACAACUUCUUGCCGUUAUACUUGAAUGUUGUGGAUGCUUCAACGUUGCCAUCUGGGUGGAGUGGAUUUGUCCAAUUCACCUUCACUAUGGUUAAUCAACUAGACAGACAUAAGUCAGAAACAAUAGGUAUAUAGGUCCAAAUUGUUGUUAUUUGAAAGGCUUCUAAAUUUUAACAUUUUGAUUUCUAAAUUUUGUUUUAAUAUUUCGGCCCACUUAGUUCUUCUCAAAAUAUGUCAUCAAUAUCGUUGAAAGGUUGAACUUAGUGAAUUAUUAUAGUGCAGUACGGUAAAAUAGGCACAUGAUAUAAUUUGUCCACAUGUUCUAAUAUAAGUGAAUAUUUAUUGAUAUUAUUUUCAAAAAUAAAAAAUAUCAACCAUUACAUCCUCCCAUAUUAUAAUACAUAUACAAAUUAUACCACAUUAUCAUACUCUAAUACCAUUUUAUAAUUUCUCGUACUUAGGAGGUAUAGAGCGAGUCAAUGACAUUACAUAAUAUAUAAUUGUUCAUAUAAUGGGGCAACUAACGUGAUCAACAAGUUGUGGUGAUUAAUUUAACAUAAUAAAAAACAUACCAUUUACUAUGUAACAAUUUGUUCUUUUAAAUUGGAUUGUCAUCACUUUAAUAUGUUAUGUUUCUUAUUCUAGUCUCCCAUGUUAAGUGCUUCAGCAUUGUUUGUGGUGUGUACACAAAUUUUCUUAUAAAAUGUUUUAAUGCUUCUCACAUGUAUAUCAGAUAUAGACAGUUGAUGUGACUUAGAAAUCAAAUUGUCAAUAAAGAAAAAAAAUAUAAUUGGUGAUCGAGGUCCAAUUUAAUAGAAAAUAGUCUUAAUUUGUAUAUUAAAGGUUUCAGAUUCGAAUCCUCACUGCAUUAUUGUUGUAUGCGUACACGAGAAAUUCUAUUUCCCAAUAAUUUAGAUUAUCACUUAUACUAAAAAAAAUAUAUAUAAUAAGUUUUACGAAUGCAAACAUAAAAUUACACCAAACAAUAAUGGAAUAGAAAGAUGGAAGUUUUUUUUUUUUCCUACAUCUAAAGUAUACUUUAUAUAUAUAUUUAUUAUGGGAGUUAUAACCGUUUAAUUUUCAGUUUUUAUUUUCUAUUUAUUGUGUUAAUUUUUAUGGUUUAAUAUGUAUGGAGAUUACAAGUAUUGGAUGUCUAUAAAGGGCCACUCCUCCUUCACAUCUGAAACAAACCACCAUCUCAUUUCUGUAUUUUCAUACUUUCAUAUAUUUUCUACUUUCCAGAUUAUUAUUUUUGGGCAACGGUUUUGUGACUUGGAGAUUUCUAUCCGAUUGUUAACAUGCUCAUAACGGACCUUGAGCUUGCGUAUUGGGGAUCGUAUCUUGGAGCCUUGUAGACCUUUAUUACGUGCAUGUAGGGAGGCUACAAAUGCUUUAGGUCAGCGUCUUUGACGUACUUUUGCUUUCUUUUUUUACUUAUUUCUUCGUUUCUUUAUUUUUACUUUACUUUUAAAUCUUUAUUUUAUGUAUUAUUUAUAUUUAAAAGUUUUGAAUAAGAGUUUUACAGAAAAGGAAAAACACAAUUUCAAAUAACACAAAUUUCUCGUUUUUUGUUCUUAAAAAAGAAGAAGCAUUGAUUGGGGAGUUAUGGUAAACUCAGUUUCAAUGGUUGCGAUGAGAGGCGGUGGCGGCGAGGAGAGGACGAAGGCUUUGCUGCCGACGGGGUGGUGUGGCUGGCUGCUUGGUCCUGGGUUCUCCUUUAAUUCUCUGUUUUCUUUUUUCAUUUUCUUUUUCUCUUAGAGUUAUUGAUGUUAAGUGAAUGGACAGAUGCCAAAAUAGGGACAGAAGAUGUGAACCCAAUUAUAUACAGCUGCUGCUAUAGCUGAUUACAUAAAGUAACAAAUUAAUUAAUGCUUGAGUGGAGGACAGGCUUGAGUGGAAGAAUUGAUUAAGGCUUGAGUGGAAGACAAACUUCAGUGGAGGAAAGUAUAGAUAAGGAAAGCAUGCCUCGUUUAACGGCUUUAUCUAAUAAAGAUUACUUGUUGGCACUUGGAGUUUCUUAGGAAUGCUGGUUUUGUUUCCUUGGUGGACUUGAAAGGUGGUGCCUUGGCUCGGACAUCUCCCAAGACAUACAACUGCUCAUUAGCUGAAUAUCUCGCUCUCUUUAAAGAGAUCGAAGCAAACACAAUUUGCAAUUUGUGUGAUUCAAGCAUGAAUAUCUGAUAUAGUAACUAUACCAUUUGUUGGUUUGAUAAGAAAAGUUUGGUUAGCGAGGAUGAAACCAUAAAGUUCCCAAAACACACAAAGAACACGGACAAUUGCUAAGUUUAUUCUUGAGUUCACACAUAUUUGCACAAAUGAGAUUAUUCCAAGCAUGAUUAUACCAUUUGUUGGUUUGAUGUGAAAAGUAUGGGCAACGAGGGGUAAAACCAUACAAACACACACGAAGAACGUGGACAAUACUAAAUUUAUCUUUACGUUAUUGAUCCGACCUAACUGUAAAAUAAAAAAGAUGAAAAUAUAUAAUGUUCAGUACUUAGAUCUAUGAGCACUUGCACAAAACAUCACUUUUGGUCUUUGGUAAAUUUUUAAAAUAAAUGAAUUUUUUACUUAUUUGUGAACUGAAAUGCCUCUAAAAAAAUAAUGAUAGUUCGAAGAAUUUGAUAGAAAUUAAAAAAUAUCCUCAAAUUACUUGGAAUUGAAGACCACAUAGGCAAAAACACGAAAUUGAAACCUCACUUUAAUGAUAAAAAUGGUAAACUACAAAGACAAAAAUGACGUCUUGCCUUAUAAAUAAUUGGAAUUUGCUGGUGAUAAUAGUCGAUAUCAUCUUUUGUCGGUCCGACCUAAAAAGAAGAAAAAGUUAAAAGCAUCUUGUACCAAUUUUUGCCAAUGUGGGCCCAAACAAUUUGAAGAAGUCCACCGGCAAUUUCUCAAAAGCUAUUGUGUGAGUGUGAAGCUAAACCAAUAUUAUUUUGCAUAUCCGACCCCACAUCCCCAUGUGAUGUGAGGCUACAGAGGUGUUUCCAAAACGAAAUAUGAUAUUUCAAAACGUAGCUAUGUAUAGAGUCAUUUGUAUUUGCUUUCACAAUAACAUUUGAUUUUAUAUUUAUACAUUCUGAUAUUUUAACAAAUAAAUUGACUAAAUUUGGCCAACAGGAUUUAGCCGAAUAGAAAAGUUCUUAUUUAUGGACUAGUAAUUUUAAAUUUAAAAUUUAGACUAUCGCAUGUAUUUAAAAAAAACUAAACAAUUGGCUUAAUUUGAUAUAUUUCCUUUUUUUCCUUUUUGCAUUUUAUGCUGGUUGCCGUUAUUAAGUUUUAUCCUUAUUUUUUGUUGAAAAGAAAAUUGAAAAAAAUAAUAAUAAUUCCUACAGCUAGCAACUUCUCCACCUACAAAAAAUAAUAUUUUUUGUUUUAUCCUCAUGUGAGGCUACAGAAAAUUUUUGAAAACGAAACUGGAUAUUUUAUCUCUAACGACAGCUUUCAUACUUCGUUUACCCUGUGUUUCCAAGUUGUGCUAGCUAUUUGCAAACCUUGGAAUAUUACUUCAUCCAAAUCCCUUGCAGAGAAAAGAAAGAUAUGGCUUUGAUCGGAGAGGCCCUCAUCUCUGCUACCAUCCAGACGUUGUGUGACAAAAUUGCUUCGCCUGAGUUCACCGACUUAUUUCGGCAGAAAAAGCUCGAUGAACAACUCCUCAACAAGCUGAAGACGACGCUGUUGACCUUGUCCGUAGUGCUUAAUGAUGCAGAGGAGAAGCAAAUUGAGGAACCUUUAGUGAGAGACUGGCUUGACAAUCUCAGACAUAAUGUCUUGGCUGCGGAGGACUUACUGGAUGAAAUCGACACUGAAGCUUUGCGAUGCAAACUGGAAGAAGGUGAAGGUCAAACCCACAAUUUAACCAAGAAGGUACGUGAUUUUUAUCAACGCAUGAAUGUUGAGAUGAAAGAUUUAUUAGAAAGAUUAGAACAAUUUGUACAAGAGAAAAGUGCUCUUGGUUUGAGAGAAGGUGCUGGGAGGAAGGUUUCACGAAGAACAACAACUUCCUUGGUUCAUGAACCUUGUGUCUAUGGUAGAGAUGAAGUCAAAGAAAAUCUGUUGCCAAUUUUGUUAUCUGAUGAUGCAAGUAAGGAUGAUGUGUCUGUCCUCACCAUUGUUGGAAUGGGUGGGAUUGGCAAGACAACCCUUGCCCGACUGCUUUAUAAUGACGAUGAGGUGAAAGAACAUUUUCCACUUCACGCUUGGGUUUGUGUUACGGAAGACUAUGAUUCUAAUAGGAUAACUAAAACUCUUCUAGAGUCAGUCACCUCAAAGUCUUCUAAUAUGACAGAUCUAAAUUUACUUCAAGUUGAACUAAAAGAACAACUCAAGGGAAAGAAAUUCUUAUUUGUUUUGGAUGACCUAUGGAAUGAGAAAUAUGGUGAUUGGAAACGCCUCCAAACUCCUUUUACUUCUGGGGCAAGGGGAAGUAAAGUCAUUGUAACAACACGGAGCCAACAUGUAGUAUCUGUCCUGCAAAGUGUUCAUGUUCAUCACUUGGAACCCUUGUCGCACGAAGAUUGCUGGUUCUUACUUGCAAAACAUGCAUUUGGAAAUGAAAAUUGCAGUGAUCCAAACUUGGAAGAAAUUGGCAAGAAAAUUGCACACAAGUUCAAUGGGUUGCCUUUAGCUGCAGAAACACUUGGGGGUUUGUUACGUUGCAAUAUAGAUUCAGAGGAAUGGAAUACAAUACUAAAUAGCAGUAUUUGGGAGCUACCCUAUGAUAAAUGUGACAUUCUUCCGGCUCUUGGGUUGAGUUACCAUUAUCUCUCCUCCCAGUUAAAACGAUGCUUUGUUUAUUGUUCAAUUUUUCCAAAGGAUUAUGAGUUUAAAAAGGAAGAUAUAGUUCAAUUUUGGAUGGCAGAAGGUUUAAUUCCAAAAGCUGAGAAUGGAAAGAGCAUAGAAGCGGUAGCUAGAAAAUACUUUGAUGAGCUGUUGGCACGAUCGCUAUUUCAAAAGUCAAGCAAAUCCGGUUUCACAAUGCAUGAUCUCAUUAAUGACUUGGCCAUGUUCAUGUGUAAGGCAUUUUGCCUUAGGUUGGAAGGGGGGGAAUCACAUGUCGUAGAAAAAGUUCGGCAUUUUUCAUAUGCUAUGGAAAGAUUUGAUGCAGCUCCAAAAUUUGAGCCAUUACAUAGGGCUAAGUUUAUGCGGACCUUUCUACCCAUAUCAUUAAAUUUUGUUUCCACUUCUUAUGUAACUAAAAAGGUUCUACAAGAUUUGUUGCCGUCACUAAGAUGUUUACGGGUGUUAUCAUUGUCACAUUAUCAAAAUGUUACUGUGUUACCUGAUUCUAUUGCAAACCUCAUUCACUUGCGCUACUUGGAUCUUUCCGGUACCGCAAUUGAAAGGUUACCUGGGGUACUUUGCAAUCUCUACAACUUGCAGACAUUACUAUUGUCAAAAUGUUUCUCACUCCUUGAAUUGCCUGCAGACAUUAGAAAAUUGACUAAUUUACAGAAAUUGACAUUGCUCGGUUGUAGUUCUCUUAAUAAAUUGCCUGCAGGCAUGAAGGAGUUGACUAAUUUGCAUCAUCUUGAUGUCAGUGGAACUAAAAUUGAAGAGAUGCCGGUGCAAAUGGGUAGAUUGAAAAGUUUGAGAACAUUGACUGCAUUUGUUGUGGGCAAAUCUACUGGGUUAGGCAUAAGAGAACUGAGGCAGUUCCCGCAACUUCGAGGAAAACUAUCAAUUUUGAAGCUACAAAAUGUAGUUGAUGCGAGGGAUGCACUGCACGCCAAUAUGAAGCACAAGAAAGAUCUCAAGGAGUUAAAGUUUUCAUGGGGUGCGGAGGAUGCUGAUGAUUCCCAAAAGGAGAAAGAUGUACUCGACAAGCUCCAGCCUUGCGUGAAUUUGGAGAAAUUAUCCAUCAAAUUCUAUGGUGGAACCAAUUUUCCGAAUUGGUUAGGAGACUCGUCUUUUUCUAACAUACAAGUCAUGCAUCUCAGUGACUGUAGUUAUUGUUGGUUGCUCCCACCAGUUGGACGGCUACCGGCACUCAAAGAGCUCUGUAUAAAAAGAAUGAAGUCUUUGAGGACGAUUGGCGUUGAAUUCUAUGGCAGAAAUGGAGCUUAUCUGACUCAGCCAUUUCGAUCUCUGGAGAAGCUAGAGUUUAGGGGGAUGCCGGAGUGGGAGGAAUGGGUACCAAGUGGAAGUGCAAGUGGAGGUGAAUAUGGUCCAGACUUUCCUCGUCUCCAAAAGCUGAUUCUAAACGAGUGUCCGAAGCUAAGAGGAAGUUUGCCUUGUGAGUUGCCUUGCUUGAAGAAGCUUACGGUGUAUGGGUGUAAGGUUUUACAUGAUGGAAGGACCGCUACCGCAACUACCAAUAGUGUUAACUAUAAAUCUCUGGAAGAAUUGGAUAUAAGUGGUGGAUGCCAAACUCUGUUAUCAUUAUUAGAGACAAAGCUCCUGUCCCGACUUCGGAUUCGAAAUGUUGUUGACAUACAGUGCUUGCCCAACUGCAAUCGUCUUCAACGUUUGACUCUUUGCCUAACGCUGUCAUCGUUUCCCAAAGAUGGCCUACCCACUACAUUGACAUCACUUUAUAUAAACAAUUGUAGGAAAUUAGAAUUCCUACCUCAUGAGAUGUUGGCCAAAUUAACAUCGCUUGACUAUUUGUGCGUACAAAAUAGCUGUGAUUCAAUGAGGUCCUUCCCGUUGGGCAUUUUUCCCAAAUUGACGACGCUUCAAAUUCGUGGUUGUGAGAAUCUGGAAUCUUUUUCCUUGAUUGAAGAAGAAGGAGCUGUUGACAAUCUCAGCCAUCUCAAUUCCUUGCGUGUCUAUAACUGUCCAAAAAUGGUGUGUUUUCACGAGGGAGAAUUGCCCACUCCCAACCUGAGUCACUUUGUAGUCAUUGGUUGCGAGAAUUUGAAGUCAUUGCCCGAACGCCUUCACACCCUCACUGCCCUUCGAUCUUUGAAUAUAUGGAAUCUUCCGAAUCUGGAGUCAUUUGCAGAAGAUGGGGGUUUGCCUCCCAACCUCCGAUCUUUUAUCAUUAGGAAUUGUAAGAGACUGAGGGCACUUGACUCAGUGGGUUUGCAAGCACUUGUCUACCUUCAGAUCGAUGGAAGUGACCAUGUCUUGGAGACGUUGCUGCUCCCUACCACUCUUCACACUCUCUGCAUCUCUGAUCUAUCAACUCUGAAAUCUUUGGACGGAAAGGGUCUUGGACACCUCACUUCUCUUCAAACUCUAAAAAUUUACAGCUGUCCAAGUCUUCAAUGCCUGCCAGAAGAGGGUUUGCCGCCAUCUCUUUCUCAUCUGAGUAUCCGCUGUUGUCCUACCCUGGAGGAAAGGUAUAAGAAUAAAACGGGACAAGAUUGGGCAAAGAUAUCUCACAUUCCUUGCAUCGAGAUAGGGGAAGAAGUGAUCAUAUAAUAUGAGCUAUUCCAUAUUUCACGCUCAACCCUCAACUCUCAAAUCAAAGUCAGGUGAGGUAUGUGCCUUCUCUUACUUUAAAAAACUGCUUCUCUUCUUCUAAUUGAAUACAAAAACCAAAACACAUAUUCUCUUUCUCUUCCAAAAACCCAAAUACAUGUUGGACAUUGCCCAAAUUUGUCUCCAAAUUCCUAGUUUAAAUCAAAUUUAAUGCCUAUGGAUAGUUUGUUAAUAGGUUCAUGCCAUGAAUUAAUCUUUGGACUUUCCCAGGUACUGCAGGUUUGUUAUUAAUGUUGUGGCCUGAUAUUCGUCGUAUCAAUACGUUGAGGAGAGAGAUCGAUCAGCAAUUACAAAAUUGUUAGUGAAUUUAGCUUGUUUAUCAUCUCUCUCCUUUUGUUUGUUAAGUUUUGUUGUUCUAGGUUAAACCCUUGUCCCCGCAUUUCACAGCAACUCUGUGUUUUUCCACUCUGUUUAGAUUUCACUAGCAGGAGAGCCCGCGCGAUGCUGCGGGUUUUGAAAUUGUGUAGACAAAAUUAGAUUGUUUAUAUAUACAAUGAGAUUUAAUUUAUAACAUUAUGUUUAACUACAGGAGUGUAAGUUGCAAAAAAGUAUAUAAUAACAUAUUUUACAGGCUACUUGUUAUGGUAAAAUACUAUACUUGUUUGUAUAUACAUUGAGAUGUUUAUAGUAGGAAGUAGGCAUCAAAAUAGCAAAAGUUGGAUAGUUUUGUACAGAAUGUUAUUUAAUUGGGCAAGCUUUGUUUUGCACUUGCUUCAUGAUUUUUCUUCUCUUUCAUGGAAGUCUUGAUCCUGUUAUAAAAAAAAGUGAGAAAAUAGUAAAUGUUAAUAUUGAUGAAUGGGGGAAAUUGAGUUAGGACAAUAAUCAUAAACAUUUAAUUAUGUAUAAACAGGAAUAAUAUAAUUUAUUGAUUUAAUAAGAAAGUUAUAAAUAGUUUUUCAAUCUAGGAAAUACAAAGUUACAAAAUUAAGAGAACUAAUGAGCAAGUUGUAGAUGGUUUUCUAAUUGAAGUAAUACAAAGUAAACAUAUUUUAAAUUUUGUGUUUGUCUAAAAGAAAAGUUGAAGAGAGGCAAAAUAAUUAUGGUUGAAUAUAUGGAGAAAAGGAUGUCAAUAUAAUGUUUAGGUUUUUAUGUAUUAGGAAUAUAUGACUUUUUUGCUGUUAUUUAGAGCAAAAAUUAUUUAAGGGCUUGACAUUUCUGUUAAAAAACGGGUAGAAUCUACCCUGAAAAAUGGACAUUUUGCCAAAAAAUUCACCUGUAAACUAAUUAGUACUGAAUACCGAUUGGCGAAGGCAAGACAAUCAUAGUUGUGGAGUACAUAGUUAGAAAGAUGAAUGUGCAAACGUACAUCUAACCCCAUGAUAUACAUCUAACCCCAUGUGAACAUGAUUUAUUCUACAACAAUGAUUAUCAAUUUUCUAAUUGCUCAUUUUCCUAACCCUAAUCAUCACAAACCCAAAAUUAACUCUAAAAAUUUCAAAUAAGCAUGGUUCUAAACCAAUUUCUAACUUACUUAGCGAAGUCUUUUCUAUAAAUGAUAGUUGUUGAAGAAAAAGGGAAACGAAAAUAAGCUUUUAGUGUAUAAGUACAUUGAAGCAAAACAUGAAGAGAAUCCAAUAUAUAACUUCAAUAUAUAACUUUAAUUUUCUAUAAGUGUUGAUCUAAAUUUACAUCCCUUACCACUCUUCAAUUUAAAAAUAGUUUUAGCUACAACAAACAACUUCAGAGAGAAGAUUUGGCCCUGUUUUAUAAGGCAAAACCUCUCUAACCACAUGACAUACAUCUAACUCCAUGUGAACGUGAUUUAUUCUACAACAAUGAUUAUCAAUUUCCUAAUUGCUCAUUUCCCUAACCCUAAUCAUCACAAACCCAAAAUUAAUUCUAAAAAUUUCAAAUAAGCAUGGUACUAAACCAAUUUCCAACUUACUUAGUGAAGUCUUUUAUAUAAAUGAUAGUUGUUAAGGAAAAACGGAAACAAAAAUAAGCUUUUAGUGUAUAUGCACAGCACAGAAAUUGCAUGUAGCUUUCCGAUUUUUAUCCCAACUUCGUUUCUGUGGAAUCACAAAACUACAUACGCACAGCACAGGGAAGGGAAAAAAAAAAAAAGGCACAUUUAAGAGACACCUAUCUUCUCAUUCUACAUCACAUCCUCUUUUCCUAGCUUUCCAACCUUGCAACCAAAGCAAACAUCUUUCCUGAUAAAGGGUAGGAAAGAAAGUGGUUGUGUGAAUUGGGAUGAGAGAGACAGAGACAGAGACAGAGACAGAGAGACAAAGAGAGAGAGAGAAAAGAGAAAUCAAAGUAUAUAUAUAAAUAGUAAGUAUAGUUUAUAUCAUGCAAAGUUUUGAUGGUUUCGUUCAAAAAAAAAACAGGGAAAAAGUUUUGAUGGGUAAUUCUAGUAAUAAUGUUCUUAUAAUUCUAUAUAUAUAUAGAUAUCAAACUGUACUACCAUAUUCUUCCUAUAUAUACACUUGGUCGUCAACUACCUCUCUCUCUCUCUCUCUCUCUCUCUCUCUCUCUCUCUCUCUCUCUCUCUCUCUGUGACCUGCAUUUAUACAGAACCAAUUAUUCCAUCUUCACUAUACAUUUUCCUCAUCUUCCCAUUCAUAUUUUAUGGCUCUCUUGUUCUUCCUCCUAAUUCUUUUGGUCCCUGCAAGCAAUACUAAUUGGCCACCAUCACCUGGCUACUGGCCAAGUUCUAAAUUCAGGUCUAUGAGCUUUUAUAAAGGAUUUAAAACUCUCUGGGGUCCUCAGCAUCAAAGCUUAGACCAACAUGCAUUAACAAUCUGGGUUUAAUGAGGCCAGAAAAUUUUAAGAACUUAUCUACCAAGCAUACCAAACUGACAAAGCAAACCAUAUCUGUAUUUUAUCAUCAAUUUCAUCAAUUUUAUCACCAACAACAGAUAAAAAAAGGGAAUUUUUUCAAAAAAAAAAAAAAGGAAAAAACAUAAAUAAAAAAAGGGGCACAUUUAAGAGAGACCUAUCUUCUCAUUCUACAUCACAUCCUCUUUUCAUUUUGAAGCGGUCAUGUGUUGUGAGUUUCUUGUUUUAUAAAUUUUCAAAACUGUUGUUUAGAACUGCAAAAUUCUUCAUCAUAUAUCUUGCCUUCUAAUAUACAUUCUGUAUCAGGAAACUGGAAUGAGGCUUGCUCUUUGAGGAAGAGAAAUAAAAGAAAAAGUUGUGGCAAAGGUUCACGGAUGUAGUUGGAUUGUAGUGGGACAGAGAACAAAUUUAUUUGUUGCAGGGGAAAAGUCUCAUCCAAAUGCUAUGAAAUCAUGGCAACUUUAAAGUAUUGGACAGCAAUAAUGAAAGAAGAGGGCUAUGUUGGUGACACAGAUUCUUGCUUGCAUGAAUAAGAGGGAGAAAAGCCCCUAUGGUAUUGACUGUUGCCGCCAAGUGCAUAUUGUUAUUACUAUGCGUACUACAUCCCAAGGCCUCUCUCAGCAGGAUUACAAAGUAAACCAGAAUUACUAUCCCAGCAGUAUUCUGCAACUUUGCUCUGCACUUCCUUAUGUAAUCUCUCUCUCUCUCUCUCUCUCUCUCUCUCUCUAUAAAUAUAUAUAUACACACACACACACACACACACAUAUAUCUAGGCAUGCAUAUUUAUGAGUUCCCCAUUGAGGAGGGAUUCCCUUUUGAGGAUUUUAUAAUUAGAAUUAGACUGCCUUCUUAACCAAUAGUUGGGUUUGUGUGGUAAGGUAUGCUGGGUUUGUUGAUGUGGAUAUUUAUGCCUGGAGGUGCUUUGUUUUACUACUUCGUUGAAGUAGAAACAGACACUGACAAAGAAGCCCUUCAUUCUUUGUCUCAAUAGUGAUUGGUUUCUUUGAUCCUAUUCAUCAUAUCUGGUGGUGAGGUUGCCUAAUCAGCCAAAUGUUGGGUUCAACUACCUCUCUCUCUCUCUCUCUCUCUCUCUCUCUCUCUGUCUCUCUCUCUCUUUCUCUCUCUCUCUGUGACCUGCAUUUAUACAGAGCCAAUUAUUCCAUCUUCACUUUACAUUUUCCUCAUCUUCCCAUUCAUAUUUUAUGGCUUUCUUGCUCUUCCUCCUAAUUCUUUUGGUCCCUGCAAGCAAUACUAAUUGGCCACCAUCACCUGGCUACUGGCCAAGUUCUAAAUUGGCCAGAAAAUUUUAAGAACUUAUCUACCAAGCAUACCAAACUGACAAAGCAAACCAUAUCUGUAUUUUAUCAUCAAUUUUAUCGCCAACAACAGAUAAAAAAAGGGAAUUUUUUCAAAAAAAAAAAAAAAAAAGGAAAAAACAUGUUUAGUCUUUGCUUUCCAAUGUUUUAUCCAAAAACCUGAAAAUCAAAGUAACUAAAUAAAUGAACCCAAUCAUUCCUAAUUUCUAUUUUGUCAAAACCUAAUUAAGCUUCACUUCUUUUUUGCUUGUAUUUUAUCAUCAAUUUCAUCUAUUUUAUCACCAAUAGCAGAUAAAAAAAGGAAAUUUUUUCAAUUAAAAAAAAAAAAAACAUACUCAGUCUUUGCUUUCCAAUGUUUUAUCUAAAAACCUAAAAUCAAAGGAAUCAAAUAAAUAGGGUUUAGGGCUCAAGAACCUGAAAUCAAAAGAACCAAAAAAAUGAACACAACUCUACAUAGCACGAAAAAUCUCCCAGCCAACAAUCAAAUUCAUGAAAUAAAUACCAAAAGAUCUGUUAAAAAAUUGAUGAGAUGCAUACCUGAAAACAAAGGAUGCAACAAAGAUGGAAGCCUGAGUCGAAGCAAGAACGAUGGAAGCCUGAGUCGAAGCAAGAAAGAUGGAAGCCUGAGUCGAAGGUUGUAGAAAAGACGAAAUCUCCCGAUCCCAAAUCUGUGACACGAAGACUGAAAGCACGGCUGGAUUUGCAGCUCACCUCCCAAACAAAAAUCGACGGCCUUCAACGCAUCUCCAGCAACGAACACAACUCUUCCAUGGCUGCCCCCCAACCAGCUGGUUGGAAACGAACGGGAGAAAAUGGUUUCUCUCAGCGGACGAAACCAUCUCAACGAAGGGGGAGGGGCAAAAACGGGAACAAAAGAAACUGUUUAGUCAAGGGCAGUUUCGUCAUUUAACUGUGCUGCAGGAAAAAAAACGAAAACAGCAGAAAAAUGAGGGGCAUUUCCGUCAUUACACUGUGCUUAGCUACAGUGUUUAGUUGCAUUGGGUUUUAGUAUAUAUAUAAUUUAUGUUGUGAUUCGACUGCUGCUGUAUUUUAGAUUUAUAGGAACAGACCAAACAUGUUGAUUCUAUCACCAAAAUUAUAAAGUAUACUUCCAUUACAAUUAAUUUGUUGAUUCUAAUUUGGACUUGUAGGAACAGACCAAACAUGUUCAUACGUGGCAUUGCUCAAGUCAUCAUCAUUCGGGACAGAGAAUAAGCCUUCAAAUGUCUGCUGAGUCAAUGAACCUUUCUAGAUAUCUCAAGUGUAAUGGAAAUUGAUGAGUUACAAAGGAUUUGUAAACAUUUUCUACUGGAGGCUAGAAAUGCUUCAAAUAAAUGACUCUGUUGCAAUUAUUUUGUAGGAUCAAAGACUCUGCAAAGAGGUAAGAAAGUCAUCAUCAAGUAACUUCGCUCUUCAUACUUUUUAUUAGGGGUGGGCAUUGGAACCGCAAAACCGCAAAACCGAACCAACCCAAUCCGAAAAAAACCGAAAAAAACCGUGUUGACCGAAAAAGUCAAAAACCGAGACAAAUCCAAACCGAACCGGUUCAGACCGGUUCCGGUUCCGAUUUUCCACCUUAAGGAACCGGUCCAAUCCGAACCGGUCCAAUAUAAUUAAUUUUUAUAUUAUAUUUAUAUUUAUAUUUAAAAUAUCAAAUUUUGUAGGCCCAAACCCAACUAUUUCAUUAUACCAACAAAAAGCCCAAAUCUCCCAAGUCCAUUGCCCAAGUCCAACAAGCCAUAUUUUAAUAUCCUAAUCACAUCAAAUCUCACUUCACUCUCUCUCUCUGACGCACUCUCUCUUUUCCUCUCAGAUUUUUUUUACUCUCUUUUUCUUUCUUUCUUCUCUCUUCCGCCUCUUUUCCUCUAGGUUCUUUAACUUCUUUUUACUUCUUUCUUUCUUCACUCUUCUGCCUCUUUUCCUCAGUUUUUUCUUCUUCUUUCUCUCUUAUUCUUUCUCCUCUCAAUUCGUCUCCAUUUUUUUUCCCUCUCUUUCUCUGAUUUUCUGUUACUCUGAUUUUUUUCUUCUUGGUUUUAUGUUUCUCUCUCUCCCUCUAUAUCUCUUUCUUUGCAACUCUGUUUUUCAAUUUCUCCUUUUUUUUCUCUCUUCAUUUUUUGUUUCUCUGUACAUAUAUGUGUUCAUCUUGUAGAUCUGGGUGAAAUUCUUGUAGAUCUAGGUGAAGUUCUUGGAGAUCUGCGUUAAGUUCUUGUAGAUCUAGGUAAAGAGCCAAUUCAAAGCAGGUCAGCGUCUCUUAUCUCCCCAAUCCCUUGUGAAGAUAUGUAUUUUUUUUGUUGUCAACAAUCCAUUUUGGUGUUUUUAUAUGGUAUUGAUAUUUUCUAUGAUUUUGGGCUGAUUUGAGGUCUGAUUCUUUUUUUUUCUUUCAAUUUUUUCCUGUUGUGUUUUGAUAGACAUGUUCUCUAUUCCUGAUAUCAUUCCUCAGUGGCAAAAUCUUUGAGCGUUGUUGUAAAUUUUAGACGGGAAAGAAGCUCAUUCAUAAUUCAAAAAAAGAAAAUAAAGUUACAACAACUGACAAUUUGUUGCUCUUUGAAAUAGGUACUGAAGUAGCAUGGAUAAAAAGAAAGACUGAAGAUGUUGCAGAAGAUUGAAUAUGUUCUAUUUCUGUAAUUUGUUUGUAAUUAAAUUUGUUUAUUUUGUUUUGUUUUUAGGUUGUAAGUUUUAUUUUAAUGUUUGAUAUUUGUUGUUUUGUCAAAAAAUUGUAUUAAUGCUUGAUGGAUUCAUUCAAUUUGCAGUGCGUGGAUGUGAAUUGGGCCAAUCGGUAAUAAUUAGGCCCAAAAGGUUUUAAAUAUCAAUUGGGCUGAAACUUACAAAAAAAUUUAAGAACAAAAAAAAAAUCAAUUAAGCUGUGUGUCGGCCCAAACCGUAAAAACCGGAACCGAACCGGAUUCAAAUGGGUUCGGGUUGGUCCGGUUUUCUCAAGCAUUUUAGUAAAAAUCCGAACCGGACCGGACCGGUGAACAGUACCGGUUCCGGUUUUAAAUUGAUGCAAAAACCGGUCCAAACCGGACCGUGCCCACCCCUAUUUUUUAUUUUUAUUUUUAAAUAUCAGUAAUAACUGGGAAAGCUUGCAUCUCCUUAAAUUGCUCAUUCUUACAUCUUUUAUAGUUUGUUGAUCUUGGGCAAGUGGAGAGAGAGGCGUCAAGUGAUACGCAACAACCAUUUUCUGUGAGCUGAUUUGAUAAAGAGAAAUGGUAUGCUUUCUUGUCUUAAGCGGUGUGUUCUGCAAUUAUUUGAAACAAAGGAUGCCGCACUUCAAGUUCGAGAAAAUCAGGUAUUUUAGUAUUUUAUUCUUGAGAAAUUUGAUUUAUGUAGAAACUUGAACAUGUAAAUGAGAGAAAAAAAAAUAAAUAUAUAUAUAUAUUAUAUAUUGUAUAUGCUGUUAAUGAGUUAAUAUGGUGCUUGCUCCUAGUUGGAAAUUUAUGUAGUCAUCUACCUAUGAUCAAAUAAAGAUGAAAAAUAAAAUAAAAUUGAGAGCAUCUUCCUCUCCCCUGCUUUGCUCAUCCCUUGUUCUUCCACUUCAGCCCCACUAUUACACCAUUUUUUUCAGCCACAAUUAUAAUAGCUCCAUGAGCAUUAAGUCCCUUUCAAAUUCUGCUGACAUUCAAAAUUGGAAUCUGCUGGUGAUAUAUGAUAGCGUUAACAUAUUGUACCAUUUUGGCCAGUGUACGCAAUAUUAUUGCAUCCAACUUUGCAUAUUAACAUCAGUGGCCACAGUUACACGAUUUGAGUGCACAGAAAGGUUUCAAAAGUUGUCCCACAGAGAACAGUCGUUCAAAGUGAGAGAGUUUUGAAAGCUUAAUUACAAGUUCAUGUUGUUUACAACCUCAAAAAGCUUUCAUACUUGCUUACAAACCUGUAUUUCCAAGUUCUGCAAACCUUGGAAUAUCACUUCAUCCAAAUCCCCUUCCAAAGCAGGAAAAAAUGGCAGCAGCUUUGAUUGGAGAGGCUCUCAUCUCUGCUUCUAUCGAGGUGUUGUGUGACAGAGUUACUUCAGCCGAGUUCAUAGACUUAUUUCAGCAGAAGAAACUUGAUGAAACACUCCUCAUGAACCUGAAGACGACACUGUUGAUUUUGUUUGCGGCGCUCAAUGAUGCAGAGGAGAAGCAAAUUGUGAACCCUGCUGUGAUAGAGUGGCUUAACAGCUCAAGCAUGCUGUCUUUGAUGCAGAGGACUUACUUGAUGAGAUUGACACUGAAGCUUUGCGAUGCAAGCUGGAAGGUGAGGAUCAAACCCACAAUAAUUAACCAACAAGGAUCUUUUUGAUUGUUUGAAAGGAGGGUCUUUGAUGAUUUGAAAGGAGAGGGUUGCUUCAUUUCUGUUGGAUGCUUAAUUAAAUCUUAUCUGGACUUGAACAAGGAUUAGGUUAGCUGUAUAAUUCGUGGUAAACACCUUUUUCUAAGGUUCAUUUAGACUCCUAUUACGAUUAAUUUGUUGUUUCUAAUUUGGACUUGUAGGAACAGACCAAAUAUGUUCACACGUGGCAUCGUUCAAGUCAUCAUCAUUUCAGACAAAAUCAGCCUUCAAGUGUCUGCUGACUCAAUGAACCUUUCUAGAUAUAUCAAGUGCAAUGGAAAUUCAAGAGUUACAUAGAGAUUUGUAAACAUUUUGAAGAUUGCAACACCUGCAAGUGAGAUAGGUGGUGACGAAAUCAGAGCUGAUCUUGAAGCCUCUGAUGCCCCUGUCGUUGCAAGUUGCACCUGAGAACAUGGUUUUUUUUUGGGUAAAAAACCAGCAACAUGUUCGGGGCUGGCAAUUCAAUCCCUGAUGAACUUGAGAAGCAAAGCUCCAGUAAGGAAAUUGGUCGAGGUCACGACAGGGAUAAUUGAUGGUGAAAUGGAUGCUAUUUCUUAUUGCAGCCUGUUCUCAAAGUUCUUGUUGGCAAAAGCAAGAGAUGGAGUAUUUUGAUUGGGAGGAGAGAUAAUGACAUGUGUUGACAAUUCUAGAACAGCCCAUCUGAGUUCUUUUGUCAGGCUGCAUCAUUUAAUCCCAGCAAAAAUCCAGUUUUUGCUAAACAAUCAAAUUGUACACAUUUUUUCUUUUCGAGGAAUUUAACAUUACACAUUUUUUCAUUUUUUCAUCAAACAGUUUUCUAAUGCAUUUGUUGUCCCAAGUUACAAUGAGGAAUUUGGAUUGAGUUUCUUGUGUUAAUAACAUUAUACUUUCAUGGAAUGGUUUAUCUUCUUUUUCUGGACAAAAAUAUUUAGAUUAAUUUCUUGGAAUAAUUUUUUAAUAAUUUUUUAAUUGCAGUAGCGAAAAAAGGAAAAUUGUAUUUUUCAAAACCAAUCUUAAGUCCAGUUUCCUCUUCUUGGUCGUCACACUUGGAAAUUGCUAACCAUAUAUAACUUGGGGUAACAAUCUUAGUCCGAAUGUGUACGAUCUUAGUCCGAUCAAUGGCUACGCGUAUUGGCUCGGCCUUGGGGUCUACCAUUCCAGUGUACAAGCUUCCUGGGUCUUGGGGCAAUUCCUUCAAAUUGUACACAUGUUUUCUUUGAGAAGCAAGGCUCUAGUAAGGAAAUUGGUUAUGUAACAAAUUUUGGUCCCUUUGGAUGGAAUGAUUUACAAUGAGGAAUUUUAUUAUUAUUAUUUUGUUUUUGUUGUUAGUGUAAUGAAAAUGAUCUAGGUUCAUACACUGGGUAUAGCUCUAAUUUGGCCAAUUUCAUUAUUUUAGUUUCUUCAUAUUUUCAAUUAUUAUAAUUUGGUGCGUUGUUUUUUAAAAACAUUCAUGAGAAUCUCCAUUUUUUAGGUGUUUAAGUUAUUCAUCCACAACGGUUUUAUAAUACCGUCAUCUUUUCAAACACAACGAUGAUUUUUUAAUCUAUCGUCGUUGUUUUCUGAUCGUCUUUUUCACUUUUUGUAGUAGUGUCAAUAAGUAAGAUGAAAUAAUACAUUCACAAUCUGUUUAAAUUUUAAAUUAAAAAAAACACAAGAAAAUUUUAAAUAAGUAAGUAAUUUUAAAUAUAUAUUUCCAUUGUUUUGGUUUUCUUUUCAUAUUAGUUUUCUACUAGCUGCUAAUUUCAUUUAAAUUGUUUUUCUUACUUCAUUUAACUUUUAAGCAUGCAGAUGCAAUCAUGACUUCUUCUUUUUUUCAAUAGACUGAUUCUCUUCCCACAUAUAUAAUGCUCUCUAAGUAUUCGUAAUAUGAGUAGGAAUUUAUUUUCAUUUCACAAGAAUUGUCCAUCAAAUUCUGAUAGGUUUGUCGAUAGCACAAGCAUGCACAUAUAGACACUACAAGAACUUUGUUUCUUCAUUUUGUUUCCUAAAGAUUUGUUGGCUUCGUGCAGAUGAAUAACAAGUCUCUCUGUCCUCUAUUUCUUCUUUUUCUUUUUUAACAAUUCAUAUUCUACUUUCUGUUUUCACCCAGUAAAAAUUGAUUUUAGACAUGGGCUUCUAAAUUAUGUGCGGAUAAUGGUUGCAUUUAUAGAAUAUCCAUGGGCUUCUAGUCACCGUGGUUGUUGAUUCAGCAUGUCAUAUUACUCUUGGACUAGCUGUUGACACUACUACAUUUUACACUUUGCGCGACGAAGAACAAAACGUCGCGCAAAGUCGCAUUUAGUCGCCCCAAUUUCAGCGCGACAAAAACGUCGUCGCGCAUAUUCCGUCGCGCGAAGAUCGUGAAGAAAGCCUUUGCACGACGAGGUACAACCCUUCGUCGCGCAAAAGUGUGCGACGGGUAAACCAUCGUUGCACCAACGGUGUGGAGACGAAACAACCCUUCGUCGCAAAAAUAUUUGCGCGACGAUAAAUUAUGCGGCGCACGUAUAUUUGCGAGACGACGGGAAUUGCGCGACAAAACAUUAUUCGUCGCGCAAAAUAUGUAUGGGAGACGUAUAUGUUCGUCGCAGAACAAUUCGCGCGAUGAGAAAGUUUUCGUCGCACAUAUAAUUGCGCGACGAAAAAUUAUGUCGUCGGCCAAAUAUUUUGCGCGACGAAACAUUUCGUCGCGCAAAACGUGUUAUGUGUUCGUCGCGCAUGAAUUAAAAGUGAUAAAAAAAUAUUUGAUUUUUUUUUGUUACAUGUUGGUUUGCGCGACGAAAGAUUUUCCGUCGCGCAAAAAUAAUAUUACAAUUUUUUUUUUAUUUAUAUUUUUUAUUUGAUAUAAAAUUGGUUUCUUUUUAUUGAUUAAACAAUGAAAUUGCAAUAAAAAUAAAUUAGAAUAAAAUUUUGUUAUAAAAUAAAAUAAAAUAAAUGUAUUACAAAUAAAAUAAAUACACUAAUCAAAUAAUGAAUCAAAAUCAACCGAGUCGUCGCCAGUAUGCGGCUCGGAGGGCGGGGCGUUCACCGGGGCAGUGGUCUGGUGGGGAUGCCCGGGAUGGACGGGCUCAGAGGUCGGCGCAUCAAAAUGCGGGACUGGAAUGCCGGACUGUGCGAGGGACUGCAGAAUGACCGACAUCUGGCUCUGAAGAGUGGCCACCUGUGCUGUCAAAGCAGUGACCUGACUGUUUGACUGCGCCGAUGAACGAGGUCGAGGUUCCCUCCGCCGGGCAUUCCCCAUCCCUCGACAAUAUGUCCCCGGCCUCCUCCCGAGAGUCUGAUCCAACGUCUCCGUCAAUAUCUGAAAUCCAGCAUCCUGUGGAGGAGCCACAGACUCGAUCGGAGUCUCGGGAGGAAGCUGGGAGGCGGACUCCUGAAGAACAAGCUGGCUCCUCUCCACCAUCGUCGUCUGUUGAACAUAACAUAAAAUAUAAAUUAAAACAUGCAUAUAAAUUGAAUGCGUAACAUAAGAAUUAAAAUUAAAUAAUACUUACAUGAAGGGACUCGGCCAACUCAUUCCCGGGUCGAACAUAAACGUCACCAAAGACGUCGAUCUCUGGGAACUUGGACCCCUCCUAAAUUGAACAAGAGAAGAAAAAUAUUAGUAUGAAAAAAAUAAAUUAAUAAAAAUGACAUUAAAAAUGAAAUAAAAAUUUUGUGAUUAUUACCCGACGCCGUGCAUCCAUCCUAUAAGAAAAGGGUCUGGAGCCGGAAUGGUGGAGAAGGGUCUUCUUCUUCCUAUUACCCUUAUUCACUUGGGCUUUAUUCUGUUAUACAAAAAAUGAAACGUAUUAGUUAAAAUAUAAAAAAUUAAAUAAUAAUGAAAUAAAAAAAUAAAAUAAACAUUAAUAAGUAAUAAGUAAUAAUUAAACAAAUAUAAUUAAAAAAAUACCGCAAAUUCGGGCGCUUGAAAAUGAGCGCAGAGCCACUCCCAACUAUCCUCCCGCCCCUCAAGCUCCUUCGGGCAACCCUCCUGAAGAGCGACUUGCGGAUCAUCAUAGGCCUGAAAAUGGUGGUGCAAGUCGCUCUUCCACUGCUUGUACCUCUCAGCGAAGAGUCGGUUGACGUACGUCAACGACUCUUCGUCGAGAUCCUCCAAGUUAUAGUUCGUCUGCAAUCAAUUAAUUAGAUACGUUAAGUAAUAGAAAUAUACACAAUUUUAAAGAAAAAUAAUGAAAAUGUAAGGUACAUACCGACAACUGGCCGUGAAUCUCCGCCUGGAUCUCGUCAGGCAUGACCCUCCAAGACUUCCAUUGCAUCGGGCAAUGGGUCCGCACGACGUGGCCAAUGUCGUGGGCCAAGGAGCUAUGCAACUUCGCCGUCGGUGCAGCACGAUGGCGCUCGUCGUAUCCGAUGCUGAUACGACUGUUGGUCACCCGGGUGACCUUCGCCGUCUUCAGCUGACGACACGGUCCUCGGGUGUUCCUCUUCGCUGCAAAGAAAUAAGGUAUUAAUGUUAAAUAAAAAAACAUUGUCAAAUUUCAAUAUAAAAUUAACAAUACAAAAGUGUAGUUAUACCUGGCUGUGAUCCCGAGGCACCAGUACCGUCGGUCGAUGUCGUGUCGAUGGUGUCGGUGGGCCGGUGCCGCCGCCUAGCACUAGCUGGUUGCGCCACGGAUGACGCAGAUGACACAGGCGCCUGGGGCGCCCCGGGACCAACCACCACGUGGUCCAACAAAGCAGGAGCAGUGGCAGCAGAUGCCGACUGAGCCAGGGGAUCCGAACUCGGUGCAGUCGUCAUCGACCUACCACGUCUAAUCAAGUCUGACAUCUGCACAUAUAAUUUCAUUCAGAAUGUAAACUAAUUAAUUAAAAGCAUAGCCUGACCUAGGGUUUGGAAUUUCGGAGUAUCCGGGACUCCGAUCAACGAUCGGUCGAAUCCUAAACGAUCCUAGAAACACAAAGGUACAACUACGCGAGUUUCAGUUCGAUCCAACGGUCCGAACAUAUCAAACCUGGAAAUCGCACAAUAGGCGAAAUUCGAUCAAGACUCAAACGGUAACCAAAUUCAAAUCCGAGCAAACCUACGCGCUCGUGACAAACAGGGGAUCGCUCUGGGACACAAUGCCCCACUGCCACAGCAUCCCACGCGCCGGCAGCGCGUGGGUGUCCAAAGCGAUAACAUUCGCCGGAAAAUUCUAAAAACUAACGGCCAAGGUUCCUACCCUAGGUUGAAAACAAUAUUUGGCGCCACUUUUGUUCUCGGACCUACCCCGAAAAAUGGCCGGAAGUGGCCGGAUUUGAAAUUGCCAAACCGGCCAAAACCUAGGGUUUUAAUUCCUAUUUCCUAUACCCAUCAGCUAGAGCACAAAAAAUAGUCGAGAAAUCAUACCUCAGGCGUCGGAAAUGGUGGCCGGAGGAGAGAGAAAACGGCCGGCGAGGAAUCGGUGAAAAACCGACGAUGUGCGACGGCAGGCUCGACGGCGAAGGCAGGGGAGGCUAUGGCAGGAGCGGCGGUGGCUGAGGUGACGGCGGAGAGAGAGGGCUGAGGUGACGGCGGAGAGAGAGGCAAACGGAGGAAAAAACCAGAAAUGGGGAAGAAGGAGGCAUCGCGACGUUUCUGCAAAUUUUUACGACUUUGCGCGACGAAUCACAUCAUUCGUCGCGCAAAAUGCUAUUAAUGAAUCUUGCGCGACGCUAUAUCCGUCGCGCAAGAUCUGUCAGAACGCCAAAUUCUGAAAGUGGAUUAGGGUCUGUAAGUUUUGCGCGACGAAAUAGACAUACUUCGUCGCGCAAAAGGCUGUCUUUCCGCCAAAAUUUUGGGAUUUAGGGUUUAGCGGGAGGCUGAAACUGAAGGGUUUGCGCUUUUGCGCGACGAAGACGGUAAACGUCGCGCAAUGGUAACCUUGCGCGACGGAACGUAUUAUAUUCGUCGCGCAAAAGGCUAUCUUUCCGCCCAAAUUUUGGGAUUCAGGGUUUAGCGGGAGGCUGAAGGGUUUGCGCUUUUGCGCGACGAAGACACUAAACGUCGCACAAAAGGCUGUCUGCUGAAAUGAAUGGUUUCUGCUUUUGCGCGACGAAGACAAUAAACGUCGCGCAAAACGUUGUCGUUCCGCCAACAAUUUGGGGUUUAGGGUUUAGUGUGAAAACUGGCGCCCAGAUUGCGCGACGAAGAGUACAUAUUUCCUUCGCGCAAUCUAUUUCACUUUCACUUUGCGCGACGGAUAUGUUGGUUCGUCGCGCAAUCUUCAAGAUUUUCAUUGAAAUUUUCACUAAGUGUUCAAAGGGGAUGGAGGUGUGAAAACUGGCGCCCAGAUUGCGCGACGAAGAGUACAUAUUUCCGUCGCACAAUCUAAUUCACUUUCACUUUGCGCGACGGUUAAAUUGUUCGUCGCGCAAAAUGUAGACCCUAAACCCCCUUGUAAACCCUAAACCCUGAACCCUAAGCCAUAAACCCUAAACCCUAAAAUAGUUUCAAUGAUCCAACCGGCAAACUUAUUGUUUGAAACUUGGAGAUCAUAUACGCCAAAAAUCAAGAAGACCAAACAUUCAGAUAUCAGGGAACGGGACUAAAUAUUUCGACGGUUAUAAAUGAAAAGUCAUGAUUUAACGGUUAUUGUAACUCCGAUUUUGAUCAAUUUUGACAGCAGCAUUUGUUGACCCUAUAUGAAUACAAUGACUGAAUUUGAUCUUCAAUUUCAGAUUUUUACACUAGGGGAUACCACAUAAACGUGAAGUUACAUUUGCACAAAUGUAUAAACAAAUUUUAGGGUUUUUGGUGAAUAUAUGAUUUUGAUAGCACAUGCAGUCUACGAAACAAGUUUCAGUCAUCCAGCCGUCAAACUUGUUUUUUUAGACUUCGAGAUCAUAGACAGCAAAAAUCGGACAAAAAAAACAUUCAGAGAUUAAGCAACGGGGUAAAACUUUUCGACGGUUCUAAAUAAAAAGUGAUGAUUGAACGGUUAAUUUAACUCCGAUGUUGAUGAUUUUUUGCAGCUACAGUCCUACACUCCAUAUGAAUACAAUGAACUACUUCGAUCGCCAAUUUUAAAUAUAUAUGUGUGUAUAUAUUAUACUAUAACGUUACCUAAUAUAUAUUUGCGCGACGAAAGUUUGCUUAUCGUCGCGCAAAAAUGCCAUACGCGACGCAUGUAUAUAUGCGUCGCGGAAACUAUGCGCGACCAGUUGUAUUCGUUGCGCAAACAUUACGCGACGCUUAUGUAUGCGUCGCGUAUGGUAUGUUUGCGCGACGAUAUGGAGCCCUUCGUCGCGCAUGGAUUUGGCGCCAUAAAUCCUCAUUGAUUUCAAAUUGUGUAUGCUUUGUAUUUUUUAGAAAGGUUUUGUAUUCAUCAUUUUUUAUGCUUUGUAUUUUGUGGAAAGGCUUUGAAAUAUUCAUUUCUUUUGUUAUUUUUAUUGAAGCUUUAACUUGUUCUGUUCCGCAGAAAAUUCCAAUGAAGUUUGUGAUGAAAUAUGGAGAAUGAAUACACAACUACAUAUGGACAACUACACAUAUUCAAAGAUUUGUAUUACACAAAAUUAAUACACUAACAUAAUAAAUUUACAAAUAAAUUCAUUAUUCAUCAUCUGAACUAUAAUAACUUUCGUUAUCGUCGCUAGCUUUAACUUGUUCUGUUCCGCAGAAAAUUCCAAUGAAGUUUGUGAUGAAAUCUGGAGAAUGAAUACACAACUACAUAUAGACAACUACACAUAUUCAAAGAUUUGUAUUACACAAAAUUAAUACACUACAUAAUAAAUUACAAAUAAAUUCAUUAUUCAUCAUCUGAACUAUAAUAACUUUCGUAUCGUCGCUAUCAUCACUCUCGGUCUCCCAAUCUUCUUCCUCCUCCUCCUCUAUAACUGCAUCAUCGGCGUUGCUAGGGCCCACUGCAACAUCGUAUCGGGGAAGAUCACCGAGGUCAAUUGUAAUUGACUGAAUCGGUAUUUCGACUGAAGACACUCCUUCUAUUUGAAACGGUUCUUGUAUAACAUUUGUAUCUCGAAGUGUUUCCGCAUCAUUUUCCAUUGAAGAUUCUAAACGAUGGUCAGCCACAUUGUCGACGUCGUUGUCACUUGGGUCUAGUUCUGGUAUAUUAUACACGUUCCUAUGAUCCAUCUUCUGCACAACUUUCCACCCGUUCCCGGCUUUAGGGUCAUCUAGAUACACAAUUUGGGACGCCAUGUUUGCCAAAAUGUACGGGUCGUCAUCAUACCAAGUUCUGUUAAUAUUCACAGACAGUACUCCAUGGUCGAUUUUAACACUUCCCGCCCUAUUUGGGUUGGUAUCGAACCAUCGACACUUAAACAUGAUGACUUGGUAUCGAUCUUUGUAAAGCAAUUGCACGACAGUUGUCAGUUUGCCAUAGAAAUCAAUGUCUGUACUUUCGCCUCCACCUGGGACAUGAACACCGCUAUUUUGCGUACACAACUUGUCAUCUCGUGCGGCCCCUAAAAAUUUGACGCCGUUAACAUUACAACCCGAGAACAAUUCAGCGCGAAUUGGGCCGAACGCCAAGUUAUAUAACUCAUCACUGUAAGUGGGGGAAUUCGAUGAUUUCAAUUUAUUCACCUAAUAGUAUACAAAACCAUUUACAUGUUAGUCUGACAAAAUUAAAUACUAAAAUUUAUAUUUGUCAAUUACAAAACACUUAUAACUUACAGAAUCCAAAAACCAUUGUGGAAAUAAUUCACGGUGUUUCCGGGCAACCAAAUGUGAUGGAUGUUCUCGCUUCAUCAUCUGUUCAUGCUCAUCUAAGUAGGCCAUUAUCUCAUCACAAUUGUUCAGUACGAACCAAUGCGCUACCUCCAUGUCAUUUCUAGAAAACGACUCUCCUCGUCCAGGAUCUCCAAAUGGUCGUGCGCUUUGGGCAAAAACAGAAAGUUUUUCAUUUCUCAUACCUCCGUCAUUAUUGCGGUGAGGACGAUUGAAAACCGUCUCCACAUCUUUUAAAUACAUUCCACAGAAAGUAAGCGACUCAUAUUGAACCCAAGCCUCUAUAAUUGAUCCUUCGGGCUUUGCCCUGUUGCGUACACUUUUUUUCAGCUCUCCGAGAAGCCUGCCAAAAUAAAACGAUAUGAUACAAAUUAGCAAAGUGUCGAUAAUGAUGCAUACACAAAUGAUAAAGAUUAUAUACCUUUCUAUUGGAUACAUCCAGCGAUAGUUGACAGGACCAGCAAGCAAUGCCUCUUCUGGCAAGUGAACCAUCACGUGCAUCAUACUUAUAAAGAAAGCUGGAGGAAAUAUCAUCUCAAACUUGCAUAGGACUUGGACAAUGUCAUGGCGCAACUGAAACAUGUCUGUCCUUCGCAAUGUUUUUGCCGUCAGUUGGGAAAAAAAUCUGGAUAACAACAUGAUUGGCUUCACCACAUCUUCCGGCAGUAAGUGUCGAAUACCCACAGGAAGUAGGCGUUGCAUGAACACAUGGCAGUCAUGGCUCUUAAGUCCAGUAAAUUUACCCCCAUCGACAUUCACGCAACGUGCGAUAUUAGAAGCAUACCCAUCGGGAAAUUUGACAGACGAUACAAACUUUAGAAACUCCUUUUUGUCAUUCGGUUUCAUAGAAAAGAAUGCAAGAUCCCUUCUAGCUUUAUCACUGUCCCUAUUCAUCCAUAAACCCCUUCGUAUGCCCAUUCUUUCCAAAUCAAGACGAGCUUUGAUCGUGUCCUUCGUCUUCCCCUCGAUAUCUAGAAUCGUGCCCACCAAUGUGUCGAAAACAUUUUUCUCAACAUGCAUCACAUCUAGAUUGUGCCUCAAUUUCAGUUUCGACCAAUAUGGGCGCUCAAAAAACAUAGACUUGUGCGUCCAGUUCAAAUGUGUAGAAGGUCGGGUCCGACUAACUGUUUUCCCGAACGGAGCAAAAUCCAAACGGUUCAGCUGUUCCAAGAUCUCAUCACCGGACCAUUCUCUAGGUCUGAGGCGACGCUCUGUGUUCCCGUCGAACUCUUUAUCUUUUUCUCGCCACUCGUGGUCCCAUGGCAACCAUCUCCGAUGACCAAGGUAACAAACUUUUCCCGCGUGCCAACCAGAAGUUACAUCUUCCUUGCAUACAGGACAUGCCAUAUAACCCUUUGUGCUCCACCCAGAAACCAUUGCAUAUGCUGGAAAAUCAUUCACAGUCCACAUAACUGCUGCUCGCAAAGUGAACAUCCUCCCAGUUGAUUUAUCGUACGUGCGAACACCGUUUGUCCAUAAAUCCUUCAGCUCAUCAACCAGAGGCCUUAAGUACACAUCAAUUGACCUGCCAGGAUCCUCAGUUAUCAAAACAGUCAUCAUCAUGUAUUCUUUUUUCAUGCAUUUCCAAGGCGGCAAAUUAUAUGGGAAUGCGAAAAUCGGCCAAGUGCUGUGGUGUUGGUUUAGAACCCCAUACGGAUUGAAUCCGUCAGUGGCAAGUCCCAAUCUAACAUUUCGGGGAUCAGCAGCAAAUUCGGGGAACGUUCGAUCGAACUCUUUCCAUGCCUCCCCAUCUGCAGGAUGCCGCAUCACAUCAUCGUCUACCCGUUUUUCCUUAUGCCAUCUCAUGUCUGUGGCAGUAUGCGUUGACAUAUACAAUCGCUGCAACCUAGGUUUAAGGGGCAGAUAACGCAUGACUUUUUGUGGUAUCUUAGUCGUUCUAUUCUGGGAUGUCAGUUUGAACCUCGACUCAUUGCAUAUAGGGCAUGUAUCCAACGUUUCAUGCUCUUUGUAGAAUAACAUGCAAUUGUUUUUGCAAGCGUGGAUUUUUUCAUAACCCAAUCCAAGACCGUGCAACACCUUCUGUGCAUGUUUAUGGUCUUUCGGCAAACAAUUGUCCGUCGGAAGCAUUCUCUUGAAAACCCCCAAAAAGUAAUCAAAACACAAGUUCGACAUACGAUACUUUAUUUUUCCGUGCAUUAGCUCCACAAUGGCAGUGAGAACGGAAAACCUCUCGCACCCCGGGUAUAACUCUUGGUUGGCAUUUUUUAACAGUUUUUCAUACUGUUCAAACUCCGCACUGUCUAUUGGUGUAGGCACGUCAUCUUCCCCUUCCUGAUUGAUGUUGGUCGAUGCGAAUGGAAAAGCAUCCUGUAUAAUACCCAUGACUUGAUCAUUAGGAUCCACAAUAGGUUCAACAUUGUCCACUCUCGGGGCAUUUGAAGACGAAGCAUGGUCUACUUGUUCGCCGUGAAGGUUCCAAAUGCUAUAUGUUUCAAUCAUUCCAUUCCUUACUAAAUGAAAUCCAACAUUUUCAAUUGUCUCCCACAACGUGUUGUUACACCUCCUACAAGGACAACGGAUUCUAGUUGCACCCGGGUUGUGUCUACGUGCAAACUCAAUAAAAUCCUCGAUUCCAUCCAAGUAUUCGUCUGCGCAUCUAUUCGGGUUCUGUAUCCACCUUCUGCUCAUAAUUCCUGAAACCACAAUCACGACACAACAAUCACAACAACUUCAUACGAAGUUAUAAUGUCACCUUAUGCCUCCGGUAAGGGCCCUAUCCCAUUCGGGAAUGCAUAGUCCUGUCACGUAACCUACGGCUACAUGAGAUUAGAUUUCGACGUGGAUUAAUUUCAGCAGCAUCUCGACACAGUUCUUGAAGUGGGCAUAGGUAUAAAUACCUACGUACCACCCGAAGAACGUACCGAGAUGACACCGAAAUCUCCACAAUCGAAACCUAAUCCUGUAGCCGAAGAUUAUGUGACAACACUAUGCAUUACCAAACUGUCCAAAUAAUGGGACAAUUCAAGAAUUAAUUGGACCGCAGUCAUGCAUUACGCAUCCAUGCACGAAAUUCAACUAAUCUCGAACGGGAAACUACGUGUUACUAAACAUAAAAAUAAAAGUACGAAGUUAAUUUCAAUUAACUUCGUACAUCACAACACAUUGUGCUAUGUCACGCACAAUUUCACAACAUUAUACACAUAUAACUUCACAAAAAAAUUACAAACAUAACAAACAAACUUUUACAAUAACAUACCUUCUCAAUCGUUCUCCACCAAUCACAAAUAUCCCUAACGAUAACAAAAUUAAUAGCGUUACUACGAAUUUACAUUAAUACAUUUAAACUAACGACAAAAAAUACAUACCCAAUGAACGUACUGAAUUCACAGUAGAGCAACGGCAGAGAGAGUGAGAGAGAGGUAGAAUGCAGUGGGAGAGUGAGAGAGAGGCAGAAUGCAGAAACUGCAUUCUGCCUCUGCAAUGGAACUGGCUAAAAUGAAGAAGAAGGACUUUGCGCGACUAACAAUCCAAUCCGUCGCGCAAAAUGCCGUCGCGAAAACCCACUUUUCCGUCGCACAAAAAAACAUUUCCGUCGCGCAAUUACCUGCCGACAUCAGGUUUUUUGCGCGACGAAUACAAUUAUCCGUCGCACAAACAUCCGUCGCGCAAAUAACAUUAUUCGUCGCGCAAGGUUUAUAUUACGUCGCGCAAAUAACACUUAUUUCGUCGCGCAAGAAAUUACACUUUACGCGACGAAGGUAAUUCCGUCGCGCAAAAAAGUUUUUUCCACCCUGCAUUUUGCCGCCAAAAUUAAGUAACCCUCGUUUUCUUACGCGACGGUACAUAUUUCCGUCGCGCUAAGGCGUCUUUUGCGACGAAAAUGUUCGUCGCGCAAGAUUCUGGCGCCAAAAACAUAAACUGGGGAUUUUUCCCCGACCUUUGCUCGACGAAAUUAGUUUUGGUCGCGCAUAGAUUGUUUGCGCAACGAAGAUUGUUCGUCGCGCUAGUGUUCUGCUGUUUGCGCUACGGUAUUUUUUUUUCGUCGCAAUAGUGAUUUUUGCGCGACGAAAAUAUAUUCGUCGCGCAAACGUCCGUCGCGCAAAUAGUAAAUCGUAGUAGUGUGAUUUGGUUUAGACUUGGUUUAAUUAUCAUUGUUGUGGUUGGUUCACCAAAAAGAUUUGGCUUAGAAUUACCAGUUUUGUUGUUGGUUUAGUUAUGCUUGGCAUUUGAGGAUCCUAUGCUUACUUGUAUGGGUAAUACAUUUUAUUGAUCGUUUCAUAUACUAAUUAUGAACUUUUAGUUCCAUUGUGCAUUUAAGAGUACACAUAUUUCAUAUGUAAUUCGAAAGUUUGUCGCUGAAAUUUCUGAGAAUUUGAAACUAGAUAAGCACACCUUGCACAAAGUUCAUAUAUUUUCUUCCAGCAAGUCUGUCUAUUAACCCCCCUUAUCUGAAAUUAAUUGUUAAAAGUUCUGAUUCAUCUUUAAUCAUUGUCUUACCCUUGUUGAAUAACACUCCUCAUUCUAAUUUAUAUUCGAAGUUUGAGGUUUCAAUUUCAAUUGUGGGCUUUGAUUUUACAGAUUUUGUUUGUCAAUUUCAAUUUGGACAAAGCAUAUGCAAACAAAGUAAGGCAUUAUCUAUUAUUUGGAUCAUUUCCAUAUGUUUAUAUGUUUUUAAUAUCAUUUGCCUAUGUAGUUGACAUGUUAUAACAUUUUCGUAGUGUUGAAUAUAUAUAUAUAAUAAUUUUAUUUUAGUGGAUGUGAGAUCUCAGUUUGUUGCUUUAUAUAAUUAUUUCUUUGCAAUUUAAUUUUUUUUAUCAGUCAUACUAUUGUUGACGGCUAAAAACCAUCAAGAAACAACUCUUAAGUUUUUUAAAAAAUAAAUAAAUAAAUAAAGAUUUGUUGAUGCUUAAAAAGCAUCAAGAAAAGAUAGUUUCUUGACGGUUUUGUGACGUUUCAUAACCGUCAUGAAACAUUACAUUUUGACGAACGUCUUUCUGAUAGUGGCAUCCGUGACGCUUUCCGAGCCAUCAAUUAAGGGCUAUCGUGAUGCUUUUUAGUUGUCAGCAAAAGGUGUUUUUCUUGUACUGUAUUCACUCAAAAUCGUUUUUCAUUUAGGGUUGCUAGUGUGGUUGAAUGCCAUUUGUUUUGUUAAUGAAUAUUAUACAUUAUGGAUUUUUGUAGAAAUGUCGCUUGAAAUUAUACCUCAGUUUCAAUUUGUCACCUUAAAGAAAAAUUUAAGAGAAAUGUCACCUUAAUUUUUCAAAAUCCACGAUUUGUCAUCUCACUUUAACAUCAUCCAAUUUUCCAUCUAUUUUAAGGGUAUUUUAGUCUUUUCAUUUUCAAGGGAAAAAAAGAGAGGAAGAAAAAGACCUCUCUCUUACUUUCUCCCCCAACCCAACCCCACCCGCCCCCCAAAACACAUCGCAUAGGACCGCCUCCCCCUUCCCCACAUUUCUUUUUUCUUUUUGGCCUACUUUUCCACUAUGUUUAUGUUGAAGGAUCUAAAGUUUUCUUGGUCACCAUCUAUUACGUAGGCUACCGACUUGUUGGUUUGGGUGGGUUGAGGGAAUUUGUGUGUGGAGGGCAGGUGUUCAUGUUGUGUGCACCAAGACCUUAUCGUUGAUGAACUAUGUGACGGCACACACACAAACUCGUUGAGAAUAAAACAAACAUACCACCAAGAGAGUAAAACAAACACACAAGGACACAAAGAUUUAUAGAGGUUCGGCCUCCUGCCUACGUCUUUUUGGUGAUUCACUCGAGAAAUUCACUAGUAUGUAAAAAUAACUUUGGUUACAACUGAACCCCCUUAGCCCUCACAAGAACCUUAGAUCUCUUUUCUCUCACCCUUGCUCAAACCCUUUGAUGCCCUUGUAGACACUCAAGAAUUCACCCUUGAAUUCUAUCUUGUGUUACAUCUUCUCUUCUCCCUUUUGUUAACCUAACCCUAAAAGUCCUAUUUAUAAUGCAUAGGACUUAAGUUACAAGUUAACUUGGAAUAGGAAACAUAAAAUACCCCAAAAAUUGGAGAAAAUCUGUCCAAAUCUAGCCUGCAAAAUCAUCCUUCUGCCGCUCGAGCUGCCGGUGGCGCUCAUGGGAUGGGGGAAUUGGAGAUUUUCUUUUCAAUUUUAAUUGUUUAAAAGAUAUACAAUUUUUUAUUAUAAUAAUUUUUCCAUUUUUAAAAUACACUUGAAAAUAGAAAGCUUAAAAUGCCCUUAAAAAUAGAUGGAAAAUUGGAUGGUGUUAAAGUCAGAUGACAAAUCAUGGAUUUUGAAAAAUUAAGGUGACAUUUCUCUGAAAUUUUUCUUUUAAAAGUGACAAAUUGAAACUGAGGUAUAAGUUCAGGCGACAUUUCUACAAAAAUCCCUAUACAUUACAAUAUUAUAACAAUAAAAUUGGCUAAAAUUGAUAUGUUCCCUCUUUUCUUUUCUUUUUCUCUUUUCCUUUUCAUUUUAUGCUUUGUUGCUAUUGCUAUGUUUAUCCUACAAAUAUAGCAACUUCUCCACCAUUCAUUUGUUAGUGACUACGAUGCUUAGUAACUUCUUCAGCUCCCCUUAUUUCCAUGUACUAACCAGGGACACCAGGUCAGCAUCUUCGGUAAGAAUCCUAACUCAAUCAAACAAUGACAUCUGUAAAUAUUCAAAAUUGGAAUUUGCAUUGUGAUAGUUGAAAGCAUCCUUGUCCCAAAAAAAGCCAAAAAAUAAAAUAAAAUUGAGAGCAUUAAGUCCUUUUCAAAUUAUGCUAAUAUGCAAAAUUGGAAUUUUGAUGGAGUUGCUUCCUUGACUUUUCCACCUUUGUAUCCAGUCCACUUUGCACAAGGAGCCAAGUUUGAGAGAUAGUUUUCUGUAUUUACACCAUCCAGGAGAAAAUUAAAAAACUAUUUCAUGCCAAACUAACUACGGAUUCUUGCAAAGGACCCAUUAGUGUAGUGGUUUGGAGUAUUUACUCCCUCAGGCAAGGUCUUGGGUUCGAGUCCUAGCAUUCAUGUUGUGUGUGUGAGUUUAAUAUGCUAUCACCCCUUCCAAUAGGAAAGGACCUCAAAAAAAAAAAAAAAACUACAGAUUCUUUAAUUGAAAGAAACCCCAUAUUAAUCAUCCUUUGGCACAUAAAUGUUUGGUAAUUGGCAUUAAAGUAUCUAAAGGUUACGAAAUUAAAGAUUUUAAUGCAAACCUAAAAUUGGAAAAGAGGGCACCAAUUCAUGUAAAAUAUGGUGUACUUAGUAGAUCCAACAUAUUUUUUUAGCAACCAAGGACAAUCAUCAUUUUUUUUUUUAAGAACCAAGGAUAGCUUACAUUCUAGUUUGUCCAUCAUGUCAACACAUUUAUAAUUAAAACUUCUUUUUUGGUGAGGUUUCAAUUUUUGUCACUGUAACAAGACCACAAUUGCCAUUCAGUAUGCUAACAUUGUCACUAUGUUUGCCAAUUGCAUAUUAUCUAGAACAUAAAGGCUUUGGUGUUUUGUAUAUCCUCGGGGUGCCAAACCUGUCUUUAUAAAAAUGGUCCUUAUGAUACUACUUUAACAACAAAAAAAUAUAAUAAACUAGGCCUUUGUAGUCACUGAACGAAUGUUUUCUCAUAGAUAUGACUAUUUAAAUGUAAUUACGGGAUUAAAACAUUAUAAUAAAUUGGAGUGAACCAUAACAUUAUAUAUGAUCCAAUCCUUUUCAUAUAUUUUUGUUCAAGACUUUGUUUUAGAAUGCUCUUUUACUAAUUUGGUACAGGUCCCUAAAAUCUACGCCUUUAUGAGGCAACGUCUUUAUUUCUUUGGUUAUUCCAGUUUAGAAUAUAUUUGUACAAAUGAGAUGACUCCCAACAUAAAGUCACAUUCAACCAAAAAGCAUGAAGUCACACACAAAAAGAACACGGACAAUUGCUAAGUUUAUCUUGUAUCCUUAUUUUAUUGAUCCAACCCAAUUGAAAAAUAAAAAAGAUGAUAUAAUAUAUUGUUCACUGCUUACAUCCAUGAGUAAAGUCCUCCAUUUGAAAUUGCGUGAUUAUACAAAAUUGGAAUGAAAAAAGAAAAUCCUACAACUAAAUUUGAUAUAUUCCUUUUCAUUUUAUGUUGGAUGUUAAGUUUUCUUGUUUCUUGUUGAAAAGAAAAAUGAAAAGAAAUAAAUAAAUUACACAGCUAGCAACUUCUCCACCUUCCCUUCUUCCCAUGUACUGACAACAAGGGAGGCCUUCAAUCCAAAAUAAAGACAAGGGAUGCCAGGUCAGCAUCUCAGAUAAGUAUCCCAACCAAAACCAAUCAAAUAAUGACAUAUGUAUCUCUUUUUGUGUUUUGUUCUAUUUCUCUUUGAAUUAACUGCGAAGUUUCAUAAGCGUGUCCUCCUUUUGAAAUUGUGUAUUAUUCAAAAUUGGAAUUUGCUGGUCAUACUUGAUAUAAGCUAAAACAGUUUCCAACAUCUUGUACCAUUUUUUUCCAGUGUGGGUCAUAACUUGAAGAAGCCCACCGACAAUUUCUCAAAAGCUAUUACCAUCCAACUUUGAAAAAUAAAAGUUUCAAAAGUUACCCCAAACAACAGCCCUUGAAAGAGAGUUUUCCAAGGCUAAAGAUUACAAGGAUGUUAUUGGCACAUGCAUUAACGUGUGACAAGAAGUUAGUUAUAUUUAUAAAGUAAAAGAACGAAGUACAUAACAUGUAAGUUGAUGCCAAAUAUUUGAUCAACAGAGCUAAACAUAAAACCACGACAAUAUAACGUUGUUCACCAAAAAUUGUGUUUCGUUGAGGGUCAGUAGUGUAGGUUUCAAGAUACGAUUUAUUUUGUUAAAGAAUAUUCUGAUAUUCUAACAAUAAAAUUGGCUCAAUUUGAUAUGUUUCUUUUUUUUUUUGUUUUUGUUUUCCCUUUCAUUUUAUGCUUUGUUGUGCUAUUGCUAAGUUUAUCCUAGAGACCAGGGAUGCUUAGCAAGUUUCUUCACCUGCCCUUCUUCCCAUGUACUAACUAGGGAUACCAUGUCAGAAUCUUAGAUAAGAAUCCCAACCCAAUCAAACUAUGACAUCUGUAAGUAUUCAAAAUUGGAAUUUGCAUUGUGAUAGUUGAGUGGAAGAAUCGAUUAAGGCUUGAGUGGAAGACAAACUUCAGUGGAGGAAAGUAAUUAAUCUCACAAGACAUAGCCCAUCAGUUGGCUCAUUUUUCUUGAGUGUGUAGUCCUGGCCUUGAGGCGAGGCCACAUUGCUUUGGAGAUUUCUUUCUACUUGGUGAAAUUAUAAUUUAGAAGAAGCAAACUGCGUUUUGCAAUUUGUGCGAUUCAAGCAUAUCUGACACUAGUAAUUAGACCAUAAUCUUUGUCCGACCAGAAAAUAAGAAAAGUUGUCUUGUACCAUUUCUGCCAGUGUGGGUCCCACCCACCCCAUACGAGUAAUUUGAAGAAGUCCACCGACAAUUUCCCAAAAGCUUUGGCGUCCAACUUUGCCGACCCCAUCCCCAUGUGAGGCCAUAGAAAAGUUUUCAGCCACAAUCAAAGAAGGGAACAGUCCUUGAAAAGAGAGGGUUUUCCAAGGCCAAGAUUACAAGUUCAUGUUAUUUACAGUCUCAAAAAGCUUCCAUACUUGUUUACAAACCUGUAUUUUCAAGUUGUGCUAGCCUAGCUAUUUGCAAAUCUUGGAAUAUUUUACUUCAUCCAAAUCCCUUGCAGUCUGCAGAGAAGAUAAAAGACAUGGCUUUGAUUGGAGAGGCUCUUAUCUCUGCUUCCGUCCAGGUGUUGUGCGACAGAAUUACUUCACCCGAGUUCGUUGACUUAUUUUGGCACAAGAAACUCGAUGAGCCACUCCUCAGGAAGCUGAGGACGACACUGUUGGCCUUGAACUUGGUGCUCAAUGAUGCAGAGGGGAAGCAACUUGUGAACCGAGAUGUGAAAAAGUGGCUUGACGAGCUCAGACAUGCUGUCUUUGAUGCGGAGGACUUACUGGAUGAGAUUGACACUGAAGCUUUGCGAUGCAAGCUGGAAGAAGGUGAAGAUCAAACUCACAAAUUUACCAAUAAGGUGCGGAACUUGCUCUUUUCUCCUCGUAGUCAUUUUUAUCAGAGCAUGAAUGAUAAGAUAAAAGAGUUACUAGCAAGGUUAGAAAACUUUGUACAACUGAAAAGUGCUCUUGGUCUGGGAGAAGUUGCUGGGAGGAAGGUUUCGCAAAGAACUCAAACAACCUCCUUGGUUCUUGAACCUUAUGUAUAUGGUAGAGAUGAAGUCAAAGAAAAGUUAUCAAAAGUGUUGCUAUCUGAUGAAGCAGGCAAGGAUCCUGUGUCUUUCCUCACCAUUGUUGGAAUGGGUGGGGUUGGCAAGACAACCCUUGCUCGAAUGCUUUACAAUGACGAUAAGGUGAAAGGGCAUUUUAAACUUAAAGCUUGGGCUUGUGUUUCAGACUACGAUGAUUAUAUUAAAAUUACUAAAACUCUCCUUGAGGCAGUCACUUCAAAGCCUUGUAACACGGCAAAUCUGAAUUUGCUUCAAAAAGAUCUAAGAGAGCAAUUGAGGGGAAGGAAAUUUUUAUUUGUGUUGACCUAUGGAAUGAGAAUAAUGAGGAUUUGAACUACCUUAGAGCUCUUUUUAUUACUUUAGGAACAAUGGGAAGUAAAGUCAUUGUAACAACACGGAACAAAAAUGCAGCAUCUGUCAUGCAAAAUGUUCAUAUUCAAUACUUAGAACCAUUGUCGUAGGAGGACUGCUGGUUAUUACUUGCAAAACAUGCAUUUGGAAAUGAAAAGUGUAGUGCACAUUCAAACUUGGAAGACAUUGGAAAGCAAAUUGCACUCAAGUGCAAAGGGUUGCCUUUAGCUGCACAAACACUUGGGAGUUUGUUACGUUGCAAUAUGGAUUUCGAGUACUGGAAUAGAAUACUAAAUGAUAGUUUUUGGGACCAACCCUAUGAUAAAACUAACAUUCUUCCGGCUCUAGGGUUGAGUUACCAUUAUCUUCCUACUCAGUUGAAACGAUGCUUUGCUUAUUGUUCAAUUUUUCCAAAGGAUUAUGAGUUUGAAAAGGAAGAUAUAGUUCAAUUAUGGAUUGCAGAAGGUAUAAUUCCACAAGCUGAGAAUGGAAAAAGGAUGGAAGCAUUGGCUAGAAUAUACUUUGAUGAGCUGUUAUCACGAUCGUUGUUUCAAAAGUCAAGUAAAUUCAGCUUCAUUAUGCAUGAUCUCAUUAAUGACUUGGCUAUGUUCAUGUCUCAGGGGUUUUGCCUUAGGCUCGAAGAUGGGGUAUCCCGUGAAGUUAAAAGAGCUCGUCAUUUGUCAUAUGCUAGGGGAGAAUUUGAUGCUGCUCCAAGAUUUGAACCAUUAUAUGAGGCUAAAUGUUUGCGGACCUUCCUACCUACCAUUUGUUGUGGGCAAAUCUACUGGAUCAGGCAUAAGAGAACUGAGGCAGUUCCCGCAACUUCGAGGAAAACUAUCAAUUUUGAAGCUACAAAAUGUAGUUGAUGCGAGGGAUGCACUGCACGCCAAUAUGAAGCACAAGAAAGAUCUCAAGGAGUUAGAGCUUUCAUGGGGUGCGGAGGAUGCUGAUGAUUCCCAAAAGGAGAAAGAUGUACUCGACAAGCUCCAGCCUUGCGUGAAUUUGGAGAAAUUAACCAUCAAAUUCUAUGGUGGAACUAAUUUUCCGAAUUGGUUAGGAGACUCGUCUUUUUCUAACAUACAAGUCAUGCAUCUCAGUGACUGUAGUUAUUGUUGGUCGCUCCCACCAGUUGGACCGCUACCGGCACUCAAACAGCUCUGUAUAAGAAGAAUGAAGUUUGUGAAGACGAUUGGCGUUGAAUUCUAUGGCAGAAAUGGAGCUUAUCUGACUCAGCCAUUUCGAUCUCUGGAGAAGCUAGAGUUUAGGGAGAUGCCAGAGUGGGAGGAAUGGGUACCAAGUGGAAGUGCAAGUGGAGGUGAAUAUGGUCCAGACUUUCCUCGUCUCCAGGAGCUGAUUCUAUACGAGUGUCCGAAGCUAAGAGGAAGUUUGCCUUGUGAGUUGCCUUGCUUGAAGAAGCUUACGGUGUAUGGGUGUAAGGUUUUACAUGAUGGAAGGGCCAUUACCGCAACUACCAAUAGUCUUAACUAUAAAUCUCUGGAAGAAUUGAAUAUAAGUGGUGGAUGCCAAACUCUGUUAUCAUUAUUAGAGACAAAGCUCCUGUCCGGACUUGAGAUUCGAAAUGUUGUUGACAUACAGUGCUUGCCCAACUGCAGUCGUCUUCAACAUUUGACUCUUUCGAAUUGUCCAACGCUGUCAUCAUUUCCCAAAGAUGGCCUACCCACUACAUUGACAUCACUUUAUAUAAACAAUUGUAGGAAAUUAGAAUUCCUACCUCAUGAGAUGUUGGCCAAAUUAACAUCGCUUGACUAUUUGUGCAUACAAAAUAGCUGUGAUUCAAUGAGGUCCUUCCCGUUGGGCAUUUUUCCCAAAUUGACGAGGCUUGAAAUUCGUGGUUGUGAGAAUCUGGAAUCCCUUUCCUUGAUUGAAGAAGAAGGAGCUGUUGAGAAUCUCAGCCAUCUCAAUUACUUGCAAGUCUAUAACUGUCCAAAAAUGGUGUGUUUUCACGAGGGAGAAUUGCCCACUCCCAACCUGAGUCACUUUGUAGUCGGUGGUUGCGAGAAUUUGAAGUCAUUGCCCAAAAGCCUUCACACCCUCACUGCCCUUCGAUCUUUGUCGAUAUGUAAUCUUCCGAAUCUGGAGUCAUUUGCAGAAGAUGGGGGUUUGCCUCCCAACCUCCGACAAGUAAGUAUUAGGAAUUGUGAGAGACUGAGGGCUUCAUCAGUGGGUUUGCAAGCACUUGACUCCCUUGAGAUCAGUGGAAGUGACCAUGUAUUCUCUAUCACACUCUUCACAUCUAUUCUCUAUCAACUCUGAAAUCUUUGGACGGAAAGGGUCUUGGACACCUCACUUCUCUUCAAGAGCUAGAUAUUAACAGGUGUCCAAGUCUGGAAUUCCUGCCAGGAGAGGAACUUCAACACCUCACUUCUCUUCAAAAUCUAUACAUUUGGAACUGUCCCAGUCUUCAAUGCUUGCCAGAAGAGGGUUUUCCAUCAUCUCUUUCUCAUCUGAGUAUCCGCCGGUGUCCUACCCUGGAGGAAAGGUAUAAGAAUAAAACGGGACGAGAUUGGGCCAAGAUAUCUCACAUUCCUUGCAUCGAGAUAGGCAACGAAGUGAUCAUAUAAUAUGAGCUAUUCCAUAUUUCACGCUCAACCCUCAACUCUCAAAUCAAAGUCAGGUGAGGUAUGUGCCUUCUCUUACUUUAAAAAACUGCUGCUCAAUAACACUCUUCGCACUCUAUAUAUUAUGGCCUGUCAGUCUAAAAUUCCUGCCAGGAGAGGAACUUGAACGCCUCUCUUCACUGCAAAGGCUACAUAUUUGUGGGUGUGACAAUAUCCAAUUCCUGCCAGAAGAGCGUUUGCUGCAAUCUCUUUCUUAUCUGUGCAUCGACCAUUGUUUUGCCAUGUAGAAAAGGUAUCUCACAUUCCUUGCGUCAAGAUAGGUGAAGAAGUGAUCAUAAGAUAUGAGCUCUCUCUCCCUCUCGCUCACAUACAAAGUACUUAAAACACUCAAUCUGAUUUCUAUUAUUAUUUUGCUCAGUAAAUUUUGUUUAAAUUUGCUUUGUUUCUCAUUGCGCUUGUUCUGCUUAUCACAACUUAUAUCCUAUUUAAAUCUCAAAUGCUGAAUAGUUAGCAGUCUUUUCGCAGGACAGCAUAUCUUCUCUUGGAGAGCUAUUCAUUUGCAAGGUUUCUUUAUGUGUCAUUUCCAGAGGAGGGUUUACUAUUUAAUAGAAAGGUUCACCUGGAAUAUCUCAAAUGACACAUUCCCAAAUACAGGCAUUGAAUGCACAACAUUUUGAGGUACUAUUUUUGUAAUAAAAAUGUACUUGAGUCUCAUUUGAGCUAGUUUAAAUUGUAUUCAAUGUCUAUGGAUAACCUGUGAGCUUAAGUUGUAAGAUAAAACUCACAGUAUAUUAUUAGGGUUUAGGGUUCAACAGGUGAGCUUAAGUUGUACUUUCCUAGGUACUGCAUGUAUAUUAUCUUAGUAUCAACACUUGGUCUUAUGUGGACGAGAGAGAACAUUUGAGGAAUUACAAAAUCUUCUUAGUGAAUUAAGCUUGUUUCAGCUCUGUUUGUCAUCCCUCACAUUUUCUUUGUUAAGCCUUGAUUUUUUAUUAGACAUACGAAAAAAUGCUUUUAUAAGACAGGAGAUGAAUGCUUUUAUAUGUUGAUGUCGUAGUCAGUCUUCAACCACACUCUGUUUUUAGAAUUCAUUUAUGUUACUAGUUGAGAGCUGCUGUAUUUUAUAUUUCGUUCCUGUAAUGUUUGGAUGUUUAGCUUGAGCAGUCUAGCUUAUCCAGUAGAUAACUUGUCCCCUGUUUUGUAAUGUUUUUGUUUCCUCUAAUGAAAGCAGGUUUUACUUAUCUUGAACUGCAGAAGCCUACUUUUUGACAUAGGUGGCAUGGCACAAACUCGCAUCCGCAUUUCCAUCCCCAUUGGCAUGCUGUCUCAUCUUUUCUAUUCUGUUACCAGCUUGAAGCUUGUGUGGACAUGUUAUGCUCUUGUAAUUCUGAUCACAAACAUCACUUGACAAAUGGAAAGUCACAAUCAGAUCUUUCAGGUGAUCUGGAGGUUUACUUUCUAACAUUUGUUUUCGUGGGGGGGAGACAACAAUACAGAAUUUAAAAUUUCUGAUAAUCAAUAGUAGUUUGCAUAUAUCAGCUGGGACCUGUAUGACUGUAUUAUGUAAUUAAUUAUUUCUCUUAUUGUUUGGGUACUGUUAAAAGGAGUUAGCCACACAACAUAAAAAAGGAGGUCUCUUAUUUCAUACAAUUUUUCAAAUGUGAUCAUUAAUCCGUUUCUUUUUCAACAAUAGAGGAAUGUAUACUAAUCGUCUGGUCCAUCUGCUGCUUCACUCCCUAGUAGCUUCAUCUCCUGUCCUUUGCUUUAUUUCUGUUGAUGAAUGUUUUGUCUGGGUUAUUUAUUUUCAUUUCAUGUCCAUUGCUUUAUUUCUGUUUGGAUUCUUAAUUAAAUCUGUCCUGGACUUGAACAAGGGUUAGGUUAGCUGUAUAAUUUGCGGUUUUAUAUACACAACUGUCUACAUUGAUUAAAACCAGCAUUAUUCUAAGGUUCAUUUAGAAUGUAUUAUCACCAAAAUUAUAAAGAAUACUUCUAUUACAAUUAAUUUGUUGAUUCUAAUUUGGACUUGUAGGAACAGACCAAACAUGUUCAUGCGUGGCAUUGCUCAAGUCAUCAUCAUUCGAGACAGAGAAUAAGCCUUCAAGUGUCUGCUGAGUCAAUGAACCUUUCUAGAUAUCUCAAGUGUAAUGGAAAUUGAUGAGUUACAAAGGAUUUGUAAACAUUUUCUACUGGAGGCUAGAAAUGCUUCAAAUAAAUGACCGUGUUGCAAUUAUUUUGUAGGAUCAAAGACUCUGCAAAGAGGUAAGAAAGUCAUCAUCAAGUAACUUUGCUCUUCAAACUUUUUAUUUUUAUUUUUAAAUAUCAGUAAUAACUGGGAAAGCUUGCAUCUCCUUAAAUUGCUCAUUCUUACAUCUUUUAUAGUUUGUUGAUCUUGGGCAAGUGGAGAGAGAGGCGUCAAGUGAUACGCAACAACCAUUUUCUGUGAGCUGAUUUGAUAAAGAGAAAUGGUAUGCUUUCUUGUCUUAAGCGGUGUGUUCUGCAAUUAUUUGAAACAAAGGAUGCCGCACUUCAAGUUCGAGAAAAUCAGGUAUUUUAGUAUUUUAUUCUUGAGAAAUUUGAUUUAUGUAGAAACUUGAACAUGUAAAUAAAAUAAAUAAAAUAUAUUAUAUGCUGUUAAUGAGUUAAUAUGGUGCUUGCUUCUAGUUGGAAAUUUAUGUAGUCAUCUACCUAUGAUCAAAUAAAGAUGAAGAAUAAAAUAUAAUUGAGAGCAUCUUCCUCUCCCCUGCUUUGCUCAUCCCUUGUUCUUCCACUUCAGCCCCACUAUUACACCAUUUUUUCAGCCACAAUUAUAAUAGCUCCAUGAGCAUUAAGUCCUUUUCAAAUUCUGCUGACAUUCAAAAUUGGAAUUUGCUGGUGAUAUAUGAUAGCAUCUUUGUCCGACCAAAAAGAGAAAAAAAAAAAGUUGAUAGCAUAUUGUACCAUUUUGGCCAGUGUACGCAAUAUUAUUGCAUCCAACUUUGCAUAUUAACAUCAGUGGCCACAGUUCCAUGAUUUGAGUGCACAGAAAAGUUUCAAAAGUUGUCCCACAAAGAACAGUCGUUCAAAGUGAAAGAGAGAUUUCAAAGCUUAAUUACAAGUUCAUGUUAUUUACAAUAUCAAAAAGCUUUCAUACUUGCUUACAAACCUGUAUUUCCAAGUUCUGCAAACCUUGGAAUAUCACUUCAUCCAAAUCCCCUUCCAAAGCAGGAAAAAAUGGCAGCAGCUUUGAUUGGAGAGGCUCUCAUCUCUGCUUCUAUCGUGGUGUUGUGUGACAGAGUUACUUCAGCCGAGUUCAUAGACUUAUUUCAGCAGAAGAAACUUGAUGAAACACUCCUCAUGAACCUGAAGACGACACUGUUGAUUUUGUUUGCGGUGCUCAAUGAUUCAGAGGAGAAGCAAAUUGUGAACCCUGAAGCUUUGCGAUGCAAGCUGGAAGGUGAGGAUCAAACCCACAAUAAUUAACCAAAAAGGAUCUUUUUGAUUGUUUGAAAGGAGGGUCUUGAUGAUUUGAAAGGAGAGGGUUGCUUUAUUUCUGUUGGAUGCUUAAUUAAAUCUUAUUUGGAGUUGAACAAGGAUUAGGUUAGCUGUAUAAUUAGUGGUAAACGCCUUUUUCUAAGGGUCAUUUAGACUCCUAUUACGAUUAAUUUGUUGUUUCUAAUUUGGACUUGUAGGAACAGACCAAAUAUGUUCACACGUGGCAUCGCUCAAGUCAUCAUCAUUUCAGACUGAAAAUCAGCCUUCGAGUGUCUGUUGAGUCAAUAAACCUUUCUAGAUAUAUCAAGUGCAAUGGAAAUUCAUGAGUUACAUAGAGAUUUUUAAACAUUUUGAAGAUUGCAACACCUGCAAGUGAGAUAGGCGGUGACGAAAUCAGAGCUGAUUUUGAAGCCUCUGAUGCCCCUGUUGUUGCAAGUUGCACCUGAGAACAAGUUUUUUUUUUCUUUGGGGUAAAAAACUGGCAACAUGUUCGGAGCUGACAAUUCAAUCCCUGAUGAACUAGAGAAGCAAAGCUCCGGUAAGGAAAUUGGUCAAGGUUGUGACAGGGAUGAUUGAUGGUGAAAUGGAUGCUAUUUCUUAUUGCAGCCUGUUCUCAAAGUUCUUGUUGGCAAAUGCAAUUGAUGGAGUAUUUUGAUUGGGAGGAGAGAUAAUGACAUGGCUUGACAAUUCUAGAACAGCCCAUCAUUAAUCCCAGAAAAAAUCCCGUUUCUGCUAAACAAUCACUUAUGGCAAGGCCAACUCUGUAAAUGGAAUUUGUGAUCCCUUCAAAUUGUACACAUUUUUUCUUUUUGAGGAAUUUAAUCAAACAGUAUUCUAAUGCAUUAUGAUAGCACUACACGCUUUUGUUGUAACAAAUUACAAGGAGGAAUUUGGAUUGAGUUUCUUGUAUAAGCACACCUUACACAAAUUUCGUAUAUUUUCUUCCAGCAAGUCUGUUUAUUAACCCCCUUAUCUGAAAUUAAUUGUUAAAAGUUUUGAUUCAUCUUUAAUCAGUGUCUUACCCUUGUUGAAUAACACUCCUCUUUCUAAUUUAUAUUUGAAGUUUGAGCUUUCAAUUUCAAUUGUGGGCUUUGAUUUUUCAGAUUUUGUUUGUCAAUUUCAGUUUGGACAAAGCAUAUAUGCAAACAAAGUAAGCAUUUUAUGUUAUACUUUUGAACUAGGUGUUGAUUUGAUUUAAUCAUAAGUUUUGCUGGUGCAUUUACUAGGCUAAUCAUUCAAUACUUUUGAUCAUAGAACUUCUUUGGUUGAUAUUAUCUUUGUUAAGUUUAACCAUAACUUUAGAGAGGGGACUUCAACAGAUUUAUAAUCUCAUCAUUAUAGUAUUAAAAAUUAGAGAUUAUUUAAGGCAUUGUCUAUUAUCUGAAUUCUGCUUACUUUUAGUUCAUAUGUUUACAUCUUAGCAUAUUCAUGUGAUUAGUGCGGCUCAUACCACAAAGGCAAUUUUAGGCUCAUCAAGUGCUAAGCAAUGUCAAGCUUCCAAAUGACAAGUUCUCUACAUAGUUUGAGACCUACACUUACUAGAUAUUAGAUCAUUUCGAUCAUUUCCAUAUGUUUAUAUGUAAUUGACAUGUUAUAACAUUUUUGUAGCGUUAUAUAAUUAUUUAGCAAUUUAAUUAUUUCUUUGCAACUUAAUUUUUUUUGUCAAUCAUACUAUUGUUGACUGCUAAAAACCAUCAAGAAAUAGUUCUCAAGUUAUAAAAAAAAAAAAAUUUUAAAAAAGAUUUGUUGAUGCUUAAAAAGCAUCAAGAACAGAUAGUUUCUUGACGGUUUUGUGACAUUUCAUAACUGUAGGGGGCUUUUUCUUCCGACAGCUGUAAAUGGGCUGGGCUGCCGUAAAGGGCAGACUGAUGAAAUUGUCCCCUUUUGUAUGAGCUCAAAAAUUAAGCCCCAAAAUACUUUGAAAGGGCAGCAGAGCCUUAGGAAGUAUUUUGGUUACCCUCACCAACUAAAACAACAACAACUUACAGGUAAUUACUUAAUGCUUAUGGAUGAACUCUUGAGCUUGGCAUGAGAGACAUAUGGCAUGGAAGCAAAAUCAACAUGAGUUUAGCACUGAGGGGAAAUUUAGGCUCUCUUGGGGGAAAAAGGGAAGUGUUAAGGUGAGAGAGGAGAAGUUUGUAGGAGAUUUAGCUAAGAAAGGAGAAAUAUAGAACAAUGCUCUUUUGGCAGCUUGACAGAUGCUCUGUUUGCCAGAAAAGGAAGAUGGAGAAGAAAUGUGAAUAGUGCAAGAGUUUGCUAGAUUUUUGCAGGUAAGAGAGGAAGCUUGCUCUCUGGGUCUGAGUUGAGUUUUUUUGUGUGGAAGAGACCUCAUUUUAUAGCCCUUGGAAACCAUCACUUCCCAAGAAACCCUAAUGGCUUCUACCCAUUUUGGCCAAGCUUUUCCCUUCCUUUCUCAUUUCCUUCCUUGACUUUACCCCUCUUGAUGAAAUCCCCUCUGCCUAUUUGCACCAUAUCAGAGUUUUUUGAAGCUCAAGGCCCCUUUUUCCCGCAGUUGUCUCAAUGGGAGACUUCCAUUCCCAGUCAUCUCCUUUAUUGCUUUCCUUUCUUUUUUUCAUGGCCAAGUUUGGUGGGGAAAGGAGUUGGGAUAUAUAUGCUGGUUUGAAGGGUGCUUCUCUUCCUGGCAUCUUACACACUAAUACCCCUUGGUUCCUUGAAUGUUUUGGCUUUGAAACUUGCUCUCCCCCCCCCCCCCCCCCCCCCCAUGUACUGGAACCUACCAGCAGCUCUAUUCAAUGAAUCUUCAGACCUUCUCUUCGUGGCUUUUAUUUUUUAUCAACGGGCUGGGGCUUUUGUGGCUCAUUGUGGCAAUUGUAUGGGCUAAGGUGGUUCAUUAAGUAAGUGGGCUAUUUUUAUUAAACAUUAGGCUUUUUGGUUGAGUCACUAGGCUAUUUUGAUUGGGCUAUUGGGCUAUUUUUUUCCUCUCUUGUGCUCACCCACAUGUUUGGACCAAAGAAAUGAGCUUGAGUCCUGAGGCUCCCAAGCGACCCGAGACUUUCCAUUUCUGGCCCAUCAAUGGGCCUCAUGUUGAUUUAUUACCAUCCAUACCACAACCCACUCAAGCAGGCUCCGGGCAUUUGAAUGACUUGGGCGCACUUAGGCUUGUAGUGUGGUUGGGUGCGAAAUAACGAUUUCGUGCUUGGCAUGUUUUAAUUUUAUCAUCCUUGGGAAAGGCUGCGAUGUUUGAUUUCGGCAUGGGCUUGUAGAGCUGGUAUGCUUUAUUUCAACUCCUAGCAUGACGAAUUAUUUAUUUAGCAUGGCACGUGAAUUACAACUCGCAUGUGGUGGGUUUUUGUGUACUACACCUUACGCCUCUUCUUAAUAGAACAUCGUUUUGGGCUGAUAAUUUAUUCGGGCCAAACCGUGAAUUUUUUGGGUCUCAAUAAUAACCAUCAUGAAACAUUACAUUUUGACUGACGUCAAGAAAUGGGGUAUCCCUUUCCUGAUAGUGGCAUCCAUGAUGCCUUCCAAGCAGUCAAUUAAGGGCUAUCGUGAUGCAUUUUAGUUGUCAGCAAAAGGUGUUUUUCUUGUACUGUAUUCACUCAAAGUCGUGUUUCAUUUAAGAUUAGUAGUAUGGUUGAAUACCAUUUGUUUUGUUAAAGAAUAUUAUACAUUAGGGAUUUUUGUAGAAAUGUCAUUUGAACUUAUACCUUAGUUUCAAUUUGUCACCUUGAAGAAAAAUUUAAGAGAAAUGUCACCUUAAUUUUUAAAAAUCCAUGAUUUGUCAUAUGACUUUAAAAUCAUCCAAUUUUCCAUCCAUUUUAAGGGUAUUUUAGUCUUUUCAUUUUGAAGGAAAAAAAAGAGAUGAAAAAAGAGACCUCUCUCUUACUUUGUCCCUCAACCCAACCCCACCCGCCCCCCAAAACACAUCACAUAGGAUUGCCUCCCCCUUCCCCACUUUUCUUUUUUCUUUUUGUCCUACUUUUCCACUAUGUUUAUGUUGAAGGAUCUAAAGUUUGCUUGGUCACCAUCUGUUACGUAGGCUUCCCAAUUGUUAGUUUGGGUGGGUUGUGGGAAUUUGUGUGCUCGAAACCCGAGACGAAUCUUGUGGAAUUCCCGACAUCACACCGAUGCCGGGCCCACUUCUGAACUAAAUUCUCUUUUCCAAAAUUAAGGAAAAAGAGUACGAGGCUUUCUGCCGAAAUUUCGACAGAGUAUUCCCUAUAAAUUUAACAUUUCAGCUUUGGUGGCCGUUCUCUCAUUUCAGCUUUGGUGGCCGGAUGAGAGAACGGUCGGCUAAAACGUGGCCAGCUGGCACUGCCGUCGCGAGAGAGAGAGAGAGAGAGAGAGAGAGAGAUUUUUAUCAAAUCAUUUUUGCCAAAAUUACGAUUAUGCAACUGAGGGUAUUUUGAUCGUAUCUUUUUCAUUAUAACUCUGAUUCAAGCCCACUACGUGUUUACGGACUCAUCUCGCCGUGCUCUAUGCAAUUGUAUAGUUGAAAUUCCCAAAUUCCACCCCAGUCAAAAAUUCAACUUUAAACCCUACAAAAUAUUAUAGGGGCAAAAUGGUCUUUUAUCUAAUUAAAUUAAUAAUUGAAAAUUUAUUUAGGACCGGGUUGUUACACUGUCGUUGAUGGACUGUGCGAUGACACUCACACAAAGUCCUUGAGAAUAAAACACACACACACCAUGAAGAGAGUAAAACAAAUACACAAGUACACAAAGAUUUAUAAAGGUUUGGCCUUCUGCCUACGUCCUCUUGGUGAUCCACCCGAGAAAUUCACUAGUACGUAAGAACAACUUUGGUUACAACUAAACCCCCUUAGCUUUCAUAAGAACCCUAGAUCUCUUUUCUCCCACCCUUGCUCCAACCCUUUGAUGCCCUUGUAAACACUCAAGAAUUCACCCUUGAAUUCUGUCAUGUGUUACAUCUUCUCUUCUCCCCUUUGUUAACCUAACCCUAAAAGUUAUAUUUAUAAUUCAUAGGACUUUAAGUACAAGUUAACUAGGAAUAGGAAACAUAAUAGACCUCAAAAAUUGGAGAAAAUAUGUUUAGAUCUCGUUAGGAAAUUGCACAACACGUGCGAUCCGCUCGAGCGCCUGCAAAAUGAUCCCUUUGUCGCUCAAGCUGCCGAUAGCUCAUGGGAUGGGGGAAUUAGAGAUUUUUUUUUUUUUCAAUUUUAAUUGUUUAAAAGAUAUACAAUUUUUUAAUAAUAAUUUUUCCAUUUUUAAAAUACCCUUGAAAAUAGAAAGAUUAAAAUGCCCUUAAAAAUGGAUGGAAAAUUGGAUUGCGUUAAGGUCAGUUGACAAAUCAUGGAUUUUGAAAAAUUAAGGUAACAUUUCUCUUAAAUUUUUCUUUAAAGUGACAAAUUAAAAUUGAGGUAUAAGUUCAAGUUACAUUUAUGCAAAAAUCCUUAUACAUUAUGAUAUUCUAACAAUAAAAUUGGCUAAAAUUGAUAUGUUCCCUCUUUAUUUUCUUUUUCUCUUUUCCUUUUCAUUUUAUGAUCCAAUCCUUUUCAUAUAUUUUUGUUCAAGACUUUGUUUUAGAAUGCUCUAUUACUAAUUUGGUACAGGUCCCUAAAAUCUCGGAGCCGCCUUAGUACAUUCAUAAUGUACAUGUUCAGAGUUCAAGAAUAAUGUAUAGAAUGUGAAAUUGACGAUGCCGGCCUUUAUGAGGCAACGUCUUUAUUUCUUUGGUUAUUACAGUUUAGAAUAUUUGCACAAAUGAGAUGAUUCCAAGCAUAAAGUCACAUUCGACCAAAAAGCAUGAAGUCACACACAAAAAGAACACGGACAAUUGCUAAGUUUAUCCUUGUACCCUUAUUUUAUUGAUCCGACCCAAUUGAAAAUUAAAAAAAGAUGAUAAAAAAUAUUGUUCACUACUUUAAAAUCUAUGAGUAGAGUCCUCCAUUUGAAAUUUCGUCAUUAUACAAAAUUGGAAUGAAAAAAGAAAAUCCUACAGCUAAAUUUGAUAUAUUUCCUUUUCAUUUUAUGCUGGGUGUUAGGGCUUGUCAAUGGGCCGGGCUAGGCUAGCCCGGCUCAAAUUUAAUGGGCUUGGGCUAGGCCGGGCCAAGCUUUAAAGAGGAGAGAGAAAAUAUCCGGCCGAGUUUUUUAAGAAAAUUCAAAGCCCAAGCCCGAAUCACUGCUGUCUAGCCCGGCCCAAAUUUAAUGAGCUUGGGCCAGGCCGAGCCAAGCUUUAAAGAGGAGAGAGAAAAUAUCCGGCCGAGUUUUUUAAGAAAAUUCAAAGCCCAAGCCCGAAUCACUGCUGUCAUUUCAUUGAUUUGUGACGAGCACAACCACCAAAUCAGAAUUUACUCACGAAAAUAUCAAGUAUGUCUAGCAAAUUUCAAUUUUGAAUAAUACACAAUUUCAAAAGGAGGACAUGUUGCAAGACAGCAUACCUUCUCUUGGGGUGCUUUUCAUUUUGCAACAUUUCUUUACGUGUAAUUUCCAGAGGAGGGUUUAUCAUUGUAUAUAGCUUUUCGGGUGGUUUGUCUACAAAACAAAUGUCACAAAGAAGGAGGAGAAACGGAAAAGAUUUACUUGGAAUGUCUCAAGUCUCCUUUGAGAUAAAGGCAUCGAAUGCACAACAUUGCUUUUGUGCUAUUUCAUAAUUAAAGUGUGCUUCCCAAGUCUCCUUUGUGUUUUGUAACUUGUAAUGUUUGUUUUUUUGUUUCCCCUGUUUUCCCUCUUAUAAAAGAAAUACAGGUCCAAACCACACGGAUCUACUUGCAUAAUAAUGGACCAAAUUUAUGAUUUUUAGAAAGAACCUUCUGCCGGUGGAAUCUUGGGCUACUGUUGUGGCUCUCCUCUGUGUGCCUCCUUUUUAGAACGGUAAAAUAUUCAAAAUACUAGAAAAUGUUCGUGAUUAAUAUAAAUAUUAAGAAUUGAAAUUAUUAAUUAAAUGAGGAUAAUAUGGUAAAUUCACACUUUUUUAUAUUAAAAAAAUUAAAAUUAAAAGAAAAAUCAGAUAAUUGAUAUUAUUUUUAUGGAACACAGCUACUCAUUAUCUUUUUUAAUUCUAAAAUAAAUUUAAAUUAAAGAAAAAAACCCCUCUCACAGGCACGGAAGCGCGUGCUCAGAGGCUAGUUAAAAAUAAUGAACUUUGCUUCUGAAGACGUCUAUACCAGACCCACUCAACCUGCUUUAUGAUUAUACAAAGAACAAACUCGUCCUUAGACUCAUUUGGUUAAACUUAGAAAAUAAUGAAACAAAAAUAUGCACUCCCACAAGUAACACAGCCAGGAUUGAAAACAACUGGACAAAGAAAGGCAUGUUAAAACAGAAUUUUCAACAACUCAUCACCAUUAGACAAGAAAAAGAAAAAUCAAUACAAAAACAGAAAGAACAGAGAAUAAAUGUGGUGGAAGAAAAACGUUGAAGCCAUUUGUGAAUCCAACAACACUACCACUCUGUUUCUCUCCUUUUGUUCAGGCGGAUCUGCAUAUAUCCUAAGGCGUAUUACGGAAACAACUUCUUGCCGUUAUACUUGAAUGUUGUGGAUGCUUCAACGUUGCCAUCUGGGUGGAGUGGAUUUGUCCAAUUCACCUUCACUAUGGUAUAUACGUCCAAAUUGUUGUUAUUUGAAAGGCUUCUAAAUUUUAACAUUUUGAUUUUUAAAUUUUGUUUAAAUAUUUCGGCCCACUUAGUUCUUCUCAAAAUAUGUCAUCAAUAUCGUUGAAAGGUUGAACUUAGUGAAUUAUUAUAGUGCAGUACUGUAGAAUAGACACAUGAUAUAAUUUGUCCACAUGUUAUAAUAUAAGUAAAUAUUUAUUGAUAUUAUUUCUAAAAAUAAGAAAUAUCAACCAUUAUAUCCUCCCAUAUUAUAAUACAUAUACAAAUUAUACCACAUUAUCAUACUCUAAUACCAUUUUAUAAUUUCUCGUACUUAGAGCGAGUCAAUGACAUUACAUAAUAUAUAAUUGUUCAUAUAAUGGGGCAACUAACGUGAUCAACAAGUUGUGGUGAUUAAUUUAACAUAAUAAAAAAUAUACCAUUUACUUGAGUGAUGUAACAAUUUGUUCUUUUAAAUUGGAUUGCCAUCACUUUAAUAUGAUAUGUUUCUUAUUAUAGUGUCCCAUGUUAAGUGCUUCAGCAUUGUUUGUGGUGUGUACACAAAUUUUCUUAUAAAAUGUUUUAAUGCUUCUCACAUGUAUAUCAGAUAUAGACAGUUGAUGUGACUUAGAAAUCAAAUUGUCAAUAAAGCAAAAAAAUAUAAUUGGUGAUUGAGGUCCAAUUUAAUAGAAAAUAGUCUUAACUUGUAUAUUAGAGGUUUCAGAUUCGAAUCCUCACUGCAUUAUUGUUGUAUACGUACACGAGAAAUCCUCUUCUCCAAUAAUUUAGACUAUCACUUAUACUAAAAAAAUAUAUAUAUAUAAUGACUUUUACGGAUGCAAACAUAAAAUUACACCAAACAAUAAUGGAAUAGAAAGAUGCAAGUUAUUUUUUUUUUUUUUACAUCUAAAGUAUACUUUAUAUAUAUAUUUAUUAUGGGUGUUAUAACCGUUUAAUUUUCAGUUUUUAUUUUCUAUUUAUUGUUUUAAUUUUUAUGGUUUAAUGUGUAUGAAGAUUACAAGUAUUGGAUGUCUACCACUCCUCCUUCACAUCUGAAACAAACCACCAUCUCAUUUCUGUAUUUUCAUACUUUCAUAUAUUUUCUACUUUCCAGAUUAUUAUUUUUGGGCAACGGUUCUGUGACUUGCAGAUUUCUAUCCGAUUGUUAACAUGCUCAUAGCGGACCUUGAGCUUGCGUAUUGGGGAUCGUAUCUUGGAGCCUUAUAGACCUUUAUUACCUGCAUGUAGGGAGGUUAUAAAUGCUUUAGGUCAGCAUCUUUGACGUGCUUUUGCUUUCUUUUUUUUUUUACUUAUUUCUUCGUUUCUUUAUUUUUACUUUACUUUUAAAUUUUUAUUUUAUGUAUUAUUUAUAUUUAAAAGUUUUGAAUAAGAGUUUUACAGAAAAGGAAAAACACAAUUUCAAAUAACACAAAUUUCUCGUUUUUGGUUCUUAAAAUAAAUGAAUUUUUUACUUAUUUGUGAACUGAAAUGCCUCUAAAAAAAUAAUGAUAGUUUGAAGAAUUUGAUAGAAAUUAAAAAAUAUCCUCAAAUUACUUGGAAUUGAAGACCACAUAGGCAAAAACACCAUUUUGGACAAAGGCUGGUGAUAAUAGUCGAUAUCAUCUUUAAGUACUUUAAUAUGAUAUGUUUCUUAUUAUAGUGUCCCAUGUUAAGUGUUUCAGCAUUGUUUGUGGUGUGUACACAAAUUUUCUUAUAAAAUGUUUUAAUGCUUCUCACAUGUAUAUCAGAUAUAGACAGUUGAUGUGACUUAGAAAUCAAAUUGUCAAUAAAGCAAAAAAAUAUAAUUGGUGAUCGAGGUCCAAUUUAAUAGAAAAUAGUCUUAACUUGUAUAUUAGAGGUCUCAUAUUCGAAUCCUCACUGCAUUAUUAUUGUAUGCGUACAUGAGAAAUCCUCUUUCCUAAUAAUUUAGACUAUCACUUAUACUAAAAUAUAUAUAUAAUGACUUUUACGAAUGCAAACAUAAAAUUACACCAAACAAUAAUGGAAUAGAAAGAUGGAAGUUUUUUUUUUUUUUCCUACGUCUAAAGUAUACUUUAUACAGUCCCGAUCUCUUGGACCACAGGAGUCCAAGAGAUUGUGGUCACCCACCGUUGGAUAUUAAUCCAAUGGUUCAAAAUGAUAUAUAUAAAUGCAAUAUGACAUAAAUGAUUAUUACCCGAUCCAAGUCAACCGUUGAAUUUACAUUCAACGGUGGGUGACCAUAAAUCUCUUGGACUACAGGGGUCCAAGAGAUCAGGACUGAUACUUUAUAUAUAUAUAUAUAUAUAUUUAUUUAUUAUGGGAGUUAUAACUGUUUAGUUUUCAGUUUUUAUUUUCUAUUUAUUGUUUUAAUUUUUAUGGUUUAAUGUGUAUGGAGAUUACAAAUAUUGGAUGUCUAUAAAGGGCCACUCCUCCUUCACAUCUGAAACAAACUACCAUCUCAUUUCUGUAUUUUCAUACUUUCAUAUAUUUUCUACUGUCCAGAUUAUUAUUUUUGGGCAACGGUUCUGUGACUUGGAGAUUUCUAUCCGAUUGUUAACAUGCUCAUAGCGGACCUUGAGCUUGCGUAUUAGGGAUCGUAUCUUGGAGCCUUGUAGACCUUUAUUACCUGCAUGUAGGGAGGGUACAAAUGCUUUAGGUCAGCGUCUUCGACGUACUUUUGCUUUCUUAUUUCUUCGUUUCUUUAUUUUUGCUUUACUUUUAAAUCUUUAUUUUAUGUAUUAUUUAUAUUUAAAAGUUUGAAUAAGAGUUUUACAGAAAAGGAAAAAUACAAUUUCAAAUAACACAAAUUUCUCGUUUUUUGUUCUUAAAAAAGAAGAAGCAUUGAUUGGGGAGUUAUGGUAAACUCAAUUUCAAUGGUUGCGAUGAGAGGCGGUGGCGGCGAGGAGAGGACGAAGGCUUUGCUGCCGACGGGGUGGUGUGGGUGGGUGGAGACCUCGGCUGGCUGCUUGGUCCUGGGUUCUCCUUUAAUUCUCUGUUUUCUUUUUUCUUUUUCUUUUUCUCUUAGAGUUAUUGAUGUUAAGUGAAUGGACAGAUGCCAAAAUAGGGACAGAAGUAGGGGUGGGCAUCAAUCCGGCCGAUCCGGUCAAUCCGGCCGAACCGAUUAUAUUGGAUUGGUUUGGUUUGGUUUUGACCAAAGAAAAAGUCAACAUUUUGAAAAACCGAACCGAACCGGUUUGGUUUGGUUCAGCUGUGGUUUGAGAGUUUUAAAAACUGUCCUAAACCGAACCGGACCGAUUAUAAAUCAAUUUAUUAUUUAUUUAAUUUAGUUUACAUGUGGCAAGGUUUGUGUGCGUUUUGUGAGUCCGCGUAUCUGAAUGUUGGUGCACGUUUUGAUCUUCUAAUUUGCAUAUCCCAGUUAUUUGUGUGUGCUUGUAUUUCCCUCUCUUUCUAUCUCUACUAUGUGUGUUUGCUCUUUGUGUUGUGUGGCUCUUCUUACUCUAUCUAUCUUAAUUAAUGGGUCCAUUUCAUAAUUUCAUACGCAUUCAAACUCCACCUCUGUGAUAAAAACAUUUACCUCUUUGUGAUAAAAGCUUUUCAUUUGUUUGUAUUUCUCUUUGGCUUUUUGACUCACUCACUGUCUUUCUUUCUUUUAAUGCUACUUGUGAUGAAUGCAAUGAGUAAAUUUAAUGCUACUUGGUUAAUGCAAAUUUUGUAUAUGUUUGUUUUGAUGGAAAUUGUGAACUUAGAUGCAUGCUAGACAUUGGACAACCUUUGAAUAAAUGGAAUGAUGUUGUAUUAGCCUUUGAUGGAAUGAAAUGAAAUGAUAUAAUGGCAAAAUGUUAGCAUUAUAAUGUAAGAGCAGGUUGAAAAAUGCAUGGUUUUGUGUUAGGCACAAACCGGCCGAACCAAUCCGAACCAAACCGAUUACAAGUGGUUUGGAUUGGUUCGGUUUCCAUUAUGAUUUUAGGCUAAUCCGAACCAAACCGGACCGUUAUUUUCUUAUUGGUUCAGCUGUGGUUUGAGAGUAAAACCGAACCAAUCCGGACCGUGCCCACCCCUAGACAGAAGAUGUGAACCCAAUUAUAUACAGCUGAUUACAUAAAGUAACAAAUUAAUUAAUACUUGAGUGGAGGACAGGCUUGAGUGGAAGAAUUGAUUAAGGCUUGAGUGGAAGACCAACUUCAGUGGAGGAAAGUAUAGAUAAGGAAAGCAUGCCUCGUUUAACGGCUUUAUCUAAUAAAGAUUAGUUGUUGGCACUUGGAGUUUCUUAGGAAUGCUGGUUUUGUUUCCUUGGUGGACUUGAAAGGUGGUGCGUUGGCUCGGACAUCUCCCUAGUAAUUAAUCGAAGGUGGAAUCUUACAAGACAUACAGCUGCUCAUUAGCUGAAUAUCUCGCUCUCUUUAAAGAGAUCGAAGCAAACUGCAAUUUGCAAUUUGUGUGAUUCAAGCAUGAAUAUCUGAUAUAGUAACUAUACCAUUUGUUGGUUUGAUAAGAAAAGUUUGGUUAGCGAGGAUGAAACCAUAAAGUUCUCCAAAACACACAAAAAACACGAACAAUUGCUAAGUUUAUUCUUGAGUUCACACAUAUUUGUACAAAUGAGAUUACUCCAAGCAUGACUAUACCAUUUGUUGGUUUGAUAUGAAAAGUACGGGCAACGAGGAUAAAACCAUACAAACACACACAAAGAACGUGGACAAUAUACUAAGUUUAUCUUUGCGUUAUUGAUCCGACCUAACUGUAAAAUAAAAAAGAUAAAAAUAUAUAAUGUUCACUACUUAGAUCUAUGAGCACUAAAGUCCUCCUUUUGAAAUUGCACAAAACAUCACUUUUGGUCUUUGGUAAAUUUUUAAAAUAAAUGAAUUUUUUACUUAUUUGUGAACUGAAAUGCCUCUAAAAAAAUAAUGAUAGUUUGAAGAAUUUGAUAGAAAUAAAAAAAUAUCCUCAAAUUACUUGGAAUUGAAGACCACAUAGGCAAAAACACCAAAUUGCAACCUCACUUUAAUGAUAAAAAUGGUAAACUACAAAGACAAAAAUGACGUUUUGCCUUAUACAUAAUUGGAAUUUGCUGGUGAUAAUAGUCUACCAUCUUUUGUCGAUUUGCUGGUGAUAAUAGUCUAUCAUCUUUUGUCGGUCCGACCUAAAAAGAAGAAAAAGUUGAUGGCAUCUUGUACCAUUUUUGCCAAUGUGGGCCCAAACAAUUUGAAGAAGUCCACCGGCAAUUUCUCAAAAGCUAUUGUGUGAGUGUGAAGCUAAACCAAUAUUAUUUUGCAUAUACGACUCCACAUCCCCAUGUGAUGUGAGGCUACAAAAGUGUUUCCAAAACGAAAUAUGAUAUUUCAAAACGAAGCUAUGUAUAGAGUCAUUUGUAUUUGCUUUCACAAUAACAUUUGAUUUGUGAAAGCAUUUUAUAUUUAUACAUUCUGAUAUUCUAACAAAUAAAUUGACUAAAUUUGGCCAACAGGAUUUAGCCGAAUAGAAAAGUCCUUAUUUAUAGACUAGUGGUUUCAAAUUUAAAGUUUAGACUAUCGCAUGUAUUUAAAAAAAAAAAAACAAUUGGCUUAAUUUGAUAUAUUUCCUUUUUUUCCUUUUUCAUUUUAUACUGGGUGCCGUUAUUAAGUUUUAUCCUUAUUUUUUGUUGAAAAGAAAAUUGAAAAAAAAUAAUAAUUCCUACAGCUAGCAACUUCUCCACCUUCCCUUCUUCGCAACUAGGGAUGCCAUUGCAAGGUCACCAUCUCAGAUUAAGUCCUCCUUUUAAAAUUGUGUCGUUAUUCAGAAUUGGAAUAUAAUCCUGUACCACUUUGGCCACUUUUGAAGAUGUUCACCGACAAUUUCUCAAAAGCUAUUAAGCUGUACAUCCACAAUAUUAUUGCAUCCAUCCCCAUGUGAGGCUACAGAAAAAUUUUGAAAACGAAACUGGAUAUUUUAUCUCUAACAACAGCUUUCAUACUUCGUUUACCCUGUGUUUCCAAGUUGUGCUAGCUAUUUGCAAACCUUGGAAUAUUACUUCAUCCAAAUCCCUUGCAGAGAAGAGCAAGAUAUGGCUUUGAUCGGAGAAGCCCUCAUCUCCGCUACCAUCCAGACGUUUUGUGACAAAAUUGCUUCGCCUGAGUUCACCGACUUAUUUCGGCAGAAAAAGCUCGAUGAACAACUCCUCAACAAGCUGAAGACGACGCUGUUGACCUUGUCCGUAGUGCUUAAUGAUGCAGAGGAGAAGCAAAUUAAGGAACCUUUAGUGAGAGACUGGCUUGACAAUCUCAGACAUAAUGUCUUGGCUGCGGAGGACUUACUGGAUGAGAUCGACACUGAAGCUUUGCGAUGCAAGCUGGAAGAAGGUGAAGGUCAAACCCACAAUUUAACCAAGAAGGUACGUGAUUUUUAUCAACGCAUGAAUGUUGAGAUGAAAGAUUUAUUAGAAAGAUUAGAACAAUUUGUACAAGAGAAAAGUGCUCUUGGUUUGAGAGAAGGUGCUGGGAGGAAGGUUUCACAAAGAAGAACAACUUCCUUGGUUCAUGAACCUUGUGUCUAUGGUAGAGAUGAAGUCAAAGAAAAUCUGUUACAAAGAAGAGGAUUUGCCGUCAUCUCUUUCUCAUCUGAGUAUCUCGCGGUGUCCUGCCCUGGAGAAAAGGUAUAAGAAUAAGACGGGACAAGAUUGGGCAAAGAUAUCUCACAUUCCUUGCAUCAAGAUAGGAUACGAACUGAUCAUAUAAUAUGAGCUAUUCCAUAUUUCACUCUCAACCCUCAACUCUCAAAUCAAAGUCAGGUGAGGUAUGUGCCUUCUCUUACUUUAAAAAACUGCUUCUCUUCUUCUAAUUGAAUACAAAAACCAAAACACAUAUUCUCUUUCUCUUCCAAAAACCCAAAUACAUGUUGAACAUUGCCAAAUUUGAUCUCCAAAUUCCUAAUUAUUUCACGCUUUUUGUUAUUUUGUUGCUUAGUAAAUUAUGGUUGCUGGUCACAAAUUAUAGUCUGUUAAUAGGUUCAUGCCAUGAAUUAAUCUUUGGACUUUCCCAGGUACUGCAGGUUUGUUAUUAAUGUUGUGGCCUGAUAUUCGUCGUAUCAAUAGGUUGUCUUACGUUGAGGAGAGAGAUCGAUCAGCAAUUACAAAAUUGUUAGUGAAUUUAGCUUGUUUAUCAUCUCUCUCCUUUUGUUUGUUAAGUUUGGUUGUUCUAGGUUAAACCCUUGUCCCCGCAUUUCACAGCAACUCUAUGUUAUUCCACUCUGUUUAGUUUCAUUUAUGUUGUGAUUCGACUGCUGCUGUAUUUUAGAUUUCGUUCAUGUAAUGCUAGGAUGUUUAAUCUCUUAUCUGUGGUGGUAGUUGAGUAGUCUAGCUAAUCCAAUGAUAACUUGUCCCCUGUUUUGUAUUGUUUUUAUUUCUCUGGUAAUGAAAGCACGUUUCUUAUAAAUAAAUAAAAAAUAUUUCAUUGAUAUUCAUUGCUUAUUUUGAACUGCAGAAGCCUACUUUUGUCAGAGUCAGUAGAUGCCAGAAUGAAGUCAUUGCCUAAACACAUUGGCACCCUCACAGCCUUCGACAUUUUGGGAUAUAUGAUCUUCAAAAUCUUGUGUCAUUUGCCUCCCAACCUGCAAUAUUUUCAUAUUUUAAAUUGUGACAGACUGAGCCCUUUGGUGGGAGAUUACUGGGGUUUGCAAGGACUUGGUGGCAAUAUCUUGUAGACGUUUCUCAAGGAACAGCUGCUCAAUACCACUCUUCACACUCUAUAUAUUAUGGCCUGUCAGUCUAUAAUUCCUGCCAGGAGAGGAACUUGAACGCCUCUCUUCGCUGCAAAGGCUACAUAUUUGUGGGUGUGACAAUAUCCAAUUCCUGCCAGAAGAGUGUUUGCUGCCAUCUCUUUCUUAUCUGUGCAUCAACCAUUGUUUUGCCAUGUAGAAAAGGUAUCUCACAUUCCUUGCGUCAAGAUAGGCGAAGAAGUGAUCAUAAGAUAUGAGCUCUCUCUCCCUCUCGCUCACAUACAAUGUACUUAACACAAACACUCAAUCUGAUUUCUAUUAUUAUUUUGCUCAGUAAAUUUUGUUUAAAUUUGCUUUAUUUCUCAUUGCACUUGUUCUGCUGAUCACAACUUAUAUCCUAUUUAAAUCUCAAAUGCUGAAUAAUGAGCAGUCUUUUCGCAGGACAACAUAUCUUCUCUUGGAGAGCUAUUCAUUUGCAAGGUUUCUUUAUGGGUCAUUUCCAGAGGAGGGUUUACUAUUUAAUAGAAAGGUUCACCUGGAAUAUCUCAACUGACACAUUCCCAAAUACAGGCAUUGAAUGCACAACAUUUUGAGGUACUAUUUUUGUAAUAAAAAUGUACUUGAGUCUCAUUUGAGCUAGUUUAAAUUGUAUUCAAUGUCUAUGGAUAACCUGUGAGCUUAAGUUGUAAGAUAAAACUCACAGUAUAUUAUUAGGGUUUAGGGUUCAACUGUUCAACAGGUGAGCUUAAGUUGUACUUUCCUAGGUACUGCAUGUAUAUAAUCUUAGUAUCAACACUUGGUCUUAUGUGGACAAGAGAGAACAUUUGAGGAAUUACAAAAUCUUCUUAGUGAAUUAAUGUUGUUUCAGCUCUGUUUGUCAUCCCUCACAUUUUCUUUGUUAAGCCUUGAUUUUUUAUUAGACAUAAGAAAAAAUGCUUUUAUAAGACAGGAGAUGAAUGCUUUUAUAUGUUGAUGUCGUAGUCAGUCUUCAACCACACUCUGUUUUUAGAAUUCAUUUAUGUUACUAGUUGAGUGCUGCUGUAUUUUAUAUUUCGUUCCUGUAAUGUUUGGAUGUUUAGCUUGAGCAGUCUAGCUUAUCCAGUAGAUAACUUGUUCCCUGUUUUGUAAUGUUUUUGUUUCCUCUAAUGAAAGCAGGUUUUACUUAUCUUGAACUGCAGAAGCCUACUUUUUGACAUAGGUGGCAUGGCACAAACUCGCAUCCGCAUUUCCUUCCCCAUUGGCAUGCUGUCUCAUCUUUUGUAUUCUGUUACCAGCUUGAAGCUUGUGUAGACAUGUUAUGCUCUUGUAAUUCUGAUCACAAACAUCACUUGACAAAUGGAAAGUCACAAUCAGAUCUUUCAGGUGAUCGGGAGGUUUACUUUCUAACAUUUGUUUUCAUUGGGGGGAGGACAACAAUACAGAAUUUAAAAUUUCUGAUAAUCAAUAGUAGUUUGCAUAUAUCAGCUGGGACCUGUAUGACUGUAUUAUGUAAUUAAUUAUUUCUCUUAUUGUUUUGGUACUGUUAAAAGGAGUUAGCCACAAAAUAAAAAAGGAGGCCUCUUAUUUCAUACAAUUUUUCAAAAGUGAUCAUUCAUCCGUUUCUUUUUCAACAAUAGAGGAAUGUAUACUAAUCGUCUGGUCCAUCUGCUGCUUCACUCCCUAGUAGCUUCAUCUCCUGUCCUUUGCUUUAUUUCUGUUGAUGAAUGUUUUGUCUGGGUUAUUUAUUUUCAUUUCAUGUCCAUUGCUUCAUUUCUGUUUGGAUUCUGUCCUGGACUUGAACAAGGGUUAGGUUAGCUGUAUAAUUUGCGGUUUUAUAUACACAACUGUCUACAUUGAUUAAAACCAGCAUUAUUCUAAGGUUCAUUUAGAAUGUAUUAUCACCAAAAUUAUAAAGUAUACUUCUAUUACAAUUAAUUUGUUGAUUCUAAUUUGGACUUGUAGGAACAGACCAAACAUGUUCAUACGUGGCAUUGCUCAAGUCAUCAUCAUUCGGGACAGAGAAUAAGCCUUCAAAUGUCUGCUGAGUCAAUGAACCUUUCUAGAUAUCUCAAGUGUAGUGGAAAUUGAUGAGUUACAAAGGAUUUUUAAACAUUUUCUACUGGAGGCUAGAAAUGCUUCAAAUAAAUGACUGUGUUGCAAUUAUUUUGUAGGAUCAAAGACUCUGCAAAGAGGUAAGAAAGUCAUCAUCAAGUAACUUUGCUCUUCAAACUUUUUAAUUUUAUUUUUAAAUAUCAGUAAUAACUGGGAAAGUUUGCAUUUCCUUAAAUUGCUCAUUCUUACAUCUUUUAUAGUUUGUUGAUCUUGGGCAAGUGGAGAGAGAGGCGUCAAGUGAUACACAACAACCAUUUUCUGUGAGCUGAUUUGAUAAAGAGAAAUGGUAUGCUUUCUUGUCUUAAGCGGUGUGUUCUGCAAUUAUUUGAAACAAAGGAUGCCGCACUUCAAGUUCGAGAAAAUCAGGUAUUUUAGUAUUUUAUUCUGGAGAAAUUUGAUUUAUGUAGAAACUUGAACAUGUAAAUGAGAGAAAAAAAAAUUUAUAUAUAUAUAUAUUAUAUUGUAUAUGCUCUUAAUGAGUUAAUAUGGUGCUUGCUCCUGGUUGGAAAUUUAUGUAGUCAUCUACCUAUGAUCAAAUAAAGAUGAAAAAUAAAAUAAAAUUGAGAGCAUCUUCCUCUCCCCUGCUUUGCUCAUCCCUUGUUCUUCCACUUCAGCCCCACUAUUACACCAUUUUUUCAGCCACAAUUAUAAUAGCUCCAUGAGCAUUAAGUCCUUUUCAAAUUCUGCUGACAUUCAAAAUUGGAAUUGCUGGUGAUAUAUGAUAGCAUCCUUGUCCGACCAAAAAGAAAAAAAAAAAAAGUUGAUAGCAUAUUGUACCAUUUUGGCCAGUGUACGCAAUAUUAUUGCAUCCAACUUUGCAUAUUAACAUCAGUGGCCACAGUUCCAUGAUUUGAGUGCACAGAAAGGUUUCAAAAGUUGUCCCACAAAGAACAGUCGUUCAAAGUGAAAGAGAGUUUUCAAAGCUUAGUUACAAGUUCAUGUUAUUUACAAUAUCAAAAAGCUUUCAUACUUGCUUACAAACCUGUAUUUCCAAGUUCUGCAAACCUUGGAAUAUCACUUCAUCCAAAUCCCCUUCCAAAGCAGGAAAAAUGGCAGCAGCUUUGAUUGGAGAGGCUCUCAUCUCUGCUUCUAUCGAGUUGUUGUGUGACAGAGUUACUUCAGCCGAGUUCAUAGACUUAUUUCAGCAGAAGAAACUUGAUGAAACACUCCUCAUGAACCUGAAGACGACACUGUUGAUUUUGUUUGCGGUGCUCAAUGAUUCAGAGGAGAAGCAAAUUGUGAACCCUGCUGUGAGAGAGUGGCUUAACAGCUCAAGCAUGCUGUCUUUGAUGCAGAGGACUUACUUGAUGAGAUUGACACUGAAGCUUUGCGAUGCAAGCUGGAAGGUGAGGAUGAAACCCACAAUAAUUAACCAAAAAGGAUCUUUUUGAUUGUUUGAAAGGAGGGUCUUGAUGAUUUGAAAGGAGAGGGUUGCUUUAUUUCUGUUGGAUGCUUAAUUAAAUCUUAUUUGGAGUUGAACAAGGAUUAGGUUAGCUGUAUAAUUAGUGGUAAACGCCUUUUUCUAAGGGUCAUUUAGACUCAUAUUACGAUUAAUUUGUUGUUUCUAAUUUGGACUUGUAGGAACAGACCAAAUAUGUUCACACGUGGCAUCGCUCAAGUCAUCAUCAUUUCAGACUGAAAAUCAGCCUUCAAGUGUCUGUUGAGUCAAUAAAACUUUCUAGAUAUAUCAAGUGCAAUGGAAAUUCAUGAGUUACAUAGAGAUUUGUAAACAUUUUGAAGAUUGCAACACCUGCAAGUGAGAUAGGCGGUGACGAAAUCAGAGAUGAAGCCUCUGAUGCCCCUGUUGUUGCAAGUUGCACCUGAGAACAUGUUUUUUUUUCUUCUUUGGGGUAAAAAACUGGCAACAUGUUCGGAGCUGACAAUUCAAUCCCUGAUGAACUAGAGAAGCAAAGCUCCGGUAAGGAAAUUGGUCAAGGUUGUGACAGGGAUGAUUGAUGGUGAAAUGGAUGCUAUUUCUUAUUGCAGCCUGUUCUUAAAGUUCUUGUUGGCAAAUGCAAGAGAUGGAGUAUUUUGAUUGGGAGGAGAGAUAAUGACAUGGCUUGACAAUUCUAGAACAGCCCAUCAUUAAUCCCAGAAAAAAUCCAGUUUCUGCUAAACAAUCACUUAUGGCAAGGCCAACUCUGUAAAUGGAAUUUGUGAUCCCUUCAAAUUGUACACAUUUUUUCUUUUUGAGGAAUUUAAUCAAACAGUAUUCUAAUGCAUUAUGAUGGCACUACACGCUUUUGUUGUAACAAAUUACAAGGAGGAAUUUGGAUUGAGUUUCUUGUAUAAGCACACCUUACACAAAUUUCGUAUAUUUUCUUCCAGCAAGUCUGUCUAUUAAACCCCUUAUUUGAAAUUAAUUGUUAUAAGUUUUGAUUCAUCUUUAAUCAGUGUCUUCCCCUUGUUGAAUAACACUCCUCUUUCUAAUUUAUAUUUGAAGUUUGAGGUUUCAAUUUCAAUUGUGGGUUUUGAUUUUACAGAUUUUGUUUGUCAAUUUCAGUUUGGACAAAGCAUAUGCAAUCAAAGUAAGCAUUUUAUGUUAUACUUUUGAACUAGGUGUUGAUUUGAUUUAAUCAUAAGUUUUGCUGGUGCAUUUACUAGGCUAAUCAUUCAAUACUUUUGAUCAUAGAACUUCUUUGGUUGAUAUUAUCUUUGUUAAGUUUAACCAUAACUUUAGAGAGGGGACUUAACAGAUUUAUAAUCUCAUCAUUAUAGUAUUAAAAAUUAGAGAUUAUUUAAGGCAUUGUCUAUUAUCUGAAUUCUGCUUACUUUUAGUUCAUAUGUUUACAUCUUAGCAUAUUCAUGUGAUUAGUGCGGCUCAUACCACAAAGGCAAUUUUAGGCUCAUCAAGUGCUAAGCAAUGUCAAGCUUCCAAGUGACAAGUUCUCUACAUAGUUUGAGACCUACACUUACUAGAUAUUAGAUCAUUUGGAUCAUUUCCAUAUGUGUAUAUGUAAUUGACAUGUUAUAACAUUUUUGUAGCGUUAUAUAAUUAUUUAGCAAUUUAAUUAUUUCUUUGCAACUUUAUUUUUUUUGUCAGUCAUACUAUUGUUGACUGCUAAAAACCAUCAAGAAAUAGUUCUUAAGUUAUAAAAAAAAAUUAUAAAAAAAAAGAUUUGUUGAUGCUUAAAAAGCAUCAAGAACAGAUAGUUUCUUGACGGUUUUGUGACGUUUCAUAACUGUAAGGGGCUUUUUCUUUCGACAGCUGUAAAUGGGCUGGGCUGCCGUAAAGGUCAAGACUGAUGAAAUUGUCCCUUUUUGUCUGAGCUCGAAAAUUAUGCCCCAAAAUACUUUGAAAGGGCAGCAGAGCCUUAGGAAGUAUUUUGGUUACCCUCACCAACUAAAACAACAACAACUUACAGGUAAUUUCUUAAUGCUUACAGAUGAACUCUUGUGCUUGGCAUGAGUGACAUGUGGCAUGGAAGCAAAAUCAACAUGAGUUUAGCACUGAGGCGAAAUUUAGGCUCUCUUGGGGGAAAAAGGGAAGUGUUAAGGUGAGAGAGGAGAAGUUUGUAGGAGAUUUAGCUAAGAAAGGAGAAAUAUAGAACAAUGCUCUUCUGGCAACUUGACAGAUGCUCUGUCUGCCAAAAAAGGAAGAUGGAGAAGAAAUGUGAAUAGUGCACGAAUUUGCUAGAUUUUUGCAGGUAAGAGAGGAAGCUUGCCCUAUGGGUCUGAGUUGAGUUUUGUUGGGUGGAAGAGACCUCAUUUUAUAGCCCCUGGAAACCAUCACUUCCCAAGAAACCCUAAUGGCUUCUACCUAUUUUGGCCAAGCUUUUCCCUUCCUUUCUCAUUUCCUUCCUUGAGUUUACCCCUUUUGAUGAAAUCCCAUCUGCCUAUUUGCACCAGAUCAAAGUUUUUUGAAGCUCAAGGCCCCCAUUUUCUUGCAGUUGUCUCAAUGGGAGACUUCCAUUCCCAGUCAUUCUCCUUUAUUGCUUUCCUUUCUUUUUUUCAUGGCCUAGUCUGGUGGGGAAAGGAGUUGGGAUAUAUAUGCUGGUUUGAAGGGUGCUUCUCUUCCUGACAUCUUACACACUAAUACCCCUUGGUUCCUUGAAUGUUUUGGCUUUGAAACUUGCUCCCCCCCUCCCCCCAUGUACUGGAACCUCCCAGCAGCUCUGUUCAAUGAAUUUUCAGACCUUUUCUUCAUGGCUUUUAUUUUUUUAUUAACUGGCUGGAGCUUUUGUGGCUCAUUGUGGCAAUUGUAUGGGCUAAGGUGGUUCAUUAAGUAAGUGAGCUAUUUUUAUUAAACAUUGGGCUUUUUGGUUGAGUCACUAGGCUAUUUUGAUUGGGCUAUUGGGCUAUUUUUUCCUUUCUUGUACUCACCCACAUGUUUGGACCAAAGAAAUGAGCUUGAGUCCUGAGGCUCCCAAGCGACCCGAGACUUUCCAUUUCUCGGCCCAUCAAUGGGCCUCAUGUUGAUUUAUUACCAUCCAUACCACAACCCACUCAAGCAAGCCCCGGGCAUUUGAGUGGCUUGGGCCCACUUAGGCUUGUAGUGUGGUUGGGUGCGAAAUGACGAUUUCGUGCUUGGCAUGUUUUAAUUUUAUCAUCCUUGGGAAAGGCUGCGAUGUUUGAUUUCGGCAUGGGCUUGUAGAGCUGGUAUGCUUUAUUUCAACUCUAGCAUGACGAAUUAUUUAUUUAGCAUGGCACGUGAAUUACAACUCGCAUGGGGUGGGUUUUUGUGUACUACACCUUACGCCUCUUCUUAAUAGAACAUCGUUUUGGGCUGAUAAUUUAUUCGGGCCCAACUGUGAAUUUUUUGGGUCUCAAUAAUAACCAUCAUAAAAUAUUACAUUUUGACUGACGUCAAGAAAUGGGGUAUCCCUUUCCUGAUAGUGGCAUCCAUGAUGCCUUCCAAGCCGUCAAUUAAGGGCUAUCGUGAUGCAUUUUAGUUGUCAGCAAAAGGUGUUUUUCUUGUAUUGUAUUCACUCAAAAUCAUGUUUCAUUUAAGACUAGUAGUAUGGUUGAAUACCAUUUGUUUUGUUAAAGAAUAUUAUACAUUAGGGAUUUUUGUAGAAAUGUCAUUUGAACUUAUACCUUAGUUUCAAUUUGUUACCUUGAAGAAAAAUUUAAGAGAAAUGUCACCUUAAUUUUUAAAAAUCCAUGAUUUGUUAUAUGACUUUAAGAUCAUCCAAUUUUCCAUCCAUUUUAAGGGGAUUUUAGUCUUUUCAUUUUCAAGGAAAAAAAAGAGAUGAAAAAAGAGACAUCUCUCUUACUUUGUUGCCCAACCCAACCCAACCCCACCCGCCCCCCAAAACCACAUAGGAUUGCCUCCCCUUUCCCCACUUUUCUUUUUUCUUUUUGUCCUACUUUUCCACUGUGUUUAUGUUGAAGGAUCUAAAGUUUGCUUGGUCACCAUCUGUUACGUAGGCUUCCCAAUUGUUGGUUUGGGUGGGUUGUGGGAAUUUGUGUGUGGAGGGCAAGACCCUAUCUGACAGGACCUGCCUCGAAUUCCUCGAAACCCGAGACGAAUCUUGUGGAAUUCCCGACAUUACACCGAUGUCGGGCCCACUUAUGAACUAAAUCCUCCUUUCCAAAAUUAAGGAAAAAGAGUACGAGGCUUUCUGCCGAAAUUGCGGCAGUGUCUUCCUUAUAAAUUUAACAUUUCAGCUUUGGUGGCCAUUCUCUCAUUUUAGCUUUGGUGGCCGGAUGAGAGAACGGCCGGCUAAAACGUGGCCAACUGGCAUUGCCGUCGCGAGAGAGGAGAGAGAGAGAGAGAUUUUUAUCAAACCAUUUUUGCCAAAAUUACGAUUAUGCAACUGAGGGUAUUUUGAUCGUAUCUUUUUUGUUAUAACUCCGAUUCAAGCUCACUACAUGCCUAUGGAUUCAUCUCGCCGUGCUUUAUGCAAUUGUAUAGUUGAAAUUCCCAAAUUCCAUCCCAGUCAAAAGUCAACUUUAAACCCUAUAAAAUAUUCUAGGGGAAGAAUGGUCUUUUAUCUAAUUAAAUUAAUAAUUGAAAAUUUAUUUAGGAUCGGGUCGUUACACUGUCGUUGAUGGACUGUGCGAUGACACUCACACAAAGUCCUUGAGAAUAAAACACACACACACCGUGAAGAGAGUAAAACAAAUACACAAGUACACAAAGAUUUAUAAAGGUUUGGCCUCCUGCCUACGUCCUUUUGGUGAUCCACCCGAGAAAUUCACUAGUAUGUAAGAACAACUUUGGUUACAACUAAACCCCCUUAGCUUUCAUAAGAACCCUAGAUCUCUUUUCUCCCACCCUUGCUCCAACCCUUUGAUGCCCUUGUAAACACUCAAGAAUUCACCCUUGAAUUCUGUCAUGUGUUACAUCUUCUCUUCUCCCCUUUGUUAACCUAACCCUAAAAGUUAUAUUUAUAAUUCAUAGGACUUUAAGUACAAGUUAACUAGGAAUAGGAAACAUAAAAGACCCCCAAAAUUGGAGAAAAUAUGUCUAGAUCUCGUUAGGAAAUUGCACAACACGUGCGAUCCGCUCGAGCGCCUGCAAAAUCAUCCCUUUGCCGCUCGAUCUGCCGAUAGCUCAUGGGAUGGGGGAAUUAGAGAUUUUUUUUUUUUCAAUUUUAAUUGUUUAAAAGAUAUACAAUUUUUUAAUAAUAAUUUUUCCAUUUUUAAAAUACCCUUGAAAAUAGAAAGAUUAAAAUGCCCUUAAAAAUGGAUGGAAAAUUGGAUGGUGUUAAGAUCAGAUGACAAAUCAUGGAUUUUGAAAAAUUAAGGUAACAUUUCUCUUAAAUUUUUCUUUAAAGUGACAAAUUGAAAUUGAGGUAUAAGUUCAAGUUACAUUUCUGCAAAAAUCCUUAUACAUUAUGAUAUUCUAACAAUAAAAUUGGCUAAAAUUGAUAUGUUCCCUCUUUUAUUUUCUUUUUCUCUUUUCCUUUUCAUUUUAUGAUCCAAUCCUUUUCAUAUAUUUUUGUUCAAGACUUUGUUUUAGAAUGCUCUAUUACUAAUUUGGUACAGGUCCCUAAAAUCUCAGAGCCGCCUUAGUACAUUCAUAACGUACAUGUUCAGAGUUCAAGAAUAAUGUAUAGAAUGUGAAAUUGACGAUGCCGGCCUUUAUGAGGCAACGUCUUUAUUUCUUUGGUUAUUCCAGUUUAGAAUAUUUGCACAAAUGAGAUGACUCCAAGCAUAAAGUCACAUUCGACCAAAAAGCAUGAAGUCACACACAAAAAGAACACGGACAAUUGCUAAGUUUAUCCUUGUACCCUUAUUAUCCGACCCAAUUGAAAAAUAAAAAAAGAUGAUAAAAAAUAUUGUUCACUGCUUUAAAAUCUAUGAGUAGAGUCCUCCAUUUGAAAUUUCGUCAUUAUACAAAAUUGGAAUGAAAAAAGAAAAUCCUACAGCUAAAUUUGAUAUAUUUCCUUUUCAUUUUAUGCUGGGUGUUAGGGCUCGUCAAUGGGCCGGGCCAGGCUAGCCCGGCCCAAAUUUAAUGGGCUUGGGCCAGGCUGGGCCAGGCUUUAAAGAGGAGAGAGAAAAUAUCAGGCCGAGUUUUUUAAGAAAAUUCAAAGCCCAAGCCCGACCCAUGAGCCCGGCUUGAGAAAGCCCAUCGGGCCGGCCCGGGCCUAAACAGGCCCUACUUCGUUAAAAAAAAAUCAUAAACUUAAUCAUAAGGUCAUUUUAGUCCAAAUUUGAGAUUAAACUCACUUAAUUCCAAUAUUUUCACUUCAAACCAAAUUCAUAAAACACCCAAUAAAGUCACACAGCUUGUAAGAUUUUCCACAAAAAUAAUAAAACCAAGUACUAUUUUUGAGGUUAUUACAUAAUUAGAUCGUAAUAUGUUUUAAGAAAUAAUUUUAAAAAAUAAUAUUAAUAAGUAUCAAAAAAAUAAUUUUUUAAAGGAUGGUAUGAAUAAAUAUGCAAAUAUUUGGUGAUGUGUUCAAGAAAAGGAUGAUUAUAUUUGGUGGUACGAUUAUGUUUCGUGAUAUGAUUAUAAUUAGUGAUGUGAUAUGUUGUUCAUCUUAUAUAUAUAUAUAAUUGUUGAAUUAAUAAUUGACACAAAUUAAUGUGUUAAUCAUCCAAUUAUAAACUAGGAAUGAAUAAAGAAAAGUAAAUGAAAUGAAACAAAUUAUAUAUGUGAUUUAAGUGAUAUAAUCCUAAACCUAAACUCUUAUUUAUACAUAAUUAUAUAUGUAUGCGGGCCUAACGAGCCGGACUUUUGUGGGCGGGUAGGGCCGGGCUUUAUUGGGCUUAAUCGGGCUUUAUUGGACUUAAUCGGGCUGGGCCUAUAGGUCGGACCGAGCUUCAGACAUCCAAGCCCACGCCUAGCCUCGCCCGCCUUGGGCCGGGCCAUUCUUUUUUUGGGGUUCUAUUUCUCUUUGAAUUAACUGCUGAGUUUCAUGAACAUGUCCUCCUUUUGAAAUUGUGUAUUAUUCAAAAUUGGAAUUUGCUGGACAUACUUGAUAUUUUCGUGAGUAAAUUCUGAUUUGGUGGUUGUGCUCGUCACAAAUCAAUGAAAUGACAGCAGUGAUUUUGCAAGACAGCGUACCUUCUCUUGGGGUGCUUUUCAUUUUGCAACAUUUCUUUACGUGUAAUUUCCAGAGGAGGGUUUAUCAUUGUAUACAGCUCUUCGGGUGGUUUUUCUACAAAACAAAUGUCACAAAGAAGGAGGAGAAGCGGAAAAGAUUUACUUGGAAUGUCUCAAGUCUCCUUUGAGAUAAAGGCAUCGAAUGCACAACAUUGUUUUUGUGCUAUUUCAUAAUUAAAGUGUGCUUCCCAAGUCUCCUUUGUGUUUUGUAACUUGUAAUGUUUGUUUUUUUGUUUCCCAUGUUUUGUCUCUUAUAAAAGAAAGGCUUUUUAUCACAAAUGGUCCUUCAGGUUUACAAAAUUAUCACAAAUCGUCCUUCAAGUUUUUUUGUGACACUAAUAGUCCUUCAGGUUAUCAUUUACCCAUCAAAAUGGUCCUUCUGUCAGUUUCUGUCAAAACUGACGUUAAAUUCCUGUGCUCAGCCUGCUUUUGAAAUGAUAAUCUCAUCUUUUCCACUCAACCUUCAACCAAACUCAACUGUCAGAACCCUUUCCCUCCAUUUCCUCAUGGUCCUUCCAGUUUGGCGCCCCUGUAAUAUAUAACCAAUCUUAAAAAUUAAACUUCUGAAGAAAUUGAAACAAUCCAAGCUCAAGAGAAAGACCAACAAUUGAGAACUGCAGAGAAAGAUCAAACUCAUGGAUCAAUAUGGUAAAGCCAAAUUGAAAAACAUAAUUUGCUAAAGAUAAAGCCAAACUGAAAAACCAAACUGAAAAACAUAAAGAUAUCAUUGACAAAUAUAAAAAGUUAAAAAAUAUUGCACAAUCAAAAUACAACCACAUGUUUCACAAAACAAAACAAAACAACCACAUUUGCAGACAAGCUGUAGUUUACACUUUAACAAAGAUUAAAAAACUAACCUGUAUACUUUGGUUGUUUCCCCCCCUUUCGAAAGAACUCCUCGGACUCAUCCAUCUAGUCACUUUUGUAAGAAGAAUAAUGCGUAUUUGACUCUUACGAACCCAGAUAUUCCUUUUGCAGACCAGCUUUAUCAAUUAAAAACCCAAAAAACCUUAAUUGUGCAGGGCCCGAGGAUGAAAUGGAGGGAAAAGGUUAUAUAUGCGGUUUAGAGCGCCAAAAUGGAAGGCCCGAUGAAGAAAUGGAGGGAAAGGGUUAUUUCAGUUGGGUUUGGUCGAAGGUUGAGUGGAAUGAUGCGAUUAUCAUUUCAAAAGGCAGGCUGAGCACGCGACUUUAACGUCAGUUUUGACAGAAACUAACAGAAGGACUAUUUUGAUGGAUAGAUGUUAAACUAAAGGACUAUUAGUGACACAAAAAAACCUAAAGGAUGAUUUGUGAUAAUUUUGUAAACCUGAAGGACCAUUUGUGAUAAAAAGCCUAAAAGAAAUACAGGUCCAAACCACACGGAUCUACUUGCAUAAUAAUGGACCAAAUUUAUGAUUUUUAGAAAGAACCUUCUACUGGUGGAAUCUUGGGCUACUGUUGUGGCUCUCCUCUGUGUGCCUCCUUUUUAGAACGAUAAAAUAUUCAAAAUACCAGAAAAUGUUCAUGAUUAAUGCAAAUAUUAAGAAUUGAAAUUAUUAAUUAAAUGAAGAUAAUAUGGUAAAUUCACACUUUUUCAUAUUAAAAAAAUUAAAAUUAAAAGAAAUAUCAGAUAAUUACUCUUAUUUUUAUGGAACACAGCUACCCAUUAUCUUUUUUAAUUAUAAAAUAAAUUUAAAUUAAAAAAAAAAUCUCUCUCACAGACACGGAAGCGCGUGCUCAGAGGCUAGUUAAAAAUAAUGAACUUUGCUUUUGAAGACGUCUAUACCAGACCCACUCAACCUGCUUUAUGAUUAUGCAAAGAACAAACUCGUCCUUAGACUCAUUUGGUUAAACUUAGAAAAUAAUGAAACAAAAAUAUACACACCCACAAGUAACACAGCCAGGAUUGAAAACAACUGGAAAAAGAAAGGCAUGUCAAAACAAAAUUUUCAACAACUCAUCACCAUUAGACAAGAAAAAGAAAAAUCAAUACAGAAACAGAAAGAACAGAGAAUAAAUGUGGUGGAAGAAAAACGUUGAAGCCAUUUGUGAAUCCAACAACACUACCACUCUGUUUCUCUCCUUUUGUUCAGGCGGAUCUGCAUAUAUCCUAAGGCGUAUUACGGAAACAACUUCUUGCGGUUAUACUUGAAUGUUGUGGAUGCUUCAACGUUGCCAUCUGGGUGGAGUGGAUUUGUCCAAUUCACCUUCACUAUGGUUAAUCAACUAGACAGACAUAAGUCAGAAACAAUAGGUAUAUACGUCCAAAUUGUUGUUAUUUGAAAGGUUCUAAAUUUUAACAUUUUGUUGUAAAUGUGGAGAGAAAAAGUAGAGAAUUGGAAUAGAGAGGAGAGACUGAUUUUCUCAUUCAUAUGUUCAGAUGAAUGUCUUCAGUGUAUAUUUUACAAGUAGGGGGAGGUAUCUAUUUAUAGGCUAAGGUUUUGGUAAAAUACAGGGAAGGAAAGUUCCUGGAAGAUGCAAGGAAACUUCCUCUGUGGGCUCCACCUUCAAACUUUUACAACACUCCCCCUUGGAGACCACAAAUGAUAUGGAAUAUGCCUCGUUAAAAACCUUGCCAGUAAAAACCCAGUGGGACAAAAACUGGUCAAAGGGAAAAAGAGUACAUAAUGAUGUGUAACAUAAAAUUCUGUGUAUAUUGACGCGCGUGCGACACUGCCUCGUUAAAACCUUGCCAGGAAAAACCCAGUGGGAUGAAAACCUGGACGAAGGAAAAAGAGUACAGUGUUUGAAGAUCUUUAUUGAUAGCAUGCUCCCCCUGAUGCUUGGUAAAAUAUCUUUAAGUCAUACUGUUGAUCACCUUUCUGAAUAUCGUAGUUGACACUGCUGCUGUGAGUCAAUCUUGAGCGACACUGCCUCGUUAAAACCUUACCAGGAAAAACCCAGUGGGAUAAAAACCUGGAUGAAGGAAAAAGAGUACAGUGUAUGGAGGUCUUUAUGAAAAACCACGCUCCCCCUGAAAAAUAUCUCCCCCUAAAAAAUUUCAUGACUAGCUUUUCCAGUAUGCGACCAUAGAAAUUUUCAUAGUAUACUCUAAACCCUUGAGCGACACUGCCUCGUUAAAACCUUACCAGGUAAAACCCAAUGGGAUAAAAACCUGGAUGAAGGAAAAAGAGUACAGUGUGGAGCUGACCUCUAUCUGGUCUAGUAUACUUCCGGAAAAACAUUUAAGGUGUCCAACGGAUAAUCCUCAUAAAAAUGCUUCAAUACUUUCUUAGUAUAAGCAAGAAUCUCGUUGGCAUAAUGCUCGAUCUUUAAGUCGAGACAAAUAUUUCGUGACUUCUGCAGAAGCUUUAAUGUGUUGCAAACACAUUAUAAACAAUGUACUCACUGAGGUAAUUUAUGCAUAUUAAUAUUGAGUACAAAUUUUGUGCUUCAAGCACAUGUCCUUUAGGGACUUGCUUUAUGCAAUGUCAAUCCUCUCAACGGAUUUUGUUUAAAAGGGGAUUAAACUUUAUGACACAUUAUAUAGCUUUAACCCAGCUAUUUAUACAUCUUUAGGGAAUCACUUCAAGUGAUAUGCUCUGUGCAUUUAAUAACCCUUAAAGAUAACAUGUUGGUCUCCGUAAUUGUGCAGUAAGGGGGGAGGCACAAUUGAAUCUGUAAAUAUGGAAAAGACCCAACAUUCAUUGUUUCUGCCAGAAACAUUGUGUCAUACAAAGUAGGUAUAUUCCCUUUUAUUCCGAACACCCAAGUAUAAGUUUCAAUAUUAACAUCUUUUGGGGUUCGUACUGUGGGUUUGUUCUUUCACGUUCAUUCUCAUCUAUAAUGGAAUUACCUCUUUCCAUUUUGGCCAAUGAUAUUGUCGACAUCUAAUAAUUGAACGUGGUUCCAAUCAACACAGCCCAUUGAUGAUUUGAGUAGCUACUCCAAAACCAAAAAUUGUCAUUCAUCAAUUCAUUAUCCCACCAUUCUCAUGUGCAUGCGCAUGCAUCAAUUAUAAGCAUUUCUUUGCUUUUGGGUACCCAAGCCACUUCAGGGGGCUUUUAUUAUGUGAGAAUGUGGAUUAUAACCUCCAAUGGAGCGUUAUUUUGCAGUAGGGCGUGGAUAAUCUCCAUUUAGGGAGUUGGAACAUUUAGAACCCAUAUAUCUGUCAUGCUGCAGGCAUGCCACAGAUUAAUACAUACAUGUCAAUUAGUUUAUGGGACUUUAACCCAUAUGAUGGGACUUUAACCCAUGUAAUUUGCUACGCAUUCGGCGUGCAUAAUCUCAAUAUUGACAUGUCAAAGGAUUGUCCAUUCGGGACUUCAAUCCACAUCAUUUGCUACGCAAUAGGCGUGCAUCAUAUUGAUCACUGCUAUACCCAUAUUCUGUUCUUAUGGGACUUUAAUCUGUGCAAUGUAUUAUCAAUGUAUCCAACUUGCAAUCUGUAAAAUUUGCAUUAAUAAUACAUGGAUACAUACAAGCCAUUCUUUUGGGACGGACUUAUCUCCCCAUUUGGUUACCUUUCAAUAUAAAAUAUCAAAUAGGUAUAUAAGCAUAAAAUAACACAAGUAUUGCUUACAUCCUUAGGUGGGAGAAACUUUUCUCAAGUAUCGCUUGAUGAUCUUGUUAUAUCCUGCAAGAGCAAAAAUCACAAUUCCUUUCUCUGUCAAAAACAAAUAAGAGGAAUAGGUAGAACCGGUGAAUUUCAAAUUAACCAUAGGAAAAUUGCGAGAUUCUCGGGAUGCUUUUGAAAAAGUAGCUCCGUGAAAUCCGUAAAGCAAGAUUGGCUUUGAAAAUAAUACUUGAAAACGCCGAAAGUGCCGACAGGCAUUAUUAGAGGCCACGUGAAGUUUUGGACUUCUAGGAAAGAAAAAGAUAAUAUGGGGAUUCGAGAAGAUAUUGGGGUCUUGAAAAACAGUAGCCAUAUUUCCUCCUAUAGAUAUGGCCUUUGCAACAAUUGCGCACCUUCUUAAACUUGCACCUGUGGUUUUUACGCCUUUUCAAAAUGACGGUUUGGAACCUUGUGCCUUAUAGGUUCAAAUAACCACAUUGUUUCUCCCAAAUUUCAUAUUUUAUCGCAUGGUAGCCCGAAACUUUUGGCCUGGGCACAAAUUCAGAAUUUAUUUGCCCUUUUCAAAUGGACAUGAAAUAUGAAUUGAGUAAAAGCCAUGAUAAUAUCGCAAUAUAGUAGUGAAGAGCAUUAACUACUAUAUACCCACAACUUCAAGUUCAGGAUCUCUCAUAUAUUUGGAUCCAUGGGUUUCCGGCCCAGAUAUAACAAAAUAUGUGGGGAGCCUCAAUUCAUCAUUUGAGGUUCAUACUGAUAUUAUCCAUUUCACGGUGUAUUCUUGACAACCGGAAUUCACAAAAUAUAUUUCUUCCUUGAAGUGUCGAUUAUAACAAAAUCGAACUUUAAAUUCAUCAUCUUCUUAUGCCAAAGAAAUAUGUGGCAUACCACAAUUUGCAAUAAUACCUCAAGGGUUGUCCAUUUAAUUGUUGGAACUUCAGGUUCUCAACACUGUUAGAUUUUGAACUUCUGGCCAAAAUCACAUAUUCUCAUGGUAUGGACAUUCAAUCCCCUUAGAUUUUGAACUUCGGGCCAAAAUCACAUAUUCUCAUGGUAUGGACAUUUUUACAAUUUUCUGUACAUAUUUCUGGACUUCAAGCCCUUACAUAAUUGUCCAUAUUUUGAGGAACUUCUGGCAUCUCAUUUAAUUGCUCAUCCAUGAGUUUAAGGAACUGCAGGUUCCCUUUUGAAUGGUGAUGGUUUACCCAAAAUGGUAAAUACUUAUGCAUACAUCACUAUUCAUGUAUACGGCACUAUUUAUGUAUACAGUACAUUUGCCAGUACAGUUAUCAUCCAUGUGUACGGCAUUAUGAACAAAUACGGUACUGUUACAUCAUUAAGGAACCCCAUGUCCUUAUUUACAUGUCAGGGAUCAAGGACCCUCAAGUCCGAUCACAUGUUUACAAAUAUAGUACCGGAGAGACUGCCAGCUCUCAUAUUAACAUCAUCAUCAAGGAUCUUCAAGUCCUGAUGUAAUUGUAUGAUGAGGAUCAAAGAACUUCUGGUCCUGAUCUGUAUACUGUAAAAACUCAUCAUACAGCACAUUUAAUCCAUAGAAUAAAUUGCUGGUAAAUAAAUUACUGGUAUGGACGAUAAACUCGCACCAUACUUUAAAUAAAUAUUGCCUUACAUACACUUACAGCAUCAAUAAUUGAUAUCCAUCCAUGAUCCACCUGUAUAAAUGUAUAUAUAUAUAUGUAUAUAUAUAUAUAUUAUUUUUAUUUGGACUUAAACAGAAACAGGCAUUUUCUAUAGCUGUAAGUAUAAUUGUACCUGCCUACGCUGAAGAUUCCUUUCAUUGUUGCAGGAUGGUGGGCAUUCAGUUUAAAUAAAGCAAACACACACAUUUCAAAUUUUAAUUGAAUUUCAAAUUAGCAGUUUACUUACAUGCCCAUCCAUGACGUAAAAAGCAGAGACAAGUGAUUGUCUUUCGACAAUGACAUGAUAUCACAGUAGUGGGGAUAACGCUAUGAUAUUGGCCGAUCGGCUUCGCUGUAUCCCUGCACACCUUUAAUAAUUAUAUAAUAUUAAAAUAAUAUAAUUAUGUACCUGCACUAUAGACCUGCAUCUUAAGCUUCUUCCCUUUAUGGGGUCUGCCGCUUUGCCUUUUGUUUCCUUUGCUUUGCUUUCCACUGAAGCAAGUUGGCCAGCACCAAUAAUGCCGCCCACAAUGCAAAAAUCAAGUUGGCCAGCACCAAUAAUGCCGCCCACAAUGCAAAAAUCAAGUUGGCUACUUUUGCCUGUUGCUUUCUCAAUUUCCUCCACCCUUUCAUUGUCUUUUCUUCUUUCACUACUUCUCAUCUUCUGCCUCUCUCUUGCCUUUUUUUUUUCUUUUUUUUUUUUUGUAUUCGAUUUUCUGGCAAGCCUCCAAAGACAGCAACGACCAAGUUGCCUUGUCAUGGCUGGCGGCCAUUGCAAAAGCCUUUUCCAUGAAGAAAUGGACUUGGACACGAGGCUGGUUGAUUAUGUAGUUGGAGAUGAAGAAAGCAGCUGACAGUCUAGGGAGGGAGCGAACCAGAGAGUUUGUUACUCCACUGGUGUGGUUGGGAGGUAGGGAUCGUCUGUGGUUGGUACAGAGUUUUCUUCCUCAGCUCAAGCAAGGCAAUAGAGGUAGGUUUGUUUGCUCAGCUCAGCUCAACCUGUGCUCUCUGUGUUUGUUUGCUGGGUUAUCUGGGAGAGUAAUUUUCUUCGGGUUCGGUUCUGGUAUGCUUUUGCAUAUAGAAAACAGAGAACCCAGAAAGGAAAUCCAAGAGAGAGACUUUGGUUGAGAAAAUGGCAAUUUUUGAGAAAAAUGGAGAUGCUGAGGUUGGUUGGACAACACCGAAUGGAAGUUGUUGGGCUCGGAGCAGAGAAUUGGUUCUCUAGAUCGGAGGUUUUGUGUGAAAUUUUACUGGCAAGCAAUCCGUGUGGCUCUGUACAAAACUGGGUUGGUUUUGGGUGGGCAAUCUGGGCUUGGUUUCGAACUGGGUGUCUUGAUCAAUUUCUGGGAUCAAGAAAUCAGAGAUUUCAGCCGGUUAAAGACUCGUGCUGAUAUCGUGUUGUAAAUGUGGAGAGAAAAAGUAGAGAAUUGGAAUAGAGAGGAGAGACUGAUUUUCUCAUUCAUAUGUUCUGAUGAAUGUCUUCAGUGUAUAUUUUACAAGUAGGGGGAGGUAUCUAUUUAUAGGCUAAGGUUUUGGUAAAAUACAGGGAAGGAAAGUUCCUGGAAGAUGCAAGGAAACUUCCUCUGUGGGCUCCACCUUCAAACUUUUACAACACAUUUUGAUUUUUAAAUUUUGUUUUAAUAUUUCGGCCCACUUAGUUCUUCUCAAAAUAUGUCAUCAAUAUCGUUGAAAGGUUGAACUUAGUGAAUUAUUAUAGUGCAGUACGGUAGAAUAAGCACAUGAUAUAAUUUGUCCACAUGUUAUAAUAUAAGUGAAUAUUUAUUGAUAUUAUUUCCAAAAAUAAGAAAUAUCAACAAUUAUAUCCUCCUAUAUUAUAAUACAUAUACAAAUUAUACCACAUUAUCAUACUCUAAUACCAUUUUAUAAUUUCUCGUACUUAGGAGGUAUAGAGCGAGUCAAUGACAUUACAUAAUAUAUAAUUGUUCAUAUAAUGGGGCAACUAACGUGAUCAACAAGUUGUGGUGAUUAAUUUAACAUAAUAAAAAAUAUACCAUUUACUUGAGUGAUGUAACAAUUUGUUCUUUUAAAUUGGAUUGCCAUCACUUUAAUAUGUUAUGUUUCUUAUUAUAGUCUCCCAUGUUAAGUGCUUCAGCAUUGUUUGUGGUGUGUACACAAAUUUUCUUAUAAAAUGUUUUAAUGCUUCUCACAUGUAUAUCAGAUAUAGACAGUUGAUGUGACUUAGAAAUCAAAUUGUCAAUAAAACAAAAAAAUAUAAUUGGUGAUCGAGGUCCAAUUUAAUAGAAAAUAGUCUUAACUUGCAUAUUAAAGGUCUUAUAUUCGAAUCCUCACUGCAUUAUUGUUGUAUGCGUACACAAGAAAUUCUCUUCCCCAAUAAUUUAGACUAUCACUUAUACUAAAAAUAUAUAUAUAUAAUGACUUUUACGAAUGCAAACAUAAAAUUACAUCAAACAAUAAUCACUACUACAAAAAAGCAAAAAGACGACGGUAAAUCACCGUCGUGUAUUGGGGUUUUCAAUGGUCGUGGAAUCCACCGUCAUCUUUUCCCUCAUAAACCACGACGCUAAAUAACCGUCGUUGUUAAAAUAUACAACGUCAUCAACAAAUACAAAACGACGUCUUUGUACUGCAAAAAGAUCUAAAAAAAGCAAUCGAGGAUGAUAAUAGACGACCAACUCUCUAAAAAAACCGUCGUUAAAAAGAAAAAAUAUGACACAUAUUAAGAGAACAAGGCCGCAAGAUAGACAUACAACGACGAAAAUAAAAAUACGACGACGUUAAAUAUAAUUUUCACGACAAUAAAAAAUAUGACGUCUUUAAAUACAUUAGAAGACGACGUUAUUGAUACAUACUACGUCGCAUAUAUAAAAACAACCGUCGUAAAAUUAAUUUUCCACUUCGAUUUUUCGAUAAAAGAUGACGUGGAAAUAGUUGUCAGUGUCAUUAUUUACGACGUAUGUGUUUAUAGAUUAGACGUUGAAAAACUAAACAACGUCGGUUACAAAUAUAUGAGAGUCGUAUUACAAAAUUUAUACGUCCUAUUUUCAGAAACAAACAACGACGAUAAAUAUUAGACGUUGUUAAACAAAACAACGUCGGAAAAAUAAAAACAGACGUGUUUAGUCUGCUAAAGUUCUAGAAAAUAGUCGAGGAUGAGAAUAGACAACCAACUCAAAAAAAUCACCGUCGUUAAAAAGGAAAAAUCUGACACAUAUUAAAAGAACAAGGCCGCAAGAUAUACAUACAACGACGACAACUAAAAUACUACGCCGUUAAAUAUAAUUUACACGACAAGAAAAAAUAUGACGUCUUUAAAUACAUGAGAAGACGACGUUAUUGAAAUCUACUACGUCUCUUAUUUACAAAAAACCGUCGUGAAAUAAAUUUUCCACUUCGAUUUUUCUAAAAAAGAUGACGUGGAAAUAGUUGUCAGUGUCAUUAUUUACGACGUACACAUUUAUAUAGUCGACGUUGUAUUUAUAUGUAUUCAUUACUCACGACGCACUUAAUAAUAUAGACGACGUUGAACUUCUAAACAACGUCGGUUCCAAAUAAAUGAGAGCCGUAUUACAGAACAUAUAGACGGCGUAGAUUAUGAUGAGAGCCGUAUUACAAAUAACGUCGUUUAAUUGUUAUUAGACGGCGGUUAUAAUGAAUUUCCGUCGGAAUUCAUUUCGUUCCUCUUCGUUUAUAAAAGAACUUGCGACGUGGAAAAUGUAUGAUGACGUCGUAUUUUUUAACGUUCAGAUUAUAUAUCUCGUUUUUAGACGUCGGUAUUAUGGGAUUGGAGUCGUGUUAUUUUGAAUUACAUGGCGGUUCUUAAUCCUUCACCGACGUGAUAUCCUGAAUAAUUGCUUCACAAUAGCGUCGUGGUUCUUCAUUGUUACGUUGCUUUAAGACGUCGGUAAAUAUGCUGAAUAACUGAUUCACAAUAACGUCGUGUUUUAUUUGAACGUAGAAAGUGAAGAAAUCACAUUACAAUAUAUUACAAAAUUAAUGUCAUACACUGCCAAUUACAUAAGCAUCAUUCAAUCCAUAUAUCUUCACACCCAUCUCGAAUAUUUUGACCGCCUAACUCACCCACCAGUUCAUCAAAUGUGUCAACAUUUGGCAUCCCUCUAGUAAAUGGCUCACACUCAAUUAUCACAUCACCUAAGACUUCAUCACCAAUAACAUCAUUAUAUUCUCUAUUAGGCAUUGAUAACACUACCGACCAACCACGAUGCAUCGGGUCGUCAACAAAAAAUAUUUGUUUGACUUGAGAAGCCAAAACAAAUUGGUCAUUCCUAUGUCCAAUUUUACUCAAAUCUACAAGGGUAAAUCCAAGUUCGUCGACUACAAGACCAGAACUAUCUAUCCAAUCACACCUAAAGACUGGGAUUGUAAACUUUUGGUAGUCAAGGUCCCAAAUUUCUUGAAUGACACCAUAGAAACCCAUAUUUGAGAGAAUUGGGUUUUUAUCCUUGGCACUAGCAACUUGCAUGGUAUGUGCAAGUAAAUAAACUCCACUAUUUUGAGUUGUCCGCACAUCAUCUUGUGCCUUGAUAUUGAAUUUAAUACCUUUAAUAAGAUAGCUCCUAUAUAAUGGCACUGACAUGUUUGGACCAGCUGCUAGCCACCUUAAAUUUUCUGAUACGCCAUGAUUGUCUUCCUCAAGUUCACUUUGAACCUGCAAAUUAAUCAUAUCUUAAUUCAAUCUAACAUAUAAAUAAGAAGAAAAUUAAAAGAGAAAUAUGUUAUUCAACAACAUAUACCUUGAAGCGUAGCCAUUGAAUGAAAGUGCUAUUGUGCUUAUCCUGCAGCCACUUUGUUCUCUUUCUAAAUUUUGGAUAAGCAGUCUUGAUGUGGAUCAUAUGUUGCCCACAUGACACGAAAAAUUCAAGCAUUACGAUCCUAAAUAUAGAAGAUAAACAUAAGAAAUAAUUUAAAAUGGAAACUUAAAGAAUAAAGCUCAUACGUACUCGAUAUAAGGUAGGACUUCCUCCGUAUUCUCCAAGACAUAUAGAUGUGCUUGAUUCAACAGGUCCUGAUCAACUACGCUCACUGUGCAACCUGAUAAUGGCUUUGAAAGCCCCAUCUUUUGGCUUGAAGGCACUCCAACUGUACUAACAUCAGAUAAAUGCUGAGUACAACACUCUACCGCUUCUUCAGCUAUAUACCGCUCAGCAAUGCAACCUUCGGGACGAGUACGAUUCUGAACAUACCCCUUCAGCACUUUCAUAUAUCUUUCAAACGGAUACAUCCACCGAAAAUAUACUGGCCCACAUAGACGAACUUCUCUGACAAGAUGUACUACUAGAUGAACCAUGAUAUCAAAGAAUGAAGGGGGAAAGUACUUCUCAAGCAAACACAGAGUAACUACUACAUCUUCUUCCAACUUAUCUAGCUUGGAAACAUCAACAGUCUUUGCACAUAUAGCAUUGAAGAAGAAGCACAAACGAGUUAUUGCAUACCUUGCAGGCUUCUCCAAAACAGAACGAAUUGCCACAGGGAGCAAUUGUUGCAUUAAGGUAUGACAAUCAUGUGAUUUAAGGCCAAGAAGUCUUGAAUCUUGUAAAGAUACAAGAUUUUUAAUAUUUGAAGAAUAACCUUCAGGGACCUUCAUACCAUAGAAAGAAUUGCAAACCUCUCUCUUCUCUACUCUUGACAAAUUCCAAGGCCCAGGAGGCAAACGAGUACGUCUUUCUCCAUACUCGGGUUGCAAAUCAGUUUUGACCCCCAUGUUCAAUAAAUCUAAUCGAGCAGCAAUCCCAUCUUUAUUUUUUCCAGGGAUCUCCAGCAAUGUACCAAUGAUACUAUCACAAACAUUCUUCUCAAUGUGCAUAACAUCUAGGGCAUGCCUUACAGGAAGGUAUUUCCAAUACUCGAGAUCAAAGAAUAUUGAUUUCUUCUUCCAACAAACUCUGUCACCAUUUUCAACCAUAUGCAGCACUUCUUCUCCGGUUAAUGGCUCGGGAGGUAUGCCAUAUUCAGGUUUCCCAUUAAAAGCUGCACGUUGCCUCCUAUAUGGAUGAUUGAUUGGUAACCAUUUUCUAUGCCCAAUGUAACAAAUUUUGUGGCCAUUUUUCAACCUGUGACUAGGUGUAUCAUCGCCGCAUAUUGGACAAGCUUUAUAUCCUUUAACAACACAACCAGAUAAGUUUCCAUAGGCGGGGAAAUCAUUAAUUGUCCACAUUAAUGCAGCUCUGAGUGUAAAGUAUUCUCCAUUAUGUGCAUCAUACACUCCUCUAAUCCCAUCCCACAAAGAUUUUAAAUCAUCAAUCAAAGGCUCCAAGUAGACGUCUAUAUCAUUUCCGGGUUGUUUAGGACCGAAAAUCAAUAAGGUUAACAUCAUGAACUUUCGUUUCAUGCACAGCCAUGGAGGGAGAUUAUAUGUAACUAAGAUAACCGGCCAACAACUAUAUCUGCUACUUAGAGAACUGUGGGGAUUGAAUCCAUCAGAUGAAAGAGCCAAUCUCAAGUUUCUCGGCUCAUUACCAAACUCAGGCCAUUUAUCAUCAAGAAGUUUCCAAGACGGGGAAUCCGCCGGAUGAGACAUCUGACCGUCAAUUGAUUUUCUAGGAGCAUGCCAAGUCAAACUCUUAGCUGUCUCAUGUGAUUGAAACAUCCUUUUAAACCUUGGAAUUGGAGGAAAAUACCACACCACCUUCGCUGGCACACCCUCUUUCAAGAUUGAAUCUUUGCCUUCCUUCCACCUUGAGAUACCACAAGUAGGACAAUUAGUUGAAUCCUCAUACUCCUUCCUAUACAAGAUGCAAUCAUUGGGGCAUGCGUGCAUUUUCUCAUAACUCAGCCCCAAUGCACACAAAGUCUUUUUAGCCUCAUACAUAGAGGUUGGUAUUGUAUUUCCUUAUGGAAGCAAAUCGCCUUGAAGUAUCAAUAAUUCUGUAAAACAGACAUCACUCAUCCCAUGUUUUGCCUUCAAAUUAUACAACUUCACUAAUGCCGAUAACUUCGUGUACUUUCUACAACCAGGGUACACUGGUUGAUCUCCAUCCCCAAUCACAUUGGCAAACUCAUACGGAUCGGAACCAAAAUCAUUAUCAUCCAUAUCAAUUUCUUCAGACACAAAACUGUACCUACUAUGGCCAUCAUCUUCUUCAACAUUUCUACUAGCAUUAGUAGUUGCUUCCCAAGGUUCUCCGUGAAAUGUCCAAUUCUUAUAGCUUUGGUCAAUUCCAUUAAAGUAUAAGUGAUCCCUUAUAAUUCCAACCCCAAACAACUUCAAAUUAACACAUUUAACACAUGGACAACGGAUAUGUGUUGUAGUUAGAAGAUUUUCUACAGCAAAGUUCAAAAAUGCUUCCACCCCAAACUCAUAUGCCUUCGAUCUUCUAUCCGAGUGCAUCAUUGACUUAUCCAUCUCCGACACUAUAACCUAUUAUCUAUAAUAAAGUGAAAAUACAGGCAAUGACCAUCACUAUAGCAGAUUAUACAAAGAUCUAAUAGCAAGUAAUACACAACAAAGACGACGGGUUUUAAACAAAAACAGACGUAUUUGGCAUAUAUAGACGACGGAUUUUCAACAGACGUCGUCUAAUAUAAGUAAUACAAACGACGGUUUAUGAAAAAACCGUCGUGUAUAAGUAAUACAACGACGGUUUUUUCAUAAACCGUCGUGUAAUCGUCGGCGUAUGCCUAAAAAGGCGUCGUGUCUCAGUUUAUUUUCAAGAACCCAAAACCCAUUAAGAACACAACAUAUAUAUGAAACCAAGCAAGAAAACAACAUAUACAUGAAACCAAGCAUGAAAACAAUAAAUCCAUUCCCAAUUCAACAUAACAUAGGGUGAUUAAAAGAUCCGACAAAAUUAAAUCCAUUCCCAAUUCAACAUAACAGAUAAUGUAAUCCAUGAACCCAUUAAACAGAAAAUCCAUGAACCCAUACUUAUAAGCACAUUAUUAACAGAUCGCAAAGCAUAUACCUAAAACCCUUUAACAAAACAACCUAAUAUCAUUCAAUGAAUUUACAAGGGGAAGAUAGGGUUUGUACUUACAGGUUGGACGAGCUCACAGAUUCGACGGAGCAGAAGUGAGAGAGCAACUUUUAAUUAGAGCAGAAGUGAGAGAGCGAAAUGUUAUGUUGCGCGAAAUCUGAAAAUUUUAGGGUUCAGGGUUAGAAGAAUAAGAAUAAGAGCCAAAUAUAAAAAAAUUUAGGACGCGUGAAAAUUUUUAGAGCGCGCGCUCUUUAAAACUUCGAAAGAAAAACCAUGGCGAAAGUUCUACAAGAACCGACAUAAAUGUAAUAUUCCACGACGGAAACACUGAACGUAACGCCGUUUAUUUUGACGCUUCAUUUUUCGGAUUAAUUUUAAAUUUAUUUUCAAUAUUUUGAUAUAAAGACGACUGAAAAACCACGUCGGGGUUAAGAAAUUGAAAACGUUGUAAAUUAUAAUAGACGACUUACAUAUUAAAAUGACGUCGUUUAAAGUAGAAACUAUGUCGGAUAAUUUACUGCACGACGUAACAUAUGUAUUCCACGACUCAACCACCGUCGUUAACAAUUAAUACCCUAAACCCUUAAAACUAAAUUAUAUAAUUUUAAAAAUUAACUUUAUAAAAGGGUUUAUGGUUUUACAGCCUAAUAUAUACCCUAGACUACCCAAAAAUUAUACUUUAAAAAUAAACCCCAAUAAAUAACAACCCUAAUCUCUAAACCCUAGACUCUAAACCCUAAACCAUAAAACUAGAAGUGAUUUUAUGACUCAUCAAAACAAUUUUGUUUUGGAUGUUCAUUUUAAAUUUUUGUAAUUCAAAAUGAAUUUUUUCAAGGUUUAGGGGGAAGAAAAUAUAUCAAUGACUUCAUAGGAGUUGACUUUGCAUUUUUCUGAUUUAUUUUAAAUUUAUUUUGAAUAUUUUGAUAUAAAAAUAAUAAAAUAUUCUUAUCACAACAACAAACCACGUCGGUGUUGAUAAAUUGUAGACGUUGUAAAUUGUAAUAGACGACUAAGUUGUUAAAAUGACGUCGUUUAAAUGAGAAACGAUGGCGGAUAUUUAACUAUCCGACGUAAAAUAUAUAUUCCUCGACUUAACCACUGUCGUUACAAAGUACUACCCUGAACCCUUAAGAAAUUGAAGACGUUGUAAACCAUAAACGACUCCAUUGUUCAAAGAACGUCGUCUAAAUAUCCUUUUACGCCGGAUUUGUUUAAAACGAAACCACAAAAAACGACGGCUUUUGACUUUAUUACGUCGUUGGAAAAUUAUUACACGUCGGUUACGCAUUUUGUAUGUUUGUUUUUGUUUUUACUUUAAGAAAACCUCAACAAAUUUUUACAUUAUAUAUUAUAGACAAAAUUUGUACAUUAUACAUAAAUAUCAAGUGUUCAAUAAUUCCCCUAUUCCAGUUGAAUGCAAACAAACUCUGCCCAUUCAUUCCGGACUUCAUCAAUUGCUUCUUGGGGGUAUGGCUCUUCCUGUUUUCCCUUCGCAUACUGCAUAAAAACAAUGACUAUUAGGGUUUAUAAAUAAAAGGAAAUUCAAUCACAGACGACCAUAACCGACGUAGUAUAUCUAUUCAACGACGGUAAUUUUACAUGACCGUCGUUGAUAAUACAAAAAACGACGUAAAAUGUUUGAAGGUUAUUUCUUCUUACCUUCUUCUCAAACCCCAAGGAAGGAUCCAUGAUGAUGUCCUUCAUGAAGCGCAUCACGUAAUACCCGCAUUCGACAUUGCUGGGUUGCUUUGGUGUGCCUGACAGGGUUUUCCAAAUGACUGCCUUACGGCCUGAUCUGGCUAUGUGGGAAUUAUAAAUUUUUAUGGCACUGUUCACGAUGUCUUUGGCCUCUUCAUCGACCACACGAUUUCCUGGCAGAGGAUCCAGAAAAUAGACUGUUUCCCUCUUUGCUCUUACAAUCAGCAAGAUCCAAUGACGGCUGCACAAAAUUAAUAUAAAAACGACGGUUAUUUACAAAAACGACGUAUUAUAAUAUUUCACACGACGAAAUAAAGUAGCAAUCGACGACAUUAUAUAUUUAUAACGACGAUAAAUAACUACCGACGUGGUUAGUCGUUUCAAACGACUCAAUAAAAUAAAACACCGACGUGGUUAGUUUAUACGCUGUCAUUUAUUGAAAAUCAUAAAAACAAAAUCCUGUUAAGGAGACUAACCCUGGAUUGUAAGGCAUGAGGAAAAUCUGUUCACCGUCAGUCUUCUGAAGUCGUGAUGCUACAAGCCGUGAUCUGUCAGCUAUUGUGCCAGAGCUGGCACUAACUGUAGCAGGGUCGAUAAAGCCAACCAUUGUGCACAUAUUUGCUUGUUUUAAAACAUCGUGUAAGUACCUAAAUAUAUAAAAUAAUAUAAACAAGUCAGCGCAAAAAAAACACACGACGGUUAUGUAUAACAAAACGACGUAUUAUAAGGUUUCACACGACGUACUGAAAUAGACAACGACGUUAUAAUAAAUUUAUCACGACGGUACAUACUAACGACGUGGUUAGUUAGUUAAGACGACGCAAUAAAUAAACCAACGACGUAUUAUUUUAGAAUGACAAACCUCAUAUAUACAGCAAUGACUGUAGCUCCUAUUUCCUCCAUGCCUGCAAAUUGUGUAAUAUCUUCAGGCAGGAGGAAGGUAUCGCGCUCUAGACCAAACACCUCCUUAUCAAUUGUAAAGUGCAGGGUCUUAUCUUGAGUUACGAGUGUCGUUUCCACAUAACGACAAAGGGUUUGUAAAGAAGAUGGCGCCUCCAUAUUUGAAUAAUCAACAACUUUAGUAACCUGUUUAAAGAAAUAAAAAAAUGACGUGGUAAUUCAAUAAAAACGACGGUUUAAGGAAUAAAAUGUCGUUUGAAAACAAUUUAAACGACGGUGAAAAAACCGUCGUGGUGAAUUAUUUAUUACGUCUUAGAAAACAAUUCCGCCGUCUAAGUUGUAAACAAACGACGGUUUAAAGAAAAAUAUCGACGUCUGGAAUUUUGAAAACAAAUAAAAAAGGUAAAGUUAUGUGAACAUACCUGGUCGUCAUCUUCUUUCUCCUUUUCAUCUUGUUUUUCUUCCUUAUUCUCUUCAUAUAUGACGUCGGGAAUGAUUAACUCCGUCAUCUAAAAACCACAAAGUUUUAAAAAUAACGACGUUUAAUGGCGUGUAAAACAAGUAAACUAAAUACGACGUGGUAUUGAAAUACAAACGACGGUUUAUUUUUAAAAUCGUCGUGGUAUGUAUUUCAAACGACGGUUUUAUUAAAAAUAACGACGUCUAAUGGUUUUUAAAAAAACAGAGAAUUCAAAGUUCAGAUAUGUUACCUUUUCUUCCUGAUGUUUCCCAUUUUUGGCAGUAUCAUCCUCAAAAUGCUGGGAUCUCACAUCACCUCCAGAGCAGCUUGCUUUGUCAGACAUUGGAUUUUUGGGACUUUGGCUAAUUCUGGGUUUAAGCAUGCUUGGAUCAAAAUUGGGAAUUAAUUGGGAAAGCUGACUCAGGAAAUGCUCCCUCUCAGCCUCUACCAAUUGUUUCGUUCUAGCCUCCAUUCUUAAAGCCUCUUCCCUUGCCUUAGCCUCCAUCUUUUUAGUCUCUUCUUGAAGGAGAACUCUUAAACUGUCCUUCAAACGGUCGUCAAAGCUCACUCUCUGUGGUUUGGGUAAAUUGAAAUAUUGCUUUGGUGAGAUCCCAGCACCUACUCCUCUGACUCUGCCUGGAUGCUCGGGGCCCAAAGCCAUGGUCAGCACAUCAUUGCUGCCAGAGACGGUGACUUUGCCUUCCGAGACUUGUUUUUGCAAAUCAUCCUAAAACAAAGAUAUAUAAAAAAGUAAGAACAAAAACACACGACGGUUAUUUAUAUACAAACGACGUAUUAUAUAAUUUCACACGACUCAAUAACAUAUAAAUCGACGUUAUUAUAAUUUAUCACGACGGUAGUUAUACCGACGUGGUUAGUUCUUUAAAACGACGAAAUUAAUAAACCACCAACGUCUUAUGUAACAGAGGGAUGAUUCAAUAUUCACACCUUUAACGACGUUGUUUAAAACAUUUCGACGUAGUAAUUUAAUACAGACGACGCGAAAUUGAACCACCGACAUCUUAUGCUAUAAUUACAGAAAACAGAGUUCUGAUUCCUAUUUAGACCUUUAACGACGUGUUUUAAAAAAUGUCGACGUGGUAAUAUCAUUCACACGACGCAAAAUAUAACAUAAGACGUAAUAAGAAUUAUUCACAGUUUAAUAAAAAUUUAAAACAGAGUGAGUAGGCUUACAAUUAAUUUUGCUUUCUCUGCCACCUUUGGAUCAGGGAUGUUACCAUGUUUGUCAUGUCUAGCUCUCUUCCAUAAGGUAGAUCGAUCAAUUUCUACCCCAGGCAUGGUUUCCUCUAAUUGAUCCUCCAAACCGGCAUAUCCUUUUCGAGACAAUCGAUGAUUGUACUCGAGUUUCUCCCUAAUCUGUGCAUGUUGAGAAUGCACAGACUCAAAAUCUUUGGAUAGCCUUGAAGCUACAAAGGCAUCCCAUUGUGCUUUCUCUAUGAAUUUAUAUGUUUCAGGGGGUUGGCUUAAUCUCUCCCUGUCAUUGGUGUAUGGAAGGAUAUAAUGCCUCGUUAGUGUAGACUUGAAAUCCUUCCAUUUCUUGGCAGCAGAAGCUAAGACAGAGUUCUUGCCCCCUUGACCUACUACAAAAGCAAUGUCAACUGCUUCCCAAAUCUGCUCCUUUAUAUCCUUGGGGAUUUGAGCCCAUUUCAAGUCCACAAGUGGAACUCUGGAGCGUGCCAACACACCAAUAUAGGACUGCAUCUCACUAUGAGCUUGGCCAAUUCCUUUCCCCCUUUUAUUGUACUCAACAAUUGGCCUCAGUUUCUGCAGUUUUCUCUUCACAACACGAGGCAUUGUGCUCAUACCUCGACCAGCCUUUGAAUCAUCAGAUAUUGUUGUCCCGCUGGUUGGUUCUGUAUCAGCAGAUGAUGAAGCAAACUUCAUCUUCUUCGAAGACUUCAUUAUCUUCGAAGACUUCUCUUGAGGAGGUACUUGCUCCUCACCUCCAUUUUUCUUGGAGCCAGAAUCCUUACUUUAGUCUUGUUGAGAAACCAUUUUUACAGACAAAACUGCAAGUGAAAAUAUUUCAAGAAAAGAUUAAGAACACAAACGACGGUUAUUAAUAAAAUACGACGUAUGAUAUGAUUUUAAACGACGCAAUGAAAUAAUAUCAGACGUAAUAAAUUUUUAAAACGAAGGUAAUUAAACAACGACGAAAUAAUUGACUACAAACGACGAGAUAAUUAACUAUAAACGACGGAAUAUUUAUAUAACGUCGUGGUAUUGAUGUUCACACGACGUCAGUAGUAAUAUACCGUCGUCUAUAUAAGGAUCCAAAACCCUUCUUUCUUUCUCUGUGAAUGUUUGAUUGCAGAUUUGAUUUUUCUGAACCAUGGUUUUUGUUUUCUAAUUUGAUAAAAUACAAGGCCAAGAAAGAAAGUUUUGGAAUCUUAUAUAGACGACGGUAUUUUAAUAUGACGUCGUGGUAUUAACAUUCACACGACGUAAAACAAUAAGAUACUGUCGUCUAUAUUAGAUACCAACCCUAAUUUCUUUUUCUUUAUAUUUUAUCAAAUUAGGGAAAAACAAAAACCAUUGUUCAGAAAAAUCAAACCUGCAAUUAAACAAGCAAAUAAAAAAAAGACUAAAAUUUUAAAAACAACUUUGUCAAUUUUCAGACGACGCUAGAACGACUGACGAACCGUCGUGGUCUACAUAUUUAACCACGUAAAUAAGAAGCUACCGUCGUCUUAUUUAGUUAAGGUAGUUGUCUUCAAAGUUGGAAACUUUCCCUCUUUGUCUGUAUAUUUUAUCGAACUUGGAAAGAAGUAAAAUGAUUUUGGCCAGAAAAAAGGUAAAAAGAUUUUUCAAACAAAAAACGUAUGAGCAUGCAAAACAGCAACCAAAAUAGUGAAAAUGAAAGCUUACCUUUUGUGUGCAAUGAAAGCAAGAGGAAGACGAUCGAUGUUUAAAUUCAGAGACGACGAAGAAGACGAGAGGAAGACGAUGAGAUACUCUGAAAGUGCUCUGACAAGGAAAAAAGUCUAAAAGUUUUCUCUGGGAGAUUGAAAUUUUUAAUCGGGUUUGGAAAAAGUGCAUGUGUAAGUCAGGUAGACGAAAAGUUGCUUAUAUAUAAAACCAUUUCAAAAAAAUAAUACGGCGGUUACAUAUAACUACGACGUAUAAAUUACAAAAUACGACAGUACGUUUAACUUCGGACGUGGUAAAUAAUUACGACAGUAGUGUUAUAGGUACCGUCGUAGUAAACUCAAAAUUAAAGUACAUAAGUAAUAACUCGCGUCAUGGUAGAUCAUUUAACACGUCGGUUUUAUUAAUGUACCGACGUGGAUUUAUGUAAUAUACGUCGGUAAUACCGACGUUGAUUUUACAAUUUAAACGGCGGUUUUUUUGUAAGGACCGCCGUUGGUUUUAAAAAUUUAUUCUAUAAAUUUGUUGCUUUCAUUCAUUUUCGGUUUACAUUUAGGGUUCCAAGUUCUUCCUCUCUCAGAGACACUAUCUCUCACAUCUCAAAGACAGUAAUUUGGAUGUCUUUCUCAAAGAGAAAUUGAGCUUACUCGCAUCAAAUCUAUGUCCACAAGAAGAAGCUUGUCAACUAGCCUUCUCACUUCCUUGAUCAAGCCUGAUAGGACACUUAGUGCUUCUGAAUACUCCUUGCUUUCCAUCAAAAGAGAUGCAAGCCUGGCCUCCACUCGCUGUCGAAGGAAAGUUCGCUUCUCAGGGAAAUCUGAAGAUCAGAUGUGCCUGAUCCUCUGCUUGAUUUUCUUGGCUAAGAAGAUCCGUCAGAUUUGUGAUAGCCUCUUCCUUUAUCCGUAGAGCUUCAGAAGAAGAAGAUGGGUUUCAAGAAUGCGAUAAAGAAUAGAAAUGGCUUCAGAUGGCCUCUAAAGCAUGAGCAAUCGAAUCAGUGCUUUGAACUAUACUUUGAACUAUACAAGUCAAUGCUUUGAACUAUACAAGUCCUGCAGAAAGAUAAAGGACCAAACUAUUAAAGAAACCCCAAACUAACACGACGCAAUAUUUGUUUUGCGACGUGGAAUCUUUUCAUUUAACGUCGUUAGGUUUAAUAUAACCGACGUGGAUUUGAAUUUUUAAAUUAUGAAUAGCAUUUUUUUUCCCGUGACCUUUCAGUUUAUUUUUCAAUUACAGUGCGUUAUAAAUAGAGUUUUUUUUCCGGAGGAAAUUUAAAAUGAAGGAAAUUAAUGUUCUGGAAUAUGUAAAAUUUCUUUUUUGGAUGACAGAUUUAAAUAAAAUAAGAAUAUAAAAACAACGACUGUUUUUGUAUUACUGUCGUCGUUUUUCGUCGUCUUAAGUAAGACUAAGACAACGUAAUAUAUUUGUUGAGCGACGUUGAUUUGUGUUUUAAACGUCCUUAGGUAUAAUAUAACCGUCGUUGAAAAUUGUCUCUCUGAUUGCAAAUUUGCAACGACGUUAGGUAUAAUAUUUGUAGAUACACAAACGCACACACAUCAUCAACUUCCAAAAAAUUGUCUCUCUGAUUGCAAAUCUGUGUCAUCUGUUAAGAUUAUGAUGUGGAACAAAGUUCCAUUUGGUAAGAUUUCGUAACCCUUGGGAUCUCAGAAAAAUCUGAUUAUGUCGGCGAUUUUCUAUAUAAACCGUCGUGGUUAUUUCAAUUCUUGUCAUUAAGUAGAUCUACCGACGUAGGAUAAGAAAAUCAAAGAAAAAAAUUGUUAACAAAAAUUCUUAUUAAGACGACGGUUUAAAUUAAAGGUAAGACGUAUAAAAUGAAUAAAUACGACGUUAAAUUUUAUAGUACGAUUUAAAGAUAACGUCGUAGAACUAUACCAGAAUGACGUCGAUAUAUUUAUAUUUUUCGUCGUUGUACAUUAAUUUAAUACGGCGAUAUUUUGUAUUUUAAAGUCGUGGAUUUGUUUGUAAUUAUACAGCGUCUUAUACGAAAACCUCGUCGUGUUAUUUUAUGAGUAAAAACGGCGGCUUUUAUUGAAAUCGUCGUCUUUACUUUCUACGUCGGUUGAUUCAUAACUUCUGUCGUUCUUUGUUGGCUUUGAUUUUACACUGCGGAAAUCUGUUUCAAAUAGACGUCGGUUGUUUAAUUAAGUACGUCGUUGUUUUUGAACAGCCAUUUGAAUCUCCAUUUUUUAGUUGUCUAAGGUGGUAUUACACGACGGUGUUUUUAGAACCGUCGUCUUUUUAAAAACCACGACGGUUUUCACUGAGACCGUCGUUGUUUUCUGGUCGUCUUUUUCACUUUUUGUAGUAGUGAAUGGAAUAGAAUGAUGGAAGUUAUUUUUUUUUUUUCCUACGUCUAAAGUAUACUUUAUAUAUAUAUAUAUAUAUUUAUAUUUAUUAUGGAAGUUAUAACCGUUUAAUUUUCAGUUUUUAUUUUCUAUUUAUUGUUUUAAUUUUUAUAGUUUAAUGUGUAUGGAGAUUUCAAGUAUUGGAUGUUUAUAAAGGGUCACUCCUCCUUCACAUCUGAAACAAACCACCAUCUCAUUUCUGUAUUUUCAUACUUUCAUAUAUUUUCUACUUUCCAGAUUAUUAUUUUUGGGCAACGGUUCUGUGACUUGGAGAUUUCUAUCCGAUUAUUAACAUGCUCAUAGCGGACCUUGAGCUUGCGUAUUGAGGAUAGUAUCUUGGAGCCUUGUAGACCUUUAUUACCUGCAUGUAGGGAGGCUAUAAAUGCUUUAAGUCAGCGUCUUUGACGUGCUUUUGCUUUCUUUUUUUUACUUAUUUCUUCGUUACUUUAUUUUUACUUUACUUUUAAAUCUUUAUUUUAUGUAUUAUUUAUAUUUAAAAAUUUUGAAUAAGAGUUUUACAGAAAAGGAAAAACACAAUUUCAAAUAACACAAAUUUCUCGUUUUUUGUUCUUAAAAAAGAAGAAGCAUUGAUUGGGGAGUUAUGGUAAACUCAGUUUCAAUGGUUGCGAUGAGAGGCGGUGGCGGCGAGGAGAGGACGAAGGCUUUGCUGCCGACGGGGUGGUGUGGGUGGGUGGAGACCUCGGCUGGCUGCUUGGUCCUGGGUUCUCCUUUAAUUCUCUGUUUUCUUUUUUCAUAUUUUUCUUUUUCUCUUAGAGUUAUUGAUGUUAAGUGAAUGGACAGAUGCCAAGAGAAGAUGUGAACCCAAUUAUAUACAGCUGAUUACAUAAAGUAACAAAUUAAUUAAUACUUGAGUGGAGGACAGGCUCGAGUGGAAGAAUUGAUUAAGGCUUGAGUGGAAGACAAACUUCAGUGGAGGAAAGUACAGAUAAGGAAAGCAUGCCACGUUUAACGGCUUUAUCUCAACAAAUUAGGAAUGCUGGUUUUGUUUCCUCGGUGGUUGAAAGGUGGUGCCUUGGCUCGGACAUCUCCCUAGUAAUUAAUCGAAGGUGGAAUCUUACAAGACAUUCAGCUGCUCAUUAGCUGAAUAUCUCGCUCUCUUUAAAGAGAUCGAAGCAAACUGCAAUUUGCAAUUUGUGUGAUUCAAGCAUGAAUAUCUGACAUAGUAACUAUACCAUUUGUUGGUUUGAUGAGAAAAGUUUGGUUAGCGAGGAUGAAACCAUAAAGUUCCCCAAAACACACAAAGAGCACGGACAAUUGCUAAGUUUAUCUUUGAGUUCACGCAUAUUUGCACAAAUGAGAUUACUCCAAGUAUGACUAUACCAUUUGUUGGUUUGAUGUGAAAAAUAUGGGCAACGAGGGUAAAACUAUACAAACACACACAAAGAAAGUGGACAAUUACUAAGUUUAUCUUUGCGUUAUUCAUCCGACCUAACUGUAAAAUAAAAAAGAUGAAAAUAUAUAAUGUUCACUACUUAGAUCUAUGAGCACUAAAGUCCUCCUUUUGGAAUUGCACAAAACGUCACUUUUGGUCUUUGACAAAUUUUUAAAAUAAAUGAAUUUUUUACUUAUUUGUGGACUGAAAUGCCUCAAAAAAAAUAAUGAUAAUUUGAAGAAUUUGAUAGAAAUUAAAAAAUAUCCUCAAAUUACUUGGAAUUGAAGACCACAUAGGCAAAAACACCACUUUGGACAAAGGCUGGUGAUAAUAGUCGAUAUCAUCUUUUGUCGGUCCGACCUAAAAAGAAGAAAAAGUUGAAAGCAUCUUGUUACCAUUUUUGCCAAUGUGGGUCCAGACAAUUUGAAGAAGUCCACCGACAAUUUCUCAAAAGCUAUUGUGUGAGUGUUUUGAAGCUAAACCAAUAUUAUUUUGCACAUACGACCCCACAUCCCCAUGUGAGGCUACAGAAGUGUUUCCAAAACGAAACAUGAUAUUUCAAAACAAAGCUAUGUAUAGAAUAGAGUCAUUUGUAUUUGCUUUCACAAUAACAUUUUAUUUGUGAAAGCAUUUUAUAUUUUUACAUUAUGAUGUUCUAACAAAUAAAUUGACUAUAUUUGGCCAACAGGGUUUAACCGAGUAAAAAAGUCCUUAUUUAUAAACUACUGGUUUCAUAUUUGAACUCUAUGACAUUCUCUUUACCCUUAAAGUUUAGACUAUCGCAUGUAUUAUAAAUAAAAAAAAACAAUUGGCUUAAUUUGAUAUAUUUCAUUUUAUGCUGGGUGCCGUUAUUAAGUUUUAUCCUUGUUUCUUGUUGAAAAAAAAUUGAUAAAAAAUAAGAAUUCCUAUAGCUAGCAACUUCUCCACCUUCCCUUCUUCGCAACUAGGGAUGCCAUUGCAAGGUCACCAUCUCAGAUUAAGUCCUCCUUUUAAAAUUGUGUUGUUAUUCAAAAUUGGAAUAUGCUGGUCAUUCUUGAUAUAAUCUGUUCCACAAAAAGAAAAAGAAAAAAGUUGAUAGCAUCUUUUACCACUUUGGCCACUUUUGAAGAUAUUCACCGACAAUUUCUCAAAAGCUAUUAAGCUGUACGUCCACAAUAUUAUUGCAUCCAACUUUGCAUAUACGACCCCAUCCCCAUGUGAGGCUACAAUAUUGUUAAAAAAAUAUGCUAACAUUGUCAUUCAGUAUGCUAACAUUGUCACUAUGUUUGCGAAUUGCAUAUUAUCUAGAACAUAAAGGCUUUGGUGUUUUGUAGAUCCUCAGGGAGCCAAACCCGUCUUUAUAAAAAUGGUCCUUAUGAUACUACUUUAACAACAAUAAAGUAUAAUAAACUAGGCCUUUGUAGUCACUGAACGAAUGUUUUGUCAUAUAUAUGACUAUUUAAAUGUAAUUACGGGAUUAAAACAUUAUAAUAAAUUGGAGUGAACCAUAACAUUAUAUAUGAUCCAAUCCUUUGCAUAUAUUUUUGUUCAAGACUUUGUUUUAGAAUGCUCUAUUACUAAUUUGGUACAGGUCUCUAAAAUCUAUGCCUUUAUGAGGCAACGUCUUUAUUUCUUUGGUUAUUCCAGUUUAGAAUAUUUGCACAAAUGAGAUGACUCCCAGCAUAAAGUCACAUUCAACCAAAAAGCAUGAAGUCACACACAAAAAGAAUACGGACAAUUGCUAAGUUUAUCUUGUAUCCUUAUUUUAUUGAUCCAACCCAAUUGAAAAAUUAAAAAGAUGAUAUAAUAUACUGUUCACUGCUUACAUCCAUGAGUAAAGUCCUCCAUUUGAAAUUGCGUGAUGAUAUAAAAUUGGAAUGAAAAAAGAAAAUCCUACAGCUAAAUUUGAUAUAUUUCCUUUUCAUUUUAUGCUGGGUGUUAAGUUUUCUUAUUUCUUGUUGAAAAGAAAAAUGAAAAGAAAUAAAUAAAUUCCACAGCUAGCCACUUAUCCACCUUCCCUUCUUCCCAUGUAGUGACAACAAGGGAGGCCUUCAAUCCAAAAUAAAGACAAGGGAUGCCAGAUCAGCAUCUCAGAUAAGUAUCCCAACCAAAACCAAUCAAAUAAUGACAUAUGUAUCUCUUUUUGUGUUUUGUUCUAUUUCUCUUUGAAUUAACUGCAUAGUUUCAUAAGCGUGUCCUCCUUUUGAAAUUGUGUAUUAUUCAAAAUUGGAAUUUGCUGAUCAUACUUGAUAUCAGCUAAAAAAGUUUCCAACAUCUUGUACCAUUUUUUUCCAGUGUGGGUCAUAACUUGAAGAAGCCCACCGACAAUUUCUCAAAAGCUAUUACCAUCCAACUUUGAAAAAUAAAAGUUUUCAAAAGUUACCCCAAACAACAGUCCUUGAAAGAGAGAGUUUUCCAAGGCUAAAGAUUACAAGGAUGUUAUUUACAGUCUCGACAACGACAAGCUUCAUAUUUGUUUACAAACCUGUAUUUUCAAGUUGUGCUAGCCUAGCUACUUGCAAAAAAUAUCCAGUUGGCACAUGCAUUAACGUGUGACAAGAAGUUAGUUAUAUUUGUAAAGUAAAAGAACGAAGUACAUAGCAUGUAAGUUGAUGCUAAAUAUUUGAUCAACAGAGUUAAACAUAAAACCACUGACAAUAUAACGUUGUUCACCAAAAAUUGCAUUUCGUUGAGGGUCAGUAGUGUAGGUUUCAAGAUACGAUUUAUUUUGUUAAAGAAUAUUCUGAUAUUCUAACAAUAAAAUUGGCUCAAUUUGAUAUGUUUCUCUCUCUUUUUUUGUUUCUGUUUUCCCUUUCAUUUGAUGCUUUGUUGUGCUAUUGCUAAGUUUAUCUUAGAGACCAGGGAUGCUUAGCAAGUUUCUUCACCUGCCCUUCUUCCCAUGUACUAACUAGGGAUACCAUGUCAGAAUCUUAGAUAAGAAUCCCAUGCUUUGUUGUGCUAUUGCUAAGUUUAUCUUAGAGACCAGGGAUGCUUAGCAAGUUUCUUCACCUGCCCUUCUUCCCAUGUACUAACUAGGGAUACCAUGUCAGAAUCUUAGAUAAGAAUCCCAACCCAAUCAAACUAUGACAUCUGUAAGUAUUCAAAAUUGGAAUUUGCAUUGUGAUAGUUGAGUGGAAGAAUCGAUUAAGGCUUGAGUGGAAGACAAACUUCAGUGGAGGAAAGUAAUUAAUUAGACCAUUAUUUGUUGGUUUGAUGAGAAAAGUUUGCUGGUGAUAGUCCAUAAUCUUUGUCCGACCAGAAAAUAAGAAAAGUUGUCUUGUACCAUUUCUGCCAGUGUGGGUCCCACCCACCCCAUGCGAGUAAUUUGAAGAAGUCCACCGACAAUUUCCCAAAAGCUUUGGCGUCCAACUUUGCCGACCCCAUCCCCAUGUGAGGCCAUAGAAAAGUUUUCAGCCACAAUCAAAUAAGGAACAGUCCUUGAAAAGAGAGGGUUUUCCAAGGCCAAGAUUACAAGUUCAUGUUAUUUACAGUCUCAAAAAGCUUCCAUACUUGUUUACAAACCUGUAUUUUCAAGUUGUGCUAGCCUAGCUAUUUGCAAAUCUUGGAAUAUUUUACUUCAUCCAAAUCCCUUGAAGUCUGCAGAGAAGAUAAAAGACAUGGCUUUGAUUGGAGAGGCUCUUAUCUCUGCUUCCGUCCAGGUGUUGUGCGACAGAAUUACUUCACCCGAGUUCGUUGACUUAUUUCGGCACAAGAAACUCGAUGAGCCACUCCUCAGGAAGCUGAGGACGACACUGUUGGCCUUGAACUUGGUGCUCAAUGAUGCAGAGGAGAAGCAACUUGUGAACCGAGAUGUGAAAAAGUGGCUUGACGAGCUCAAACAUGCUGUCUUUGAUGCGGAGGACUUACUGGAUGAGAUUGACACUGAAGCUUUGAGAUGCAAGCUGGAAGAAGGUGAAGAUCAAACUCACAAAUUUACCAAUAAGGUGCGGAACUUGCUCUUUUCUUCUCGUAGUCAUUUUUAUCAGAGCAUGAAUGAUAAGAUAAAAGAGUUACUAGCAAGGUUAGAAAACUUUGUACAACUGAAAAGUGCUCUUGGUCUGGGAGAAGUUGCUGGGAGGAAGGUUUCGCAAAGAACUCAAACAACCUCCUUGGUUCUUGAACCUUAUGUAUAUGGUAGAGAUGAAGUCAAAGAAAAGUUAUCAAAAGUUUUGCUAUCUGAUGAAGCAGGCAAGGAUCCUGUGUCUUUCCUCACCAUUGUUGGAAUGGGUGGGGUUGGCAAGACAACCCUUGCUCGAAUGCUUUACAAUGACGAUAAGGUGAAAGGGCAUUUUAAACUUAAAGCUUGGGCUUGUGUUUCAGACUACGAUGAUUAUAUUAAAAUUACUAAAACUCUCCUUGAGGCAGUCACUUCAAAGCCUUGUAACACGGCAAAUCUGAAUUUGCUUCAAGAAGAUCUAAGAGAGCAAUUGAAGGGAAGGAAAUUUUUAUUUGUGUUGGAUGACCUAUGGAAUGAGAAUAAUGAGGAUUUGAACUACCUUAGAGCUCUUUUUAUUACUUUAGGAACAAUGGGAAGUAAAGUCAUUGUAACAACACGGAGCAAAAAUGCAGCAUCUGUCAUGCAAAAUGUUCAUAUUCAAUACUUAGAACCAUUGUCGCAGGAGGACUGCUGGUUAUUACUUGCAAAACAUGCAUUUGGAAAUGUAAAGUGUAGUGCACAUUCAAACUUGGAAGAUAUUGGAAACCAAAUUGCACGCAAGUGCAAAGGGUUGCCUUUAGCUGCACAAACACUUGGGAGUUUGUUACGUUGCAAUAUGAAUUUCGAGUACUGGAAUAGAAUACUAAAUGAUAGUUUUUGGGACCACCCCUAUGAUAAAACUAACAUUCUUCCGGCUCUAGGGUUGAGUUACCAUUAUCUUCCUACUCAGUUGAAACGAUGCUUUGCUUAUUGUUCAAUUUUUCCAAAGGAUUAUGAGUUUGAAAAGGAAGAUAUAGUUCAAUUAUGGAUUGCAGAAGGUAUAAUUCCACAAGCUGAGAAUGGAAAUAGGAUGGAAGCAUUGGCUAGAAUAUACUUUGAUGAGCUGUUAUCACGAUCGUUGUUUCAAAAGUCAAGUAAAUUCAGCUUCAUUAUGCAUGAUCUCAUUAAUGACUUGGCUAUGUUCAUGUCUCAGGGGUUUUGCCUUAGGCUCGAAUAUGGGGUAUCCCAUGAAGUUAAAAGAGCUCGUCAUUUGUCAUAUGCUAGGGGAGCAUUUGAUGCUGCUCCAAGAUUUGAACCAUUAUAUGAGGCUAAAUGUUUGCGGACCUUCCUACCUACCUCUUUAAAUCCAUAUAGAUUUUAUGAAAGAUUUUUUGUAAGUAAAAAAGUUCUACAAGAUUUGUUGCCAUCACUAAGAUGUUUACGGGUGUUAUCAUUGUCACGUUAUCAAAAUGUUACUGUGUUACCUGAUUCUAUUGCAAACCUCAUUCACUUGCACUACUUGGAUCUUUCCCAUACCGCAAUUAAAAGGUUACCUGGGGUACUUUGCAAUCUCUUCAACUUGCAGACAUUACUAUUGUCAAAUUGUUCCUCACUCCAUGAAUUGCCUGCAGACAUUAGAAAAUUGAUUAAUUUACAGAAAUUGACAUUGGGCGGUUGUAGUUCUCUUAAUAAAUUGCCUGCAGGCAUGAAGGAGUUGACUAAUUUGCAUCAUCUUGAUGUCAGUGGAACUGAAAUAGUAGAGAUGCCGGUGCAAAUGGGUAGACUGAAAAAUUUGAGAACAUUGACUGCAUUUGUUGUGGGCAAAUCUACUGGGUCAGGCAUAAGAGAACUGAGCGAGUUCCCGCAACUUCAAGGAAAACUAUCAAUUUUGAAGCUACAAAAUGUAGUUGAUGCGAGGGAUGCACUGCACGCCAAUAUGAAGCUCAAGACAGAUCUCAAGGAGUUAGAGUUUUCAUGGGGUGCGCAGGAUGCUGAUGAUUCCCAAAAGGAGAAAGAUGUACUUGACAAGCUCCAGCCUUGCGUGAAUUUGGAGAAAUUAACCAUUGGAUUCUAUGGUGGAACCAAUUUUCCGAAUUGGUUAGGAGACUCGUCUUUUUCUAACAUACAAGUCAUGCAUCUCAGUGACUGUAGUUAUUGUUGGUCGCUCCCACCAGUUGGACGGCUGUCGGCACUCAAAGAGCUCUGUAUAAAAAGAAUGAAGUCUUUGAGGACGAUUGGCGUUGAAUUCUAUGGCAGAGAUGGAGCUUAUCUGACUCAGCCAUUUCGAUCUCUGGAGAAGCUAGAGUUUAUAGAGAUGCCGGAGUGGGAGGAAUGGGUACCAAGUGGAAGUGCAAGUGGUAGUGAAUAUGGUCCAGACUUUCCUCAUCUCCAGGAGCUGAUUCUAAACGAGUGUCCGAAGCUAAGAGGAAGUUUGCCUUGUGAGUUGCCUUGCUUGAAGAAGCUUACGGUGUAUGGGUGUAAGGUUUUACAUGAUGGAAGGGCCGCUACCGCAACUACCAAUAGUCUUAACUAUAAAUCUCUGGAAGAAUUGGAUAUAAGGGGUGGAUGCCAAACUCUGUUAUCAUUAUUAGAGACAAAGCUCCUGUCCCGACUUAAGAUUGAAAAUGUUGACGUACAGUGCUUGCCCAACUGCAAUCGUCUUCAACGUUUGACUCUUUUGAAUUGUCCAACGCUGUCGUCAUUCCCUAAAGAUGGCCUACCCACUACAUUGACAUCACUUACUAUACUCAAUUGUAGGAGAUUAGAAUUCCUACCUCAUGAGAUGUUGGCCAAAUUAACAUCGCUUGACUAUUUGGGCAUACAAAGUAGCUGUGAUUCAAUGAGGUCCUUACCGUUGGGCAUUUUUCCCAAAUUGACGACGCUUCAAAUUCUUGGUUGUGAGAAUCUGGAAUCUUUUUCCUUGAUUGAAGAAGAAGGAGCUGUUGAGAAUCUCAGCCAUCUCAAUUCCUUGCAAGUCAUUAACUGUCCAAAAAUGGUGUGUUUUCACGAGGGAGAAUUGCCCUUUCCCAACCUGAGUCACUUUGUAGUCAUUGACUGCGAGAAUUUGAAGUCAUUGCCCGAACGCCUUCACACCCUCACUGCCCUUCGAUCUUUGAAUAUAUGGAAUCUUCCGAAUCUGGAGUCAUUUGCAGAAGAUGGGGGUUUGCCUCCCAACCUCCGAUCUUUUAUCAUUAGGAAUUGUAAGAGACUGAGGGCACUUGACUCAGUGGGUUUGCAAGCACUUGUCUACCUUCAGAUCGAUGGAAGUGACCAUGUCUUGGAGACGUUGCUGCUCCCUACCACUCUUCACACUCUCUGCAUCUCUGAUCUAUCAACUCUGAAAUCUUUGGACGGAAAGGGUCUUGGACACCUCACUUCUCUUCAAACUCUAAAAAUUUACAGCUGUCCAAGUCUUCAAUGCCUGCCAGAAGAGGGUUUGCCGCCAUCUCUUUCUCAUCUGAGUAUCCGCUGUUGUCCUACCCUGGAGGAAAGGUAUAAGAAUAAAACGGGACAAGAUUGGGCAAAGAUAUCUCACAUUCCUUGCAUCGAGAUAGGGGAAGAAGUGAUCAUAUAAUAUGAGCUAUUCCAUAUUUCACGCUCAACCCUCAACUCUCAAAUCAAAGUCAGGUGAGGUAUGUGCCUUCUCUUACUUUAAAAAACUGCUUCUCUUCUUCUAAUUGAAUACAAAAACCAAAACACAUAUUCUCUUUCUCUUCCAAAAACCCAAAUACAUGUUGGACAUAGCCCAACGCUGUACUUUCAUAGGUACUGCAUGUAUAUUAUCUUAGUAUCAACAGGUGGUCUUAUGUGGACGAGAGAGAACAUUGAGGAAUUACAAAAUCUUCUUAGUGAAUUAAGCUUGCUUCAGCUCUGUUUGUCAUCCCUCUCAUUUUCUUUGUUAAGCCUUGGUUUUUUAUUAGGAGAUGAAUGCUUUUAUAUAUUGAUGUCGUAGUCAGUCUUCAACCACACUCCGUUUUUAGAAUUCGUUUAUGUUACUAGUGGAGUGCUGCUGUAUUUUAUAUUUCGUUCCUGUAAUGUUUGAUGUUUAGUUUGAGUAGUCUAGCUUAUCCAGUAGAUAACUCGUCCCCUGUUUUGUAAUGUUUUUGUUUCCUCUAAUGAAAGCAGGUUUUACUUAUCUUAAACUUUUAUUUUUAUUUUUAAAUAUCAGUAAUAACUGGGAAAGCUUGCAUCUCCUUAAAUUGCUCAUUCUUACAUCUUUUAUAGUUUGUCGAUCUUGGGCAAGUGGAGAGAGAGGCGUCAAGUGAUACACAACAACCAUUUUCUGUGAGCUAAUUUGAUAAUGAUAAAUGGUAUGCUUUCUUGUCUUAAGCUGUGUGUUCUGCAAUUAUUUAAAACAAAGAGUGCCGCGCUUCAAGUUCGAGGAAAACAGGUAUUUUAGGUUAGCUGUAUAAUUCGUGGUAAAUGCCUUUUUCUAAGGUUCAUUUAGACUCCUAUUACGAUUAAUUUGUUGUUUCUAAUUUGGACUUGUAGGAACAGACCAAAUAUGUUCACACGUGGCAUCGCUCAAGUCAUCAUCAUUUCCGACAGAAAAUCAGCCUUCAAGUGUCUGCUGAGUCAAUGAACCUUUCUAGAUAUAUCAAGUGCAAUGGAAAUUCAUGAGUUACAUAGAGAUUUGUAAACAUUUUGAAGAUUGCAACACCUGCAAGUGAGAUAGGUGGUGACGAAAUCAGAGCUGAUCUUGAAGCCUCUGAUGCCCCGGUUGUUGCAAGUUGCACCUGAGAACAUGUUUUUUUGGGGUAAAAAACUGGCAACAUGUUCGGAGCUGGCAAUUCAGUCAGUGAUGAAGUUGAGAAGCAAAGCUCCAGUAAGGAAAUUGGUCGAGGUCGCCACAGGGAUGAUUGAUGGUGAAAUGGAUGCUAUUUCUUAUUGCAGCCUGUUCUCAAAGUUCUUGUUGGCAAAUGCAAGAAAUGGAGUAUUUUGAUUGGAAGGAGAGAUAAUGACAUGUCUUGACAAUUCUAGAACAGCCCAUCUGAGUUCUUUUGUCAGGCUGCAUCAUUCAAUCCCGGCAAAUAUCCAGUUUCUGCUAAACAAUCA